rnacentral:lncRNA from 1 species
AGGAAGAUAAAUUGCUCAGCUGGCUUUUGCACUUGAGCAAUAAUCUCAGAUUUUUCAUUACCGUAUGAAAACCAAUUUCUUCUUUCCCAGCAAACAUACGAGCACUUCUGAGCUCCAAGUUUUGCUUUCGAACGGGGAAUCCUAAAGCACUGUUGGCGUUUUGAUGUAGUGGUGGAUGAUUUAACCUGAGCUAGUCAUACUGGAGAACACACCUUCUUUUCUACAUCACGUCCUCUUUGCUAAAGUAUCACGGAAUUCUCCAUUAAGUUCUCCACUAAGAGAUUGCAUCAGCAAUGUCUUCCUCAUUUGCAGACCAUAUGCUUUGUUUAAUCAUAAAACACACUCAAUUUCCAUAAUGACACUGCAAGAUCUUUAGCCUUUCUUUGCUAAUACUCUGGUAUCAAACUGCUUUUAAGCCCACAUGGACGACUGCUAUUGAUUGCAUUGUUCUCUUUGUUUACCUGAUGACUAAUUCUGAAUUCUGUUGGUUUGCUGUACUAGUUUCUUAAUUCAAUUUGAUUGGCAAAAGUUAAUAACAAGUUGCCUCGUUACUGCUUUGACAUAGCAAUAAUGUGUACCUCAGAGACACAAAGGCGCAGUCUGUGGGCUCUCCUUAGUCCUUUCUCCCCCCCGCACUCAAGAAAAAGGUAUCUUCCCUUGAACAAUGGAAAGCCGAUGAUUUUGUCCGUGCUUGAUGCGAAUCUACUAAAAACUAGGGGUGGUGGAGCUCUGUGGUUCCUCUUCAUGAUUACAUCAUAUUAGAAUAAUCUGCUAGAGAGAACAGUAAAAGUGACUCUUUUAAGUUUGAGCGACACAAUUGAAAGUAGGGAUGGCAAUAGGGUGAGGUUAGGAGCAGGGACAGUUCUCUCACCUCAUAUUUAAACCCUUGCUUCCAGUACCCUGCCUCCUGGCCAUAGCUUCAUGUGUGCCCUGCGAUUGGCUAAUUAUAGUUUUAUUUUUUAUUUUGACAUUAUUUAUUUAUCUACGCGUAUAACAUCAAUAACAGUUUUGUAAAUCAUUCUUUUAGAUUUUUGGCAAAAUAUUCAAUGUGAGCUUAAUAAUCAUUUUGAUCUUUUGAAUUCAUUUCUUCACAUUUAGUUGCAAAUCUAAACUUAUAACUAUCAUAUUUAUUUUUAUUUUUUUGGUGAAUAAUUUGCAAUAUGUGAAAAGAUUCAAGUAAACUAGAAAUAGUUAAAUCAUCAUUUCAUCAUGCAAAUUAUGAUAUUUUUAGUUAUAAAAUUAUUAUGUAUAUGCCUAUAUUAUUGAUGUGUAAUAACAAUAUACGUGCGCCUGCGCGCGCGCGCGCACACACACACAUAUAUAUAUAUAUAUAUGUGUGUGUAUGUAUAAAACUAUAUAUAAAUAUUUAUUUUUUUAAAAAAUUUAUUAUACCCCGCUCCAUACUGCCCCAUUUGAAACGGGGAAAGAAAAUUCCCCCCCCCCCCAACCCGACCCAUUGCUUCCCCGCGAGACAGGCACCCCCUAAUUGAAAGUGAAAGCACUGCAGUAAGAAAAGUUUCUCUGCACAAGUGGCCAGUGGCAUAUUUAUUACUACUAAUCAAUAGGGUCAUACUCAUACAUAUAAGUUGCAAAUGUACAGUGCUAUCCACUCAACAGUUUUUAGUAGUACAGCACAUACAACUUGUACUUUGGGUCAUUCCAUUCACAAGUCCUAACGAAACCAAUUCAUGACAUAAUGCUAUGUAUAUGGUCCUUUGCACGAUGUAGUAGUAUUCAAACUAUGCAAGGUGUUUUUGGAAUUAGUUAGUGGUAUUGAUUUUAGCAAAUUCCAGUGCUUUCUUCCCCCGCAGCUUGUUGGUUACAUAGUUCUUGCUGUACUCUCCAUGGUUGUAUCUUCUGUACUUGCAGGGCUCGUUCUCAUCCACCAGUUCUGGCAUUGGUCCAACUUCUAGAUCAUAACUAGGUGCAUAAAAUGUGACAAUUGAGAGUCUGUCUUUUUCUCUGUGAGUGACUGCUCUGUGUUCUACACUCUUGUAUCUGCCAUUUGUUAGAACCUGUUUAAUUACAAAAGAAUGGCACAUUAGAUUUGUAAAUCAAUAAGUAAAACUAAAAGAAAAGGACAUGAUAUGAUCACAAUCUUUUACCUCUAUGGUGUCACCAAUAUUGAUUACUAAUGCAUUGGGAAUUGGCUGGACAGGUACCCAGGUAUUGUCUUUGAAUAUCUGAAGGCCAACUGAACUACCCUUUCCUUGUUGCAACACUGUAAGGGCACUUCCAUCUGAAUGAGGACUCAAACCCAAAACAAGAUCAGGUCUAGGGCAUGCUGGAUAAUAGUUCAUUCUCACUGCUUGUACAGCUGCUCCGAACAUGUCUUCGAAGACAUUCUCAUCCAGAGAUAGACCGAUGGCUAUGUACUUUAGCAAAUUCUUGCAUAGUUUCCUUAUCUCUCUGGAAUAUGCUUCCAGAGUCUCACUGAAAACAGAACAAGAUAAAUCUUAUCACCCGUUCUGAGAUUAGAUUAAAUUCAGGGCUUAAAGCUUUUUGUUCAUGAAGUAAUGCAGUUACCUAAAGGUGGCUGGCUUUGUAGGCCACAGGUUUGGAUUUCUUAUAAAAUGGGGCUCCAGUCCAAGAGCAAACAUGUUGCACCAGUCUAGCUUCUGGUCCUCCGAGAAAACGAAAGCCUGCCCAUAUCCUUGAACAGUUCCAGGUAGCAUUGGAUACUUCUGUUUCUCCUCCAACGGCAGCAUGAAGAAUUCCAUGGCCACCUUUUCUAAGCUUUCGACUAAGGAUAAGUUAACUCCAUGGUUUAUCACCUAUACAAGUCAAAAUGGUUAUUAGCCCCUGUUAUAAAUAAAAUGAACAAAAACAAGGUAGAGAUUCAUGAUACAUAGAUACCUGGAAAAAUCCCCAGUCUUCACAGGAUGCUGAGAGCUGUAGCAACUCAGCUCGGAAUUCAUCUUUACUGCCUUUUUGGAGAUUUGAUAAAUCAAUGACAGGAAUAUUCUUGCAAGGAGUAGGAUUGGUCAUGAAAAGUCUCGGCCUUUCUAUCCCGUCUCGGACAAAUCUCUGAGGAAUGCGUGAUGGUAUGGUCUUCCUCAGUUCUUGGACAUCAUCAAUGUGGCCAACACUAAUGGGAGAAACUGGUACAGGAGCCAUGGUACUAUUGUUUGGAGGGGACUAACUUAUCUUUGCUAGGUACCUUGUAGUAUUGAACUUUGCAAUGCCAAUUAUUUAUAGGGAGAACAAGCAAGAAAAUUCAUGGAUCUUUAAUGCGCAUAGAAUUGUAUCGUGGGGCCAAGCCAACGCACUUUAUGAAAUUUAGGGCCUGUUUGGAACCCAGUAUUUUGGACAAGUUUUUUACCUACUAAUUUUUUAACAACUUUUGCUACAGGAAUCCAAAAAAACUUCUCAAAAUUUUUUACCUACACAUCUCAAAAUACCCAAAACACACCAAAAAAAAUUCCCAUCCUUUUUUUCCUUCUUCCUCCCCCAUCCCAACCCAACACCACUGCCGAUUCCCAAAACACGCCACCGCUGUUUCGUCCCCCAUCCUGCGAGUGCGUUGCGGCUGGGUCGUGAGCCCGGGCUGCUUCUGGUGCACUGUGGAGAAGAGGAAAGGCUGAGCCUGGGCUACGUCUGGUCACGAGCCUGGGCCUGCCAUCAUGCGGCUGGGCUGCAGGGAAAGGGCAAGGCAAAGGGCAGAGGAAAGGGAGGGCAAAGGGUGACGGGCGGGAGAAGGGGGAAAGACGGCGCAAAGGGGUGGCGGGGGAGGGCAGUGGGCGGGGGAAGGGGGAAAGGGAAGGCAGAGGGGUGGCCGGGGAGGGCAGUGGACAGGGGAAGGGGGAAAGAGAGGGCAGUGCGGUGGCGGGGAGGAAAGGCAGUGGCCGGGAAGGGGGAAAGGAAGGGCAGAGGGGUGGCGGAGGGCAGUGGGCAGGGAAGGGGGAAAAAGGCAGUGGUGGCAGGGGAGGGGGAGGGGGAAAGGAGGGCAGAGGGGUGGCCGGGAGGGCAGUAGGCGGGGGAAGGGGGAAAGAGAGGGUAGUGUGGUGGUAGGGGAGGGGAGGGCGGUGGCGGGGGAGGGGGGAAAGGGAGUUUGAUACACGUGAACGGGGUUACGUAAGUUUAGGGGCUGCAUGUGCGUGCAUGGGGUUUGCAUGGAGGGCCACAGCUGGGUUUUGUUGCAGUUAGUUACUGAAAGUUGUUACAGUUAGUUAGUACUGAUUUGUAAGAUUCUUAUGACAUCAGCAGAUGUCAUAAGUUUGUUAGCCGGUUAUAAGCUCACCGUCUUAGCACUUAUAAAAGGCGAAGAUGGGCACCAGUAGAAGACAGACAAAAUCUGGGAAAUUUGUUAUAUCGGCACUUUCCAUUUCUUCUGUAAUCUUUCCUUCUUUAUUCAAGUCAAUAAAGUUCUCUUGGCUUUCGGAUUACUUCUCCGCCAGUUUUUGUAAUUCCUAAGUCAGAGAUUGAGGACCUCUACUGUCCUUUGCAUCAGUGGUAUCAGAGCUGGGUUACGCCAGCUCCAAUCAUCGAUGGCAGAGGGCACUAGGUCUCAGGAUGUCAGGAAAAUGGAGGAACAAGUCAGAGCUUUGCUGAAGGAGCAGCAGGAGCAAUUUGAGAGGGAAAUGGCGGCUCUGCGGAAUUUGGUGAUCGAGCUUCACACACAGAAGGCUCAGGGCGAGGGGAACAGCUCUCCUCACCAUUCGGAUACUCCAACAAGUAGCAGGGGAGGAUAUCAAGUUCCUUCGCGACUGUCACGUAUUGACUUCCCGAAAUUCAACGGGGAGGACUUCCGAGGAUGGUUGUACAAGAGCGAGCAGUUUUUUGAAGUGGAUGGCACUCCUGGCUCAGUCAAGGUCAAAAUAGCGGCCAUGAAUUUGGAAGGUAAGGCUCUUCAAUGGCACCAAAUUUUCAUGAAAUCUAGGCUUACUCGUGAACCCCCUGUGUGGGAAGAAUACGUAAGGGAGCUGUCCUCAAGGUUUGGCGAUUCCCUGUACGACGAUCCAAUGGGCGAAUUGAAGAGCUUGAAGCAGUCUGGGACAGUACAAGACUACCACGAUCUGUUUGAAGAACUACUCAACAGAGUGGACCUCCCAGAAGAUUACGCUACAAGUUGUUUUCUGAGCGGGUUGAAGCCCGAAAUCCAGUUGACUGUACGGAUGUUCAUGCCUAAAAGUGUGCAACAUGCCAGAAUUCUGGCCAAGAUCGAAGAAGCAAAGAUAUCAGUACAAUCGAAUGGAAAGGUGACACCCAAACCUUUCACGAAUUAUUAUGAUCGCACUGGUACCACACCAAUCCAUGUGAAUGCUCUUAAGCCUAAAUGGAAGACGGACUCUAAGGCAGUGCUGCCCCUGCCUACGUUUCCAGCACUCCCUAGCAAUGAAAGACAAAAGGAGCUAGUUGUUAGGAGGCCUUUCAGGAAAUUGAGUAGGGCAGAAAUGGAUGAAAAAAGGGCACGAGGACUUUGUUUCUGGUGCGAUGAGAGGUUUACUGCUGGGCAUAGGUGCGGGAGUAAGCAAUUCCACCGACUGGAGGUUUGGGAUGAUGAAUCAGAUAAGGAUGAGACGGAAACAGAUGAGGAAGGGGGUACGGUCGAUGAGGGACAGUUAGCUCAUAUUUCCCUCAAUGCCAUGACUAACAUGACUGUUCCUAAUUUCAGGACAAUGAGGGUCACUGGGCAUGUGGGAAGGCAGUCUGUGAACAUUUUCAUAGACUGUGGUAGCUCACAUAAUUUUAUCCACCCCAAGGUUGCACAAAAGCUGGGAUUAAGUACACGGCAGGUUGACCCCCUAAUUGUAGAAGUAGCAGACGGAAACAAGUUGACUACUCGUGAACUCUGUUCAGGCUUCACCUGGAAAAUGCAGGGGCAAGAGUUUAAGGCCGACUUGUUGGUACUACCUGUGGGUGGAUGCGAAGUAGUAUUGGGAAUGCAGUGGUUAACCACCAUUGGGGACGUGAAAUGGAACUUUAGGGAUCUCAGGAUGGAGUUCUUGUCGGAUGGCCACAAGGUGGUCUUGAGGGGAAUGAAGCAACAUGGGCUACAGUUGGUGAAACAGAGAAAAAUGCAGAGGCUACUCCAAAAGCCUGAACAAAUUGCAGGAGCUCAAAUCUGCCUAAUCAGGAUGAUCCAAGAGCCGGAGCCAGAACCAUUACCUCUUUCUAGUAUUGCUGUAGGAACCAGUGGUGAGCAGGUUAGUCAAUCGUUGGGUCUGGAUUCUUUGUUAAAUGAAUAUGAUGAUUUGUUUCAAGAACCAAAUGGCUUACCUCCUGAAAGAUUGCAUGAUCAUAGAAUUGUUUUAAAAGAAGGUACGGAACCUAUCAAUGUAAGACCUUAUAGGUAUCCGGCCUUCCAGAAGGGAGAAAUUGAAAAAUUGAUCGCUGAAAUGCUUGUGUGUGGGCUCAUCAGAGCUAGCUCUAGUCCAUUCUCUUCACCAGUAGUUUUGGUGAAAAAGAAGGAUGGGUCCUGGCGAAUGUGUGUUGACUAUAGGCAGCUAAACAAUGCCACAAUAAAGAAUAAAUUUCCCAUUCCUUUAAUAGAAGAGUUGUUGGAUGAACUUUUUGGAGCUAAGUUCUUCACCAAAUUAGAUUUGAGGUCUGGUUAUCACCAGAUUAGAAUGAAAACUGAAGAUGUGGAGAAGACAGCCUUUAGAACUCACGAUGGCCACUAUGAGUUUCUAGUUAUGCCCUUUGGGCUAACUAAUGCUCCUUCAACAUUUCAAGGUCUAAUGAAUGACAUUUUUAGGCCAUUCUUGCGGAAGUUUAUUUUGGUUUUCUUUGAUGACAUUUUGGUAUACAGUGGCGGUUGGGAGGAGCACCUGCAGCAUCUGAGUGUGGUGUUUGAACUACUGAGAAGUCAUGAACUGAAGGUAAAAAGAAGUAAAUGUGCUUUUGCUCAGCAGCAAAUUGACUAUUUGGGGCAUAUUAUCAAUGCAGAAGGCGUCCAAGCUGAUCCCAAGAAAACUGAUGCCAUUCGGAGUUGGCCACUGCCGCAGACAGUCAAGGAAUUGAGAGGAUUUCUGGGUCUCACUGGGUAUUAUAGGAGGUUCAUACGAGAUUAUGGUAAAAUUACAAAGCCUUUAACUGACUUGCUUAAAAAGAAUCAGUUUCAGUGGCACGAUGGAGCUACUCAAGCUUUUAAGAAGUUGCAGGAAGUUAUGAGUAGCCCCCCUGUCCUAGCUCUGCCAGAUUUUAGCCAGGAAUUCAUCGUGGAGACAGAUGCAUCUGGGAAUGGGAUUGGGGCGGUGUUAAUGCAAAAAAGGAAACCGCUAGCUUUCUUCAGCAAGUCAUUGGGGUCCAAGCAUCAAGCUCUAUCAGUAUACGAAAAGGAAAUGUUAGCCAUAGUCACUGCCAUUUUGAAGUGGAGAGCUUACUUGGUGGGAAGGCAUUUCGUCAUUAAAACGGACCAUCAGAGCUUGAAGUACAUUAUUGAACAAAGGGUACAUACACCACUGCAACAGAAAUGGAUAGCCAAGCUGAUGGGGUAUGACUAUGAAAUACAAUAUAAGAAGGGGAGUGACAACGUUGUGGCAGAUGCAUUAUCCAGGCAACCUCAGGAGGGCAGUUCUCUAUGUACCAUGGUCACUAUCACAACGUCCUUGAUCAGGGACAUACAGCAGAGUUGGCAACAGGAUGCAGUAGUUCAGGACUUGAUCCAGAGGUUAGCCAAUAAUGGUCCGUGCUCGAGCAACUACUCGUGGCACCAGGGAGUGUUAAAGAGGAAGGGAAAACUGGUGGUUGGCAAUGACCCGUCUUUAAGGGGCAGAUUGAUUACCUUGUGGCAUUCGAGCUCACAAGGGGGGCAUUCUGGAAUUGAGGUAACGUACAGGAGGCUUAAGCAGAUCUUGUACUGGCCAUUCAUGUUCAAGGAUGUGGCUCAUUUUGUAGCAGCAUGCGACAUCUGCCAAAGAAAUAAACCAGAUAAUGUAGCUUAUCCGGGCUUAUUACAACCUCUACCCAUACCUCAGAGGAUCUGGUCUGACAUCUCUAUGGAUUUUAUCGAAGGCUUACCUCUCUCACAUGGCAAGAAGGUGAUUUUCGUGGUGGUCGAUAGGCUCAGUAAAUAUGCCCACUUCAUGGCCGUAGCUCAUCCUUACACAGCCAUCUCCAUUGCACAGCUCUUCAUGGACCAGGUUUACAGGUUGCAUGGUCUUCCCCAGACCAUUGUUAGUGAUCGAGACCCCAUCUUUCUAAGCUCCUUCUGGCGAGAAAUUUUCAGGUUGCAGCAGGUUCAGUUGAACAUGUCUUCUUCUUAUCACCCUCAGAGCGACGGUCAGACAGAGGUAGUCAACAGAUGUCUGGAGAACUAUUUAAGAUGUAUGACGGGUGACCAUCCCAGAGAAUGGAGUUCGUGGUUGCCAAUGGCAGAGUACUGGUAUAACACAAAUUUCCAUUCUUCUGCUAAGUUCACUCCAUAUGAAAUUGUCUAUGGGCAGCCGGCCCCUCUUCACAUUCCAUACCUACCUGAGGCCACAACAUGUGCUUCCGUGGAUAGGAGCUUACAAGCUAGGGAGAAGGUCAUUCACUCCUUGAGACAUAAUCUGUCCAAGGCUCAACAUCGAAUGAAGCAGUUAGCUGAUAAGCAUAGGUCGGAGAGGGAACUUGCGGUUGGUGACUGGGUUUAUGUGAAACUUCAGCCUUACAGACAGCAUUCCCUACGUUCUCACCACUGUCAGAAGCUGUCACCUCGCUACUUUGGUCCAUUUCAGGUGUUGGCAAGGAUAGGAGCAGUGGCCUACAAGUUAGCUUUACCUUCGCAUGCCCGUAUCCAUGACACAUUCCAUAUCUCCUUGCUCAAAAAGAAGGUUGGCACAGGGGGCACUCAAGCUCAGAUUCCCGCAGGAAUUACACACCAAGGACAGAUGUUGGCAGAGCCCAUAGCUGUUCUUGACAGACGUCUGGUCAAGCGUGGGCGAGUUGCGGCUACACAGGUGCUGGUUCAAUGGAGUAACAGCUUUCCCGAAGAUGCAACUUGGGAGUACUUGCAGGACUUGCGGCUACAGUUCCCUCAUUUCAAUCCUUGAGGACAAGGAUUGUUUUGAGAGGCGGGUAUUGAUACACGUGAACGGGGUUACGUAAGUUUAGGGGCUGCAUGUGCGUGCAUGGGGUUUGCAUGGAGGGCCACAGCUGGGUUUUGUUGCAGUUAGUUACUGAAAGUUGUUACAGUUAGUUAGUACUGAUUUGUAAGAUUCUUAUGACAUCAGCAGAUGUCAUAAGUUUGUUAGCCGGUUAUAAGCUCACCGUCUUAGCACUUAUAAAAGGCGAAGAUGGGCACCAGUAGAAGACAGACAAAAUCUGGGAAAUUUGUUAUAUCGGCACUUUCCAUUUCUUCUGUAAUCUUUCCUUCUUUAUUCAAGUCAAUAAAGUUCUCUUGGCUUUCGGAUUACUUCUCCGCCAGUUUUUGUAAUUCCUAAGUCAGAGAUUGAGGACCUCUACUGUCCUUUGCAUCAGAGUUGCUGGUGCAAGGUAACGGGGAAGGGGAAGGGGGAAGCAAGAAGAAGAAGAGAAGAAGAAGAAGAGAGGAAAGAAAAGGAAAGAAAGAAAAAGAAAGAGAAAGAAAAAAAAUUUUCACCUUACAAAAACUUCUACAAAAAAAAUUUUUCACCUUACAAAAACUUUUACAAAAUUUUUUUAAAAACUUCUACAGUGCACUACAGUAAAGUUUUAGACAAACUUCCAAAAAACUCAGGUUCUAAACAGGCCCUUAGUCUUCCUUGUAAAUUCCUAUUUGGGCUAGUUAGGAUCACAUAACCAGCCUAUCGCCAAGUUGCAACAUUUGGCCCUGUUGAAAGAUUUAAAACCAGACUGAAGUUAAAAAAAAAAAAAAAGCAACAUUUCACAGCCGCAACUUGCUGCAGGAUUACAAGGAAAGGUGCAUAACAUAACUUUUUCGGGGCAAGUUUAGGUAGAAAUGCAGAGAAGUAAUUGUGCAAAUUCAAUUCUUUAGGGACUAACUAACUAUAUACUCGAAAUCUCUUCCAAAUGAAAAUGGCAGUGGUAUAGUUUUUUGGGGGGGCUCUGCAGACCAUGUAUAGUGAGUCUGUCAUCAUCCCUCUGCUCUCCUUCCUUCCUCACCUUCUGUAAGGUAAAGCCUCAGGCUUUUUAGCUUUAGAUGAAUCACAAAAGAUCAAGCCAUUUAAUUUGCACAUUGAGCUCAGACUGGUAAGAGAAAAGGGUUUACGUUUUCUAUUUCCAUUUCUGUCUUUGUCCGGAAAAUGGGGCUAUUUUCUGGACUUUUGGGAAACAAUUGCAUAAGCUUAAUGUUAAUGUGUAAAAAUUGUUAUCACUGCAUACAUGGGUGCAUGUAUACCACCGAUAGUUCCUAGCUUGCUUGCUUUAAUGGUUCAAGACGGUACAUGCAGGGAGUUGGCACCAUAGGGCGAAAAAGACGCUUAUUGAAAGGUAAAGCUGUUACCAGCUGAAGCCAAAAUGCUUCACCAUAUAAAGACGAAGAACCGAAAGUGAGGUAAAGAGGACAAAGGUGAGAAAAGCAAAACAGAGGAACAAGGUUGAAUUAUAUUAGUUUGUACGUUAAAACCUCUAAGCUGCUGGCUCACUUGGAAACAAACAAAUCCACGCAGAGAAACUGCUGUCAUUUCAAACCAUCCCACACUUUCUCAUUCCCCCUUAUUCGGUUUUUGGGGGGGGGGGGGGGGGGGCUCCUAUUGCCUUCUCAAACGACGGCCAACUUUGUUUCAUCCUGGAUGACAUGCAUGGCUUUUGAAAAUUUAGCUGAUGAUCAUAUAGAUAUACCCAUCUAACUCGUUCUUGGCAAAGGAAAAAAAAAAAAAAAAGAGAACAAAAAACACAGACUCGACAAAUUAGUCCAGCGGAAAAAUCAAGAAAGAGGAUCGAAUAGAAGAAAAAAAAAUACAUGUUUGACAUUUUAGUUGCCGCAAAACAGGUAGAGACCUUGGAUACAUACAUGGCCCAUUCUUCUUUUUUUUUUUUUUUUUUUUUUUGUCAUUUCCUAAAGAGAUGGCCUAACCCUAAUAAUUGGAGGAAACAAUGAAUCAGCCACCAAAAAUGAAAAAGUCUUCCCCCGGUGACACCUGUCUCCAUGAGGAUACCUUACAAAACCAUGGCCAUGGCCACGGGAAGUCUAAGAUGGAGACAUCAGCAGGCGCAAAGCACACUUUCUGAUUCAUAUUCCACAAUUGUCAAACUUGUUAUGGUCGUAACCCGGUAAAGGAAAAGGAAGGCAGCAGGGUAGGGUUAGCUAGCUUUUGAGGGCCACACCCUGCAGCAGGGAGGAGCCACAAGCAUAGGUUGCAGCACUAGCACCCUUUGGAAAAUGGUUCCCACCAGCCAAAGUUUUCUCAAAUAUGUCGGUCCAAUGAUAGUCCUAAAUAAGCAUUUGAAUAUGACAGACAGACUGAUCCAACUUCCAGACAAUGGACACAAAUAGAGAGAAGAACAAAGACUCCAAAUUUGAGAACUCUCACCUCAUUCAAACCCGUUGGAAGCACACAAGCAAAUUUUAUCUACACCAGUGACUGCUUAGCAAGAACUAAACAGCAGCACAAAUCAAAAGCAAAAACUUCCAUCAAAAUUGCGUGCAAAUGGAGGCUAUGUUACAUAGGACAGGAUCACAUAAUCUCAGGGGACAUAAUCAUGACCAGUAGUCCAGUACUCGCUAAAUUCUAACAACAAUCGACCUAAGACAAAUUAUCACCCACUAGUUCAUGUAUGCCAUUAUAAUCGCAUUGAACAGAAAGUAAAGGAGUAGAGCAGAUCAGGCAGAAAGGGGAAGUAAGUAGUGACCAGCGAAUCAAACAUGGCCAGGAGGUCAAGGGCCUAAUCUCCUCGUUGUACCUCAACAUUUGUUUUCAAGUUUUAUUGCAUAUGCCACUGCUUAAAACCCAAAUAUAAACCAACUUCCCCAUAUCCAGUGCAACAGUACUAAGCACUCAACAAGUAUUGUAAGCUUUUAUGAUAAGCUUCAAAGCAAAAAGAGACAAGCACAUCCAUUUGUACCUGGGUUUACUUCCAUCUCAAUAAAAGCAGCAGAAGAAAAGUACAAUUAGUUAAGUAACAAGUAACAUCCAUGAUAAGAGAGACAACAAAAAUAAAACAAACAUCAAUAAUAAGAGAAAGACAAUCAGUUCUAAGAAAGCAACAGAAUUUUCACUCUUCACAGAUUGACAUGAAGAUAUAUACUAUGUUGUAUUCAUCAGCACCAUUGAGCAGAGACUGCUAAAAUUACAACUGCACCAGACAGCCUCCACAAAGACGGUCCUUGUAUCACAUUUAAAAUAAAAAAUAUAGGCAUAAUGUCCAUAAUUAGACUGGACAGGACAGGUCAUAGUUAUAUCUGUAAAAAGCCUCCGCAUUUCACUAACUGUUCUCAAUCUCUAAACAACUGCCUUCCUCUUACACAUGUCAAAAUUGCACUCUAGCUUUUCCUUGAAGCAACUACAAGUUAUACAUUUCUACUUCCCAACCCCACUAAUUCAAGGGUGAGCAUGCUUGUGCCCUUAUCUUGUUGAAAAUUUUUUUUAAAAAAAUUAAUAAAAAGAAAACUGAGAAGUCAAAAUUUUAUAUCAUGGAAUAAAUAAAAUAAUCCCACUUUUUACACAUGUACAGGAUGGUAAACAGGCUGACGAUUCCGUCUCUUCACCAAAAUGCAAGUGCAGGACGCUACACAUGCUUCUCGUUCCCAGAGGCAUGCCUGUGCAACACUGGAAGUGCCAAAAUAUGUCAUGUACAAUGUUUGACUCAAUCUCUACUGCGAAUGAAACCUUGCCGACUAAUGGCCCGAAUUGCUAUCUGCACUAAGUGUAGAAGUUCCUCUACAUCCUGGAAGCUGAAGUCAAUAACCCUCUUAACAGCAGCAAUGCCCUCCUUGUUUUGAGAUUCUUCAAGUAUCACACUUGCAGCUGAAAAGGCAUUUUGGGAUUUUCUGGUAGCUUCCAUAGCAGAAUUCACGUCUUUUGCCUGCACAAACAAAAUGUUGUUAGCUGCUGACCACCUGCAGCGUCCUCCAGUUGAACAACUACGGCAUGGUCUAACUCCAUAACAACAAUUAAAGCCAAUACCCUAAAAGCAAAAGCUUCUAUACUUGCAGAUAUCUGAGAAAUCAACCCUAAGUUCAAAAUCAUGUUCAAUUCAUCAGUCAUUUUAAACCAUCAAAUCAUAUGCAAUCCCAAAGACCUAACGAAGCAUUAAUUCAUGUCAGAAUGGUCACUGAAAAUAUCAGAAUAAGCCUUUUUUCCAAAUUUACUAUGUUGGCUGCCCUGUCCAGAAAAGGAACUUUUCAGCUAAAUUAAGUAUUUCAAGUUCAAUAAGUUAGAUGUAACCUCGCAGAUUGCAAUCAAUUAAACAUUAAUAAAUGAGGCAUUAAGAUGGAUGCACGAAUGCAGAAGAUAAUAUAUGAGCAUGAAUAGACUUACGAAAUCAAGCAGCCGGAAAAAGCCUGGGUGGUUUCGAGGAGCAAUAACGUGAUUCCCAGAAUGAGAACCAUUGCUUUUAGCCAAGGAAGCCUUUUCCACCAAUGCUUGAUUGUUCAAGUUGUCAAUAUCAGAUGCAGAAGAUGAAGGAGAUUCACCUAAGCACAAGAUCAGAAAAUCACAAAAUCAAAUAGUAACAUAAACCUGAGUAUAACUGAGGCAAGUUUGCAUGAAAGGAUUAGUCCACAUAUAUGAUACUAGAAUUAUAUCCAAAAUAUUGAGGAUGGCAGUUUCUAUGCAGUGAGAGGCCGCAGAAUGGCAGAGAAAAUUACUUCUUAAGAAUGCAUCAAAUGUUGCGAAUGGCGAAACACAGAAACAGGCUCAGGUGUUCAAAGCUUUCCAGAAACCAGAAGAUACAACAAGCUACAGAGUAAAUUUUAGGAAACCAUGGAGUACAGAACUGCCCAACACAAUCACACUUGGAAAGGGAAGAAGAAGAAAGGAAGAUCCUAGUUGCUGAGGAUGCAUGGUCCACUCUAAUUAGAGUGAAAGCACCAAACAAAUUCUGCAAACAAGAGACUAGAUGGAACAUCCCACCUCGUGAAUAUCCAACAUUGUUAAGCCAAGCAAUAAGAUACAACAAAUGGCCACCGAAUGCCAGAAGAUCUCAGCAGGGUCUAUAUUUUCUAACAUGCAGAUGAUACAAACAUGGCAAAAUGAUUCAAUGUUCACAGGAGGCCUAUAACAUGAGAGGUUUCAGAACAGUCACCGUACCUUGGGGAACAAUCUGCAAACUAGCUUGUAAAUCACGACACAGCCGAUUCGUACUAGUAUUUUUGCAGUAAACCACCCUCAUAUUAGCAACCUCCAUGCAUUUAUAAGCUAAAGCAGCAGCAGCCAUUUCCUGCUGUCUCUCAUAUUCAUGGGCACAGGUUCUGUAGGUUUUGAGAAAUUAUAUCAACUAUCAAGCCACAAAUGAGGGUAAUGAUCAUGCAUGACAUGUUUAACAAAACAGUCCAAGAUUCCUUCAUAUUAAUGAUAUCAUGAUUGCAGAAUUCCUCUAUCGAACACAAGUAAUAGUCAGUGAACAAAAUUCUGCAUUUUACCAGGACAAUUGUUCAAUAACUAGUCAUCUAAGCCCACUUGUUGAGGGUAAAUAGGUGCAAAUCAUUGAAAACAGUAUUUAAUAAUUGGAGUAGAUUAUAUACUGUUUAAUAACAUGAUGUAAAUUUUCUUCAAUGUGUAUGUACCAGGGUAACUAUGUAGGUCAGUCUUCAGACUUGCACUCAUUUUGGAGGGAAGAAAAAGGAAAAGGCAUAACAAGACUACAAGGAUUCUCACACAUGACAUGUAGCAAGAUGAUGUUGAUUUGGGAUAGAACAACAUACCAGUCAAUCAAACAACUCUAGAAGUAUUAGUAGUACUACAUCUACCCAAGAACAACCAGAGUAAAACAACAUCAUGAAAACACAAGACCCAUGACACACUAGAUCAGGGAGUAAACCAUCAAUCAGCUUGAACACUGACUUACUCGCAAAGUUUUGCAGCACUACCAUAAAUCUGCAUUUGAUUCAUCUCUCCAGGUUUGCUAUUCUCAAAGUUGCUCUCCAAAAGAGAAGCAGCAUGAAGAAAUUUUAAGGCUGCUUGGAAGUAUAGCUCAUUACAUUCAAAACUAAAUCCUGAGUCCUGCAAUUAUCAACCAAUAAGACAAGUUGAUGUGCUACUCAUGAACUAGCAAUACAGAGUUCCACAGAAAUUUUACGAAAUCAUGCAGGUCACAAGGACCAGAUAUAAACCUUGAUAUUAUCCGCAUCAUUUCUAAGGCCUUCGGCUUCUUUUAGCACAUCUAAAGGUGCGGUCAACCUAGCGGCAUCCUUUCUUUCCAGACUCGGGCCACUGAGAUCCCAUGCUACAGAUCGACCAGAAGCAGUACUGCCCAUGGCCUGAUGAGGUUCAUUAUGGUGAAUGAUAUUGCGAUGAUCUUUUGAAACCUCUGAUGCAUAAGUGCGGAUGGAAACAUCAUGACCUGGUACUUGCAAUAGACUUCCAUUCUGGGUUCCCGGAGCAGGUUUGCUAGCAAAAGGUAGCACCUCAUGUUCAUCUUCAGGAUGAUGGUCAAUCAGCGACUUCGCAUCACUACGAGCUUUCAAAGCUGAAUUGCUCCUCAAUGCAUCAGAACCCUUGAUUAGGUCUUGUUGCAUGAGGUUAUUUGCAUCCUUGCUGCAAGGAUCACCUAAAUUGACACCUGAUCUCCUGUGCCCUUUAGGUUGCAAUAGGUUCUCUAGACUGCCAUCAAGCAAUUUUCUUGACUCUCUCUUGCUAAUACUCUUGUUACUUUUAACAGAUUGAACUCCAGACUGAUCAACAAAAGGUUGUUUCACAUCACCCAGCAAGACACCUUCAGCUGCAACGUGAUUUUGAUCAAUACCUGUGUCUACACUUGAACUUGUCUUUGGGUUUAAGUCUCCCCGAUCAUUUGGUAGAUCAGAGACAUUCUCUACUGCAUCUUCAGAAUCCAAACCAAAAUUCCUGCCUUUGUCCUUGGGCAGCAGAGAGGAAGCCUUUCGAGAUUUCUUUUGGGGUAAGACAGUAUUAUGCUGGUCCUUGCCAAUCCUGUCUUUGACAGAAAAAGGUUCUGAAGCAUGCCUAUCAGUCAGAUAUGUGCUAUGACUCUCCAAGAUGUCAAGAUGAUCAUUAUCUAGAUAACCAUUUCCAAAAAGUGAAGGUGGUCUACCACCAAGUUCACAUUCCUCACCCAAUUUGCCUCUAGCAUCAGUUUUCCGAAAGUCGAGCAUAUGGUUUUCAGCUAACUCAGGAUUGAGAACAUCAGGAUUUUUCCGCUUCUUAGCUAUCCCAGAUCUCUUGGUCACAUUAUUAACAUCCCCAUCCACAGCUUUUCUGGGGCUUCCUUUUAUGGGAAAACCACCUACUUUGACAUCAUCCAGCUCAAAACCAUCCAAUUUUUCUGGAGACAAUUUGUUCAGACUGGACAUCCUCAUGGGAGAUGAAGAAACUGAUUCAACUGGUGAACCAUUCACUCCUUGAUAACUGUUUCUCUUUUUACGGGAAUCAGAAACCUUUGAUGAGCUUGAUGUGGCAGCUGUUAACACUGGUUCACAUCCCAAAUCCUUUUUCAACGACUCCAAAUCCUCCAUGGUCAGUUGAGAUGUAAUUUUUACUCUGCAUUUGUUUAACUGCUUUGGCUUAUCAAAAUUUCUGUCAAUUGUAUUAUUACAAGCCGAUGGAACCAUUCUGGUGUUCAUGUCUUUUCUUUUCAAUUCAGCACUAGACUUACUUCUACUGGACUCCUUCCCAUCAAUCUGAGACACCCGAAGUUUCUUGUCCCUCCUGAAUCCACUGUCACUGCUCUCCUCCUUCGCAGGCAAAUUUCUGUCAGGGAGUUGACUUCCAUCAUUUUGAAGUGUCUCUGCAUUAUUUUGAGAACUUUGCCAAUCCCUCAGUUUUCUCUUCUUUAAGGAUAUCUCCCCACUAUUGGAUUUCCCCAUCAUAUCCACAUAUCCAUUACCCAAUAAACCUGAUGCACGUUCACUUGGUUUCCUGAGAGAAGUUUGUAAACCAUUCCUCUCCUCCUCUUUUGGAUAAUCACAUUCACUGGGAUUUCGGUUUUCUGUAGGUGCCAAUGUUGGCAAAAUAGUUUUUGACUUGAUGCCUGACCUGCCGAGGCAUGCAGCAGAAGCCUGGAUGUUCUUCGCUGCAGAAGCAGUUUUACUCUUCUUUGAAGGCUCAAUUUCAUGCCUAUCAGUCUCUCUUUUGCUUUUCUUCUUUAGCUUUACAUCACCUACCGAAUAAGUCUGAUGAAAAAAACAAAAACAUACUAAAGCACAGAAAACAACAUUAAGAUAUAAGAUGAUGACAAACCUCCAGUUACAUGCUUCUGUUUCUGUCUAUUCGAAUGCUUUUCCACUGCAAUUUCUGACACAGUAAUGGAUCUAUUAACUGGUUUAACUCCCAAAGAAGACUGCUUCAUAUCUUUUGAACUUCCCCUUUUCACCAGAUCCUGUUCAAAGUUUUUUCCCUUGCUGCCAGUAAAAGAUGUUUCUUUUAUUUUAUGAGCCUUCUUUCUUCCACUAGCCUUGUAAUCAAAACCAACAUUCUGGUGGCUCUGAUUUAGGAGCUGUACGUCAACUGCAUGUGCUCCAGUUGCAGGCCUAUCAGCAUGAUUUUGAAUCCAAUGUUGGUUCUCUAAAACAGGAAACUGAUAUGAAGCAUAGAGAGCCUUCGUUGUCUCCUCCUCACUAAUGUCACAAUGGUUCAUUCCAGGCCUAUAUAUUAAUGAAAUAAAACUGGUUAAUAUCAGGCCUAAAGAUUAAUUUAAUUAGAUUGUUACUCAGGCUUUAGUAGGUUCUUGUAUAUCUACCAUAUACACACACAUUGCAGAAUUUUGAAGCAAAACACAUUAUUUGCACAUUCAGGAGAAAAUUACAGAAAACAGACAAAAAAUAGUGGUUUUUCUAAUCCGUAGUUCCUCAUGCGCAAUAUGUGACUUCAAGAAAAACUAAAUUGAUUUGACAAUACAAACCGCAAAAUGCAACAGAAAAGAACUUACAGCCAGUUCAGCAUGCUGCACAGCCACUUCUCCGGCAGAUCUUCAGGCUUUGUACCAUAAGGCAGGAGACGCCAGGCCUGACAUUGGUCACAUUGGACCCAAUUUUCCUCUAUGAGAGCCAUUGUAGCCUGUUCUGUGACCAGUGUCGGCCCAUUAUUUAUAGGAAGACUGUCAAUUGGAGGAUCAUUCAGUAAUGUUUCAGAUAUCACCUGGUCAUCAAAUUUACUACCCCUUGGCUUCCCUUUUGGUCUAUCACCAUAUGGCUGCUUUUCUUUCAGAGUCUCAACAUUUGAGUCCUUCAAUCUGUUGACAGAUGAAUUCUCCAACACAUCCACUCGUGCUGAGUUUGUCUCAAACAAAUCUUUAUAGGUAUCACGAACCUUAUUUGCAUCCCUCUUAGUAGCCUUUUGUCUCGCCACAGCAGAAAUACCAGCCCUUGUACUUUCUUCUGCUGAAUCCACAAACUGCUUUCCUCUAACUUGAGCUCCCUUUAACUUCUUUUUACUUUCUGAUGAAAACUUCUUUGCAGAUACAGGCAUCCUUGAUUGAUCUUCUUCAUGGGUAGUUCUAGCACUUAAUUUCUGUAUCGAGUGAUCAAUACCCCCUUUAGUAUCUCUUUCACUUUGAGAUGUAUCAGAAUCAGCUUUGAGUGAAGCAGGAACCUGGUUAGCUUUGUUCCCUAUGCCUUCAAGUUUAUCAACUGGAACAUCCUUCUGGGAACUUUUUACGUGGUUUUUCGUAAUCCAGUCCAAUGAGCAGCUUUUAUCUUCUUGAUGCUCAAUCUUACUAUCACUUAGGCCAGACAUUGAUCCAAAGGACUCAUCCUUGACCAGCUCAGUCACCGACAAUCUGCCCUUGGCUUUGUCCUUGGUAUCCUUCCUCUUCUUUAAGGUGGCACCAUUUUCAUGCUCCCCAAAAGCUUCAAGCGCCUUAGCUGAGUCCUUAAAUGAGUCCUUGAUUUGCGGCACCUCGGCUCCAGGGUUUUCCUUUAAGCGGGAGAGCAUAUGAUCCUCAAAAGCCAUUUGAUUCCUGCAUUUUGAUUCAUUAUAUUUUUUACUCUUCCCAACAGCUUUGCUUUGCUUCCUUGUCAGUAGAACCUCAUUGCUUAACCUGGAGGUGGAAUCAUCCACAGAUGUGGUAGAAUGGUUAUGCUUUAACUUGAUCGUGGCCUCAGGCUUAUUACUUUCCAUUGGUAUGUUACUUAUUAAAUUAAUAAAAGUGGUAUGAAGAGGUGAAAGAAGCAGGCCCCCAGCAAUGGUCAAGGAAGUCAGCAUCUGUCCAUGUUAUGCAAGCAAACAACCAAUUGAAAGGACAGAAAAUGAGAUCGACACUGUAAGAACAUACAAAAUAUACAAAAAUUUAAAAAAAAAAAUUGUGGCUUCUGGAAGUACCUUAAGAAUGCAGGACGAAGAUUCAUCAGAAGUCUCUUGAGAUUCCAAUAGAUUUCCUCCACUUCCUCCAGGACUGUUACCCGUCGAAGAAGAUGGAGAUGUUAAACCAAGACCACUGUAGAUUGCAGCAUUCUUUUGUGGGACUUUGAUCCGAAAUUUCAGUGGUUUUUGAUCACUUGGAUUAAGUGACUUAUUUGUGGAUGGUUGACGUCUUGUGGGAAAUUUAUCAGUAACUUGGACAGAAGACAAGCAGGAAUCUUGUCUCGAUCCGUCUCCUGACUGGACCACCUUUUCGUGUGACAAAUGGACUCCACGGCUAGCAGCUGUUCCAUUUCUCUGAGACAAAGGCAGAUCAGGGGGAGCAGUUGCAUUUUGUACAGCAACCUGUUUUGCAACACAAUUCAAGGUGCUAAAUGGAAAGAGAACUACCAAAAAUUUAGUAAUUCAUAUUUCAGCCAUAUGCCUCAUUCCCCAGCAAAUAAUUAGAAAGGGAAAGAACAAAACUUGCCAAUGUACCUCCCUACACAUAGGAGAUUUUGUUGUGGUGUGAAUUUGAACUCUUUGAGGACUCUUUGGCUGUGACCAAAUUGAAGGUGAGCGUUGGUAUGUAGGCAGGAAAGAACCAUAACCACCAAACUUCGCCCCUGAUAAAGUAAUUGAAUCAAUCUCAUCACUUUUAGAACAGAAAGAAGAACCUUAAACUUCUUCUUUGUCAUAUAAAGUUCCAAUUCUGCUAUACUCACCUAAGUUUUCAGCAGAAACUCCUCCUUCAAAAUAUUUCUGAAAAUGGCCUAGCACACUUUGGACCUUCUCAUCCUUCAGAAAAAGGAAUGAAAGGAUCAGGACAGGAAAUGCAUUUUUGGGAAAAAUAUCAGAAGUGCAGCAGAAAGAACACAAAAAAACUGUGAUAACACUCCUGACAAAAAUAAUCAAUGCUCCAUGACAACGAAUGACACCCACACACACGAAAAAAAAGAGAAAAAAAAAAAAAGACAAUCUGAAACUUGUGAAUUGUGUCCCGAAGGAAAAAUAUGCGACACGCAUCAUAUAUUAGAUUUUGAAGACCAGUGAUGACAAACAAUAAUGGUACCUAGGAGCAGGUAGAAGUUGGCAUGGAGAGAAUCACGAAAUUAGAUUGAUUAAUAACGUGGCAAACAAUCAGUAUGAAAGUUACAAACAUGAACCUCACCCCAAAAUUCUAAUCAAUUGUAAACUUUAUAAUUAGAAAGCAAAACAACACACAUUAGAAUAUUAAUGAAACCAUAGCAGCACAUCAUAAUGUCUGAAGCCCCAAUGUAGAAACUAAAAUUUCCUCAAUCCAUGGAACUUUGCACAAUUUCCAAUUAAAAUGCUAUAAAGCACAUGCCUUGAGGUAAAUGUGCAAUGAAACUCCAUCAAAAUUUUGUCUUUUUUCAAAAUUCCCCCUUAUACUUGCUACAUUUCAUUUGGAAAUAAAUGAUCAACCAUACUUGCUGUACAGCAGAAUCCAUCUAUGCUCUAAGACAAACAGAUGUUACUUAAUCUUCUAGCAUUUUGUAUCACAAUUCUAGUUAUCAUUAUCAAUUACUCGUCCAAUCCAAUAACUAAAUUGUUAAUUGAGCUUCCAGCGAUAAAACUCAAUGCCACCAUGUUGUUUUUCUCCUUGCUAGUCAAGUCUGCAAAUGUUGAGUUAUAUAUGUUUUUUAUUUACCUAUGAAGCUAAAAACAAUAACUUCAGUACAAAUUAAUCCACAAAAUCUGAUUUACACAGAGUAAAGAACAGAACAGAGCUCUUACAAGGUAAGAAAAAGCUAUCUCAGGAUCGAUGCUUGUAUCAUCAUCAUAAGCCUCCCCUUCUUCAAGCUCAGCCUCCAUUUUUGGAGACCCACCUCCCCAAACCAUCCCUUCUCCACACACCCUACCUCUACCCCCGACCUAUGAGGAACCUACCUUUACAGCUUUACUCCCGUAUUCCCAAAACCCUAACCCUAAAUUCACCCGUUAUCCUGAAGUCUAGCAUAAUCAGUAAACAAUCCAAAAUUAAAAAAUACAACUCUAGCCCACAAAAAUUCUCCAAAAACCCACAAAAUCCCUCCAAGGAAUUGCUCUAUAGCUUCCGGGAUUUGCCACCAGGACAAACCCCACCAAACCUACCUGAUCAUAUUUAUAUAAAUGUAUAUAAACUACUAUGUAUAUUCCUGCGAAGAGCAAAUGUAUACAGAAAGUAACAGAAAAUGCGUGAAUUGAAAUCACUGCUAAUAAUCAGAAGACUGAGUGCUUUGAAGCAUCAAUCGCUGCAGCGACGGAAUUGAUUCUGAAUUUAUAAAUAUUUUUCUUUUUCUUUUUUUUCCCCCCCUGCCUUGGUUAUGUCUGAUGUGUAUAUGUUGUGUGUAUGGAGACACAGCACGGAGAGAGAAAGGAGGCCGUGUUGUUGUAUUCUGUUUUCUUUUUCUUGUCUUCUCUUUUCUUUCUUUCUUCCGCAUGUGUUAUAAUAUGGGCUUUUAUUUUCCUAACUCCCCUUUGUUUACUUUUCCAUUUAGCAAUAUUGCUUAUUUUACAAAUAUUCUUUUGCCUUUGGCCCAAAGUAAUUAAACAUGUUUUCCCUUUUUUUUUUAUCUUUAUUUUUCUUAUUAGUUUCCGCGCUUAUUUGUACUCAAAGUUUCCCAAAAUUAGCAGCUACAUCGUCACAAAUUACGUAAAAAAGCUAAAAGCUCGUAAAUUUGGAUGAAUAUCUAUAACAAAAAGAACUCGUUGAUAUACCUAAAUACUUCUGGUAUUAAGUUGUCCCUCAGAAAUUAUCAAAAUUAGCAAACAUGCAAUCGCAAAUUAAAAUUUGAAUGAGUUUUGAAUCAGUAGUAUCUCAAAAUAAAAGAGCUCGUGAAUAUAGUUAAACAUGAAUUGUCAUUGCGACAAAAAAAAAAUGUUAGGUACAGUAAUUAUACUACAUCAAAACGAUGUUCAUAACUAUUUAACAAGAUUGAGCAAAUAUUAGGGGGGAUUGUAAAAAUUUUAUUGAACUUUAAUCUCUUUAUACAUGAUUUCUUGUGGAAUAUAUGGUUCUGUCUGGUUCGUGGAGGGAGAAUAUGUUGGUUUUGACUGGUGAGCGUAUAGUAGUGUAUCAUGCAUAUGAUAGCUAAAAUCCAAUAAGAAUGGGAAUGGCAGGCAUCUUCAGAGUCUCUCCUAGAAAAAUAACAAUACUGAUCUGAUGCUGAUUUUUUUUUUUUACUCCACCAGGGUUAGGGUUGGAUUCAUUUUGAAACUGUAACACGACCAGUUACUGUUAGGCCCAUAAUUGAAAAUCUACAUUCAGCUCAAAUAUCCCACACCAAACCUCCAUCAAAACCUCAAUAAAUCAAAGCCCAAGCAGUUAACUUGUUUGGAGCUCACAAGACUAAGUAGAGAGCAAAAGAAGCCUCUCUCGCCCUUCGCCAGAACUCUCAAGACAAUUGUUUUAAAAUUUUCUGCUAAAUGUUGCAUUUGGAUUUUGUUUGUCUAUUUGAAGAGAACAACAUUUGGAGUAACUAAAUUCCCAUAUUUGAUUGUUUUCUUUUAUAAAAAAAAAACCAAACAUUUUCCCUCUCUCUCUAUCUCUCCGAGCAGCAAAAAGAAAAACAAAUAUCAAUAUAUUCUAUUAACUACAAAAAUAUAUUCCAAAAAACCAAAGAAAUUAACCUUGAGCAAAUAAAUUAUGAUGUGACAAGGACGCCAUAAAUUAAGAAGAGUCCAUUUACCAUUUACGAAAAAAUCACGAGAUUUAUAGGCGGGCGAUAAAUACAAAUAUAAAAUUCUUAGAAUCAAGAGCGUUGACUGUCCUUUUAUUUUUUUUUUUCGUUAAGUUGUUUAGUACAUAAUUUUCCAUAAAUCAAUACACUAUUUUUUCAUAAUCAAACUAGCAUGAUCAUUGACUGUAAGCUAUCUUAUAGUAGAUUCCUACACUAAUUGUUAGGCAAGUAUUGAUACCUAAAAAUACUUGUACUUAUAAGGCAACCACUAAUUUCUACUGUAAUUGCAAAAGUACGGCCUUAAUUUUUUUUUUGUAAAAAAGUUUUUUAGGUUUCUAUAAGAAUUUUUUUGUUACACUGUUUCUAAGCAUCUUUUCGUUUUCACGUAUAUCACAUCUUAAAAAAGUGCUAUAUUAUAUUUUUUUUAAUAGAAAAAAAAAGAGCCGAAAUAUUACAAUCUAUUGCAGAAUAUUGCAGAAAAAAGAGUGUAACAAGGAAAAAUACUUUAUCAGCACCAUCCAAUUUGUUUUUUCUCACAACAACAAAAGCAAUUAACAGAAACUAUAUAUAUAGUUUGAUUAUUCCUCUGACGUGUACUUUAAACACUUUCCUCAAUUAAAACAAGUUUCCGGCUAAAACCAAUGCUUAGUCUGACUUGAAGCUCGACUUGAAGCUCUUAAGAUACAAGAGGACCAAAUUCUGUCCCAAUUUUUAUUGCUGAGAUUUUGCUACUUACCAAAUUUGGACACUUUUGCCUACUCAUUGUUGAUCUCAUAUUAAGCAGUAGAAUCGCAAUACUACGUGACUUUACAGCAAAGUACUCAAAAAUGGGUUUUAUUUACAGAAACUCCAUUGGUUGUAUCCUAUGGUACAACUUCCUCUUUCCUUUCCAAAAAUAAUCAUCUUUCAAAUCCCCUAAAUUUCUAGGGUUAAUUUAGUACUCAACUAAAACUUUCCAUUUCCUCAUCCUUCCCUCUCUCAUUUAAAGAACCACUCCUCCUUACACCAUAUAUUGUUUUUCCUCUUCAAAGUUUCAAUCUUUUUUGGUCGGGUUUGGAAUUCUGUGGAGAUCCAAGUUUUAAUUUUUUUUAGUAUUAGUUUUUUUGCUUUGCAAAAUUUAGUCUUUUUGGUUAUUUGAGUUGUGGCUGAAUUGUAGGUUUUUUUUUUUGAAGCAAUGAUUUUUCAUUAAUGUCAAUAUGUGAAUUCAGUUUUCAAGUGUAUAAGCCGGUAGGGGAAUUGAAUUGGGCUAAUGGUGAAGUGGGUUGUGAUUUAGGUGCUUAAUUUUUGAGAGGGUUGUCUUUUUGGUGAAAGUUUCUGCUCUUUACGUUGGGAAAAUUAUUCAAACAAUCGGAGGAAGUGGAUGAUGUACCAUUCUUCUGGUAUGGAUUACUCGCGGGAACCUGGCAUGCCCACGAGGUUUGUGUGGCCUUAUGGUGGAAGAAGUGUGUAUAUCUGUGGUUCAUUUACUGGGUGAGACUUCAAAAUGUCCACCUUUUAGAAUUUUAUCAUGUUUACAUUAUGGUUCAGUCCUCUUUGUUUUUUUUUUUCCAAUUCUGGUUAGUUCUAUUAUAGUGGCAACUGGUUAGUUUCAUUAUAUCCCUAUUCAGCACUUGACAUUAGCGUGUAAUAUUGUUAUAUUGAUUCUAGUUAGUUGUAGCACUAAUAAUGGUGGCAACUGGUCAUUUUGUUAAGGUGGGCACAACAUCCGAUGACUCCAGUGGAGGGAUGCCCAACGGUCUUUCAGACAGUUUGCAACUUACCUCCAGGCUUCCACCAGGUUUCUGUUACAUACGUUGUGCUUUUGGUGAAAAGUUAUUGCCUUUUAUUAAUCUGUAUACUUAUUGUGUAACUUAUCUGGGGCAAAAUGGGAUGCUUAAAAUGAUAACUUCACUUGUGAAAUUUAGUCAUACCAUUCGUUUUCUGGUUUCAUCGUCUGCAUUAUUAUAAUACUAGGAGAUGCAAGUUUCCUUUUAAAAAGAAGGGAUAAGAAAAAGAAAAAGAGGAGAUAGUUACCAUGUUAUCAUUUGAUCUUUUGGUAAAUGCUACAUUAGGUCUUUAGAAUGUUUGGUUUUGGUGGCAGCAGUAAAUAUAAUGAGAUCUAAGUUUGUGCUAUGUUUGAGAGAAACUUUUUGCGUGAGCAUGAAAGUUUUGCUCCUUUUUACAUAGUUUAUACAGUUUAAUACAAAAUAGAUUUUCUUGAAAUUUUUUGGUCCAUUUAAAAGUUCCAUCAGAUAUUGCUGUUUCUUGGAUGAAUCUUGAAUUCUAAUCUGUUGGCCUCUUCUGUGACCAGGUUCACUUUGGAUUGUAACCUAGUCAUAGCAACAAAGGCAUACAAGAGUAUGCACAAAAUCUGGCAGAUCUGUGAAUUAACACUCUUAUAUCUUGUAUCUGUAAAUGCAGUACAAGUUUGUCGUUGAUGGUGAAUGGCGGCAUGAUGAGCACCAGCCACACGUCUCCAGUAACUAUGGGACUGUCAACACUGUCCUUUUAGCAAGGGAAUCUGACUACCUGCCGCCAAUGCUUAAUCCUCAAUUUCCUGCUGGUUCUAAUAUGGAUGUUGAUAAUGAGGCCUUUCAGCGUCUGGUAUGAGAGUAUUUUACUGCAUCACACAUUAUAAAUACUUUUGGUGAUAUUACAGUUUUUGCUUCUGUGAUUUUUUCAUAAAUAGCUGGAUGAUUUGAGAUUCUCAACCUAAUUUCAUCUCUCUAAUUAUUUGAAUGCAAAUUGGCUUUGAGUAGACAAAAUAAUGUGCAUCAACUAGCCAUAAGAAGUUGGAUUUCCAUCUGUGAGUUGGGAGCCUUGUAGACAAGCAUCCAAUAGAGUAAUUUUGUAUUGCUAAUCUGUUCCUUUCUUGUUUCUUGCCUUGCAUCACAACAGCAUAAAAGGUUGUAUCAAAAGUUUUGGUGGUCUCUACAAAUGCAUUGAUGGAACUCCUGAUUGUUGAAUAGAUAAUUUGAUUUCUGAAUUUUAUAAUGACUUUAUAUAGUCUAUUGAUGAUUUUCUUCUUGUCCUAUAUGAUCUCCUUUUCGUGCCUAUGUGUUAGAGUAUUAAUGUUUGCUGGUGCUUUACAUCUGGUUAUUAAGUUUCAGGUCAAAGUUUCAGAUAUUGGGUUAUCAGAAGCAGACUUAGAGAUCUCUCGCCACCGCAUUUCUGUAUUCUUGUCUGCACAUACAGCUUAUGAGUUGCUUCCUCGGUCAGGAAAGGUAUGAGUUAGUUGACCUAGCAAUAGUCACUAGGAAUAUAUUGCAGCAUAUCUCUCUCUUGAUUUAAAUCAAAUCUGGUGCCCAGGUUAUUGCUUUAGAUGUUGACUUACCUGUGAAGCAGGCUUUUCACAUUCUUCACGAGCAGGUAUGGUCAAUUUCUUGCAGACUUGACUGGUUUCCUGUUCUUGAGAGGACUUCAAAUUUGUAAUACAAGUUGGGUUAAGUUUGGCUCUUGGUUGUUAUAAGCCACCUAAAUGUGAAAAUACACUAGUGACAUUAUUCUAUUGCAAGUAUAUUCACUUCUGGGGCUCUUGUGACCAUUGAGUAGUUGACCAUUGUACUGAUCGGGAUGUUGAGCAAAUGUGAUUUUUGUUCUUUUUUUUGGAUGAUAUUUGUUCAGGUUUUGCAGAUAUGCAUCUUAUGUUUCCUAUUGUCUGAUCAACAAAAGAAGAUCCCUUAGUUUGCUUCUCCUUUGUACAAAUCAAUACCAUGUAUUCAAUAAGCAAUGCACUUGGUUAAUAAUAUUUGAGAUAAUGCAGUAAGUUCGUGAUACCUUGUUAAAUGCAUCCAACUAUCCAAGACCAAGAUCUGAUUAGUGAUGCAGGGAUCAUAUAACCUAUUUGUUAAUGGUCCCUUUAUUCUUGGAAGAUACUCUAUCUUGUUUUCCAUUUGUUCGUCUUCCAGUUGGGUAUUUGAGUCUUUCUGAUAUUGCUGUAUCCCUUUUCUAAGCCAUGCUAAUUACAGGGAAUUCCUAUGGCUCCUCUGUGGGAUUUCUGCAAGGGCCAGUUUGUUGGAGUUCUGAGUGCACUGGAUUUCAUCUUGAUUAUGAAGGAGGUACCUGCUGUGAUCUUUAAUCUUAGGACAGAAUUUCUAUUUGCUUGUGAUGGUUGUACUUUAUAUAAAUUCAGGUUAGAUUACAUGGGCAGUGUUCGUCAGUAAGCUUAACCUGAUAUCCGCAUUUGAUAUAACAGUCUUGUGAUAAUAGGCCUUUUUUUUUUACUUGAACUUGUGACUAUCCCCAGCUCAAAUAGUUGGGAGGUGGAAUGACUUUGUAUGUUCUGACAGAGUAUUUUGUAUUCCUCUAUGAUAACUUUCUGAAGUAAUAGUUGUCCAUUGACCAAAUCUGAUUGCACUAGCUCUUAGAAACUGGGAUAUUUGCAAUUAUGGUCUCAACUUUGCAGCUCAGAAAUCAUGGGUCCAAUCUGACAGAGGAAGAGCUUGACUUGCACACUAUAUCUGCUUGGAAGGAAGCUAAGUCAUUUAUGAAUAGACAAAUCAAUGAUGGUGGAAGAACAGGUCCCAGGCAACUUGUCCAUGUAAGUACUGAUUUAUUUUAAUUGCAAACUAGUUGUGAGAAACUCUGUUGCCUUUUAUAAUAAUGUUGAUAGUUUGGGUCCUUAGAUUCUAAUGAUAGACACACACCAAGUUUAGGCAUAAGUUGUAUUUAGUGUCUUCACUUUUUCUUUAUUUUUUGUUUUACCUUGUUAAUUCUGAACAAAUUAUUCAGUGUGCUUCUCUGGUUCCCUUUUGUCUGGAAUGAAUAUUUGUGGGCAUUGCCCUUCCAGAGGUUUUAAUAGUUGAUCAAGUCUCCUCUUGUUUCAUGAUAUGUUAAUUUACAAUUAUUCAUGAUCACAUUUAUUUUCAUAGAUACCAUAUAGAGGGAAGAGUGUUGUUAUCAAUGUUAGGGCAAAAUGGUAAGAUAAGCUUCCUUUUAAUAAGGCUAAUGGGGAUGUCUAUUUGACUAUGACGAAAUUUAAGGGGGUAGUUGUUAUUGUCUUGUUAUUUCACUCUACAAGUUCCGUUCAUCUAUUUCCUGCGACUAUUGAUGCUGUGGUUUUAUGCAGUAAAUUGGUUGACAUAAAAUAUUGUUUUUUCUGAAGCUGUUCCUAUUUUUUGGUUCCUAAAUAUUGGUCCAUCCUGUGCUUAAGCAUGUAUUUUCUGCUUAUUGCAUUUUGUUUUUGCAGGCUGGGCCAGAUGACAAUUUGAAAGAUGUUGCCUUGAAGAUUCUACAAAAUGGGGUGGCUACAGUUCCUAUAAUUCAUUCCAGCACUGAGGAGGGAUCAUACCCACAGCUAUUGCAUCUUGCUUCACUUUCUGAUAUACUUCAAAGUACCGUGUUAAUCAGUUCUGUAGACUUGUAAUUUGUUUUCUUCCUUGUACUGAUGCUUCUGCCAAAUUCAGGCAUUUGCAGAUAUUUCAGAUAUUCUUUAGGCUUAUUGCCUGUACUCCAGCUCCCAGUUUGUGCAAUCGGAUUGGGAACUUGGGUUCCAAAAAUUGGAGAGUCAAACCGGCAGCCGUUUGCAAUGUUGAGACCAAGCGCUUCCCUUAGUGCAGCACUUAAUUUAUUAGUUCAAGGUAUUUUUCCUACUCCUAAGGGAUAGCUGUUGAAUUGUUGUGCUGUUCAAGCUGUAGAUCUCCUUUUUUUUGGCUUUAGUUAUUUGCCCUUUUUGGAGAAUGUUUGCUUCUGAUCUUCUUUGUACCAUGAGGAUAUUGGUAGAUUAAGCGGGAUGAAAUAGAAAUAUUCACGAGUGUUAAGUGUAUAAAUCUAUAACUCCUUGGAGAAGGUAACUAAAAUCAAGUGCUUGCAAAGCAUUUUGGACUUAACAUGUGAUGUCUCAUCACUUGUAGAACUGGUGAGUUUUGAACCUGCAAAAGUUCCUUUUGCACCAUGAUUCUGGGUGGAAAGUCAUGGUAGUUUCUCAGAAAAGUAAACUCAACUUGAGAUUUUGCAGAUAGAUGUAAACAAAUGUGAUUUGGAGAAAGAAUUAUCUAAUUCAGGCCUGAAAUACCUCUGUACUUUUGUACUCAAGCAUGUUGUCUGUUUCCUUUGCAGCUCAAGUUAGUUCAAUUCCUAUUGUUGAUGACAACGACUCCUUACUGGAUGUGUAUUCUCGAAGGUAAGGAUUUAUUGUGUAUAUUAUUGCAUAAUUUUAACAACAGACUUAUAUUAUGUCGAAUUGGACUCUACUUUCCCAACAGUUGAAGGCAAAUGUUGAUUGUGUCUUUGACAGCGAUAUUACUGCAUUGGCCAAGGACAAAUCUUAUACAAAUAUUAAUCUUGAGGAGAUGACUGUUCAUCGGGUAAGCAUAUUGCCUUAGUUUGGGAGUGUCCUUGCAAAGCCUAAGGCUUUGGCUACAAGUUCGAGUGUAUGCAUGACGUUAAAUUUUCUGAUGCACUGUCUUAGCUUCAUUGUUCAUCUCUUUUUCUUUUCUCCUUAUGCUGGAAUGCAUCUUAGGCCUUGCAGCUAGGUGAAGAACCGUAUUCCCCAUAUGGGAUCAGCCAGCAAAGAUGUCACAUGUGUUUGCCAACUGAUCCGCUACACAAGAUUAUGGAGAGAUUGUCCAAACCAGGUUAUUUAUUGUGCCAAAAUCUAUCAGAUUUUUUGUGCUAAAGUUCCAAUGAUUGGCAGUGUUUUCUUUGCUUGUGGAGGUUUAGGUUUUGUUUAUUUUAAUGGUAAGGUCAUCACCCUAUCACGAGAUGCAUGAAACUUGAAGUUAUGAUUGCAGGGGUGAGACGGCUUGUCAUAGUGGAAGCUGGAAGCAAGCGGGUGGAAGGUAUUGUAACAUUAAGCGAUAUUUUCAGGUUCCUGCUUGGGUAGUAGACAAAAAUGCAUCAGAUUGGGCGACGGCUUUUACAAUCCGGUGGCUUUUAGUCUGUUUAUGCUGACACCAUUUCUGCACCAGCAAGGAGAAAUCUUCUCUAUGGUGAUUUUAUUUCAAUUCUUUCAUACAUACAAUUGGAAUGGCCUGACAUUUCAAGGCCUGGGUUUUAGGGUAGUAGGCUCAAAAAUGUGGCUGCAAAUUGUCGCAGUUGGGUUGUUCCAUAAACUGCUAGCUCCCCUUUACAAAGUAUUGUCCCCUAAGUUAUGCGGCUAGGAUGCUAGAGUUUUGUUGAAAGCAUGGACCUGCAGUUUUCUGCUGCAGGGGACAGGAAAGUUGGGAAAUAAAGUGUUAUGAUCAUUAAUGUCAUUUUAGCAUCCAUCUUGAUCUUGUGCUCUGGUUUUUAUAGGCACAAUGUCUUCUUAUGAUUGAACUUUCUGCUGGUUUGUUAAUUUGUACUAUCAUUUUCAUUUUCAAGUUAACGAGUUUUUAUGUUAUGAUAAAAUGCCGAGGACAAAGCCAGAAGAGAGGAUAGAAAACUGAUUGGUGUUAUUCUCAUGGUCGGAGGGAGACACUCUGUACACAUCAAGUCUCUUACUUUGGUCGACACUUGAUACACCCUAAAGUCAAACUGAUUUUGAUUGCAUUGAAUAAGAACCGAAAAUUCCAAACCAAAAGAGCCUUGGAUGAUGCGGUCAAAGGUUUCAAACUGAUUUUGAUUGCACUUGAUAAGAAACCAAAAAUUCCAAACCAAAAGAACCUAGGAUGAUGCAGACAAAGGUUUUACAUUUCCUUUUCGUCCUUACCAUACAUAUGUACGUAAAUACAUACAUAUAUAUAUAUAUAUAUUUAUAUAUAUAUCCCCUCGAAAUUGUGAGGCUAAUACAAGAAAUAACAACUAUUUAUAUAUAAUCCACAACUAUGAUAUACAUGUAUGUAUAUUUCCCCUCAAAAUUGUGAGGCUAAUACAAGAAAUAACAAUUGUUUAUAUAGCCCACAACUAUAAUAUUAAUACAAGAAUCACAAUUGGUUCAAACUUAGAAAUUUUAUUUUUACUUCGAAUAUUGACAAGAAGCCGUAAAUUCGGCAACCGAAUUUUCAACUUAUUCAUUUUUUGGACAAGUUUUCCACCAAAAUACAAGAAUUAGGACACUAUUUCUAAUACAAGAAUUAUUAGGUUCAGGACGUUGCUCUUGCACAGCCACUUGAAUGCGAACUCCGUUUGAAUUAACUGUUUUUUAGGGUGUUUUUGAAAAAUUUUGCUGUAACAGAGUUUUUAGAUUAUAUUUUAGAAUAUUUUCAAAACAUAUUUUGAGAUAUUUAAAAAUAGAAGAAUUUCUAGAAUAUAUUUUGAGAUAUUUUUUAAAAUUUUUAAAAAAUUUAAAUUAAUUUUUAGAUUACCUUUUAAAUUACUUUUUAAAAAUUUUUAUUGUAUUUGAAAAAAUAGUUUUUCAAAAAUACUCUCCCAAUCCAAAUUCCAAAAACAAAUCAACAGUAUAAGUGCAAGUUCAAAGUUCCCAACACCACCCUCCCCCGCCGUCCGCCGCCGAACGCAGCCAUACGUAACUAUACGUACAUGGAUAGAUAUACGCAUAAAGAUAGAGAUAUGGAAGGACUAACAGAAGAGGAGAAAAGGGCACUAAGAGGGAGUAAAUUUGCACCGCUUCCAUCUGCUCCUCAACCCCGCCAUCAACCCAGGUAACCCACCCCACCCUACGGUGACCAAAUUCUGUAUAUUUUAUUAAUUAUGUACCAAAAAAUGUGAUUUUUUAAUCUGGGUUGUGAGGCAAAAAUGCAAUUUAUUAGUGAUAACUGAUGAAUUUUGUCUGUGUGUGUGUGUGUGUGUGUUCGUGUUUUAGGCAAGCUCAUCCAGGCGGGCCAUUGAAGACUAAUAAAGCAGCAGCAUUAGCAAAAUUCUUGCAGAGAAAAUUGCAGGAACCAAAUGGAUUGGCCUCUGUUGAUCCCAAACUUGUUGAAUUGGCUGUUAAAAAUGCCAAAGAUGCCGUUAAUCCAAGUAAUCUUUCCUAGUCUAUUCUUCAUGUAUAUUAACUGUUUUGGGCCUUUUGACUACAUGUUUAUCAAUCUUCUGGAGUUUUUCCGGCAUAUUUUGCUUGUUAGGUGUAAUGAUGCUAGUUUUUAGGAUCUUGGGCAUUGAGAAUUAUACCAAGCAAGUGGAAAUAUGUAGUAUGUCUAGUAAGUUCUCAGUUGUUGAAAGCAAAUUGCUGGUUGAUAGGUUUUAAUGGCCCGAGAAGUGGAACUGAAAUCUGCAGUAUAUUCAUUUAUUUGGUUUUUAAAAUAUGGAUGAGAUUCGAACUUUUGGCUGACAUUUUUCUGUUUGAAUUAGUCGAGUUUUUCUGAUUGUAAUUGGAUCUGGAUGUGUUAUUCUCGAUCUUUUUAUGAGAUAAGAUUGAAGGUCACAAAUUUUUUUAUCAUCUUGGGAGAUAUGUUGAUUUACAAGGUUGGGUUCUCCUGCUUAUCCAGAUUAAGGAAUGUUUUUCAAUCUUAACCAUGAGUGAGAUACAGGCUCUGACAAAGAAUAGGACUUUUUGGCUCUCUUAUUAGAAUAAACUGUAAAGACUCCAUGCUCUGCACAUCUCAUGAAAGUAAUCCUUACAUCUGAGCAAAAUAGAUCUUUAGAAUGAGUAAGCUUGAUGAUUACUUGUCCAAUAUUUAACACUGACUACUUGGAUCUUUGGCUGUGUUUCUUCAUCACAUAUCAAUAUCCUGCUAACUUUAGAGUCAUUUGGUUAUCUUGGGUUGCUGCAGCUGGAAUGUAACUCAUAAAGCAUAAGUUUUGUGUCAAACCUGAAUCAGUAUUUCUUGUUUCAAAAUUGGUUUGUAUUCUUCUUUACGGAAGUUGGGAAGAUACUUGAGACUGGUUGUUACGUAGCAUUUAUCCUUUCACAUCCUAAUCAAAUGGAAUUUUCUUCAAUCAUCAAAAGAACAAAAGAUAGCAAAAUUUCUUGAAAGACAAAAUUACUUUAGAUUUUAUUCGUGCUUAGAAAAUGCAUUGUUGUAAGUACAUUCUUGGGCCUUGGUUUCCAUCACUGGUUGGCUACUUUGGAUUCUUUCUUGGAUGUUCAGCUGCAUAUUCUGUAUAUGGUAUUUAAAGGGAAAAGCAGCAGUAGUAAUAAUUUUGUGACUAUAUAAGAACCAUUUUUUGAUGCAUAAAACCUUGUAAGGAUAGUUUUCUUGUAUAUUCUUGACAUAUUUUAUGCUCAUAAUCUAGUGAAACUUUGUCAUGUCAAAAAUAAGAUGAAAAUGGGUUCUUUAAUUGCCUAAAGUAUUUGGUUGGGUCUAAUUUUUCCUUUUUUGUUUGUGGAUGAACAUUGCAGGUGGGACCUCGAGUUAUGGAAGAACAAUUCAUCAUGUGGAUUCUUUUGGUGAUUCUGAGGUAAUCCACAGUUGCAUUCAUACAAGCAAUUUCCCAUAAAGAACAUACCAGGAAAGUUGAAUUUUACUUUGGUCACUAUGCUAUAAUCAGCUUCCUAACUUCUUGUACACACAUGGGCAGGAGUCAGCUGAAGAGGAGGUUAAGAUCUCUGUGUCAAAGAAGCGUAAGAAGAAGAGAAAGAAGUCAGAUAGAAAGCAACAGAAAAAAAUGAAGGUGGUGCCUCUGGGUGCUUAAAUAUUCAAGUUUCCCUAUCAUUUGUUAGUUCAUUUUAACUUUGACUAUUGUUAUUCAUACAGAACUUAAAGGACUCUACGGAUGGAAAGAAGAAAAGACCUAAAAAAAAGAUGAAACAAUGACCUUGAGUGAAUUCAGUGUUUGGUGAUUCCUGGAGUCUAUUAGAGGGGAACAAUCAAGACUCGAGCCGCAGUACCGUCGCAAAGUGAGCUGAUGCUUAUGUUUCCCCUUUAAAAGUCAUGCAUAGAUCGGGUGGCUGAGGAAGUCGGCCACCAAGCAGAUGUUGUGUAGUUUCAGUGGCCUUGUUAACUGGGUUUUUAACCACGACGGGCUGCAGAAGAGAAAUCUCCUAGCAAAAUCUUUUCUCCUACAAAUUGUCAUUGUCAGCAAAAUCACAUUUCAACAACUUGUAACUUGUCUGUUGUCCUGCUAAGUUUUAUUUUUUCCCCGUGGGAUCCAUUCUUUUUCAUUUUGUGUUUAGUAUUACAUUCGGUUCAGUUUGUACUAACCUGUUGGUGACUGGAGUAAAUACUUGCAAUUGUGCUUUUGGGGUUUCAGAUACAAUCGAAUCGACACCCUAAUUUGAAAGGUCAAGUAGCUCGCUCAUUUUAAGUAUAUAGACACUGAUGAAUAACUUGCGAAUUCAAUUUUGAAGUCAUCUUUGUUUAACUUCUUUUGUCAAGAAGCAGAGGGUGAUAGAUGACGAGUAUAUUUGAAGCUUAACUGGAGCUUUAUUCACAACAUGGUGGUGAAUCGGAACAUUCUAAACUUUCCUUGUAUGAGCUCAAUUGCACGAGAGCUUCCUCCACCAACAUUCUUCUGUCUAUCUGGAGUUGGUGUGGGAUCAUCAACUAAACCGGAGGAGGUUUUAUGGAGGGAAUUGAAUGAAUACGAAAUCGUUGGAUUAUGGGCAACACAGCUUUAGCUAGCCCAUAGACGGCACAAAUGCUCAAGAAUUCCUACUGAACAGCCAAAACAAAUAAGCCUCUUCAACCCUAUGUUUCAGCAUAUACCGAUAAGGACAGAUGUGGAAUAAACCUUUUAUCUAAUUUCCGUUCACUCGAGCAAUAUCUUGCAACAUCAACAGCUUUUCUUACAUGUGAAUUUCUGUUGAUGGCACAUCAACUUUCAAACCAACCAUGCCAAGGAGGGAAGAAAUAGUCCAAAUUGGUCUAUGCGCACCCCGUUCUCGUCUUGCUUUAAGCAUGAAGUAUCAUGUAGACAAGGACAGAAGUUACGGGCAUAAGUUGACAAAUCAAAUGCCCUGUUACUCUCUCUUCUCGAAUGCAACCAAAAAAAAUGCCACAAGCAGCAACAAAGAUGAUAUGUGAAUAUUCUGCGAAACAGUAUGGGCAAUGAAUCGAGCAGAUUGAGCAGUGCAUAUUGUAUAUGCUCUGUCAUUCGACUGGUUUCAGCAAGUUCUCUUCAGUUCCUAUUGGACAACAACAUUAGCACUAGCAAAGACCAACAGGAAAUCCACCCUCCUAUAGAAUCCAACAGGUCUAAGCCUGAAAAGAGCAUUUCUAGCACAUACUACAUGAAGCCUUGCCAACUAGAGCAAAGCUCUUGCUACAUUUUCAUGGACAUUAUAUGCAUACAAUACAGACAUACAUUUAAGCACGUAUACACAUGACACACCGACAUCCUGACACAGACCAGUGAAUAAUAUGUAUCAGCCGUAAUGAAACCUCCACGAUUGUUAUUGUUGUGCAAACAUUUCACAAUGCUGUCAAAACAAAGAAAGUGAUAUUAGACUCAGCAUCCUGCCUUUGAUUAUCUUUGAUGAUAUGUCUCACAUGUGAUUUGGGAUUGAUGAACCAAUUACUAGGCAAAAUAUGCAGUGUCUAACUUGUCUUCCUCAAAGCAAACUAUCCUUUUAGAAUGUGAAAGAUCGGAUUACUUGUUUUAUCAAGUUUCUGAUCAUUACAUGCACAAAGUUGGGACUAAUGACCAACUAAAGAAACCUAUUGAGAAUACCACUUCACUAUCAGCAGAAGCAUCUCCUCUGCAUCACAAAAGUCAGGGGCCUUGGGGCUAAAUCCCAAGGGGACAAUGUUCUCAAAGUUUCAAUUGGAUUCAUGCUCCAUAUCAUUUGGCAGUACUUAUCAACCCAGGAGAAAAAGUGAUAUACGGAGAUUGAAAACCUAGCACAUGAAUUAGUGAAAAAUCAUCCAGCAGGAGCUACCAUUUCAUACCAUCAGUUGAUUCCAAAUGAAUACUGGGUGCAAGAGAGCAGCGAGAAAUUAGAAAAAGAGAAAAGAAGAAAGGAAAAAGAUUAUCUGUAAGCAGUAAGCCAGGAACAGCCCAAGGAGGCAACAAGCUGACAUUACAGGUGUUUCAGAAGCAGAAAUAAACUGAUAUGAAAAUCACUUAAUAUAUCUCAUUCAUUUGUUGUCCCCUAGUGCCAGUCACUUUGAAAGUUGCAUUUUUUCCUGAUAUAACUCUAAAAGCUCAGGAGCUUCCUCUUUGUAUCGCUGAACAAACCUCUCCAGGAAAAACUUUUCUGGACAGGUCAGACACCUUGCCAAGCUAAGGUUCUUUCUAACCAAACCUUUCAUGCGCAGAACAUUGUAAACUGAACACCUUGGAGCAAUUGUCUUGUUCAAGCUCAGCAAAAUCAGUAGUGGGUUUUUGGCUAACUCUGAAAUAUGGCAUCCCAUUUUAUGCACCAAAAGAUCCACUACCCUAACAAUCUUAGAUUCGGAAGCCAGCAUACAAUGUGGCUGCCGCCUAAAAGCAGUCAGCACCUCUUCCUCAGACCAACCACACCUCUUAUAAACGUCCAUCUUGCGAUCCCAACUCCUCGAAGCUGUUGCAGCCAUCACUUUAACAGCCUGAAGAAACAUUGUUGUUUGAGGAUUGAAACCAAUUUGCUUAACUCUUUCUACACUUUCUUUCAAAUGUUCUGGAAGUCUAGCUAAUAGCCUAGGCAUAUGUUUCAAACAAUACCCAAUUCCCGAUUCAGUAACACCCGCCUCUCGCAAAAUCUCAAGAUUAGGUGCCACUUUAUUCUCCAAAUUUGUCACCAAAAGAUCCGGGAAUCGAUUAACAGCAAAUACAAUAUUUUCGUUCGAAUGAAGUAAGUCUUGGAGUAGAUUAAAAGCUGGGAUAAUUUGGUUUUUCAAGCUUCUACAAAGUAUAUUAGGUGAUCUACAUAUUAUCCUGGGAAUGUCUAAUCCUGAGACUCCUAUAGAUUGUAAAAAUACAAGCUUUGGCAACAAAGUUUUCUCAGGACGGGAUAAAAGGAUAGAUGGCCUUAGCCUAACGACAGUCGAGAUCUGAGCAUCAGUAAAUGCAUGAUUCUUCAAAAACAGAAGCAGUGCAUCAGCAUUUCCCGGGAUUUCGAAAUGAACAUACUUGGAAGCCGAAAGUGCUCUUUCUUGAGAGAACCCAAAUGAAUUCAUGAAGUAAGACACUACCAUGGGUUGCUGAUUUGAGGAAUUCGUAAUAGAUGACGUUGAUGAGGAAAGGGGUCGAUGCAAUUCAAGAAAAUGCAGUUUAUGGUAUAAAGAAGAUGAAAUAGCAGAGCACUCUCUGGCAUGAUGCACUGCCCUGCGGCAUACACAUUUGAACAUAGCGGAGACAGCUGGAUUUGAUCAAAGGGCUGACCUGCUUAUUUAGAAUGCUCUUUGGGAUGGCCAGAGAAUCAUCAUUUGAACUCGAGAACUCAAUGGCAUGAAACCUUGCUGUUUUUUUUUUGCCUGGUGCGCCUAAAACCCUACUGCUUUUGACUAUUAUUCUGACCUUUGAGGGAUAAAUCUCUUUUACUCGCGCAUUGUUAAUAAUUCUCUUAAUGGAGCUACGGUGUCAACUUCUUUUGUUAUUAUUAUUAUUUUUUUUUGUUUUCAUUUUUUGCUUUAUGUAGUACUAGACAGACUCGAAGCCUCAAAAGAACAACCCAAAAAAAAAAAGAAGAGAGAGAGAUAGAGAUGAAGAAGAAGAAAGAAAGGAAGUGGUUGAUAAUUGACGGCCAGUGUGCAAAGGAUUAUUUUGCGUCUUACUUUACACUUUACUAAUGUUCCUGGCAAUUAAAUUGAGUGCAAGGACAACCUCAUUGUUGCUUCUAGCAUAUGGAACGAUUUAUUAUUUUUUGGAUUGUCCUCAAAUCAAUUUUCUCAAGUUUUGACGGUAGAAAUUUUAAUCUACAAUUUUUCAAUGAGAUCGAGUUCAAAGAAAUUGAAUUUUGGUCGAACUCGAGUUGAAACUUGAUCAACGGGUAAAUUCGAUCUGAUCUCAAUGCAAUGAUUCGCUUGGUUAAGUUUGACAAGUUUAUAAGCCUAGCACCAAAGCCAAAUCGAGCUCAACUAGUUUGCCUAGCUCGAUCGAUUUGGGAGGACAAAGGUUGCGUUUUGAUUGUAUUUUUCAUGGAUUUUUCGUUGAAAAAUUACUGUAGCGAUUUGAUGUAUGUGAAGAAAAACGGUGAUAGAGAAAUGUGUUCACGGAAAAUAAUGCUAUUUUUCGGUGAAAAAUGGCUAUCCAAACAAGCCCAAAGUCACCGGUUGUGAUUGCAAUUAGUAAACGGUCGGUUAUCCCACUCUCGUCGGGAGCUGCAAAACAAUAAACUGCCUUUCGACAGCUCUGUUCGUUUACCUAACCGUUGAGGGCAAGGCAUGAAAUUUCUAGUUUUAGUACAAACGGAUGCUUUUAAGUGCUUAAUUCAUUCUUACCCCUUGCUUAUGAUGAAUUCAUUUAGUCACCAUUUGCAGAAUGAUGAGUUAAUUUAUCACCUUCUCUCCAGUUAUAUGGAGUUUGAAACACUUGGGAAUUAGAUCAGGAGCAACCUACUAAGUGCAGAAGCUUGAAUGUGCUGUCAUAACCCUCAACCUCCUCUUUUUAACAGUGCUUAUAAAAAGAUCAAUCAUCUCCCAUAAAAGAAAUAUAACCAAUUGUAAAAGCCAAAAUUGUUAUGAAUACCCUUCUUCAAGUUGUUAUGAAAGUACACUAUAGAUAAUUUUCAAAUAACUAACCAGUACAUCUGAUGCGAACUAACUAUCAAUCCAUUUCAGGGAUACAAAAUAUAAAAUAUUCAAGAAUGAUCAAUAUAAUGUAAAGAGAGAGUGGUGUAAACACAUUGAUUCGGAUUUACUUGUAUUUAAGCAAUUAUUUUAACCUAAUUAGGUCAAACGAAAUGCAACAAAUUUCUCACUAUCAUUAAGUAGUUAUUGAAAAAUUGAGCAAAUAAGAAGCAAUUCUUUCCUCCCUUCUCUUUGAAAACAAAAUUGAUGCAUUACAAGUGAAAAAUGAAUGAAAUCCAACUUUUUCCUUGCUUUCUUUCCCUCUCUCUCAUCCAAAACUGCAAGCAAGUAAUAAGCAUAUGCAAUUCUUUUUCCCAUAUUAUCCAUCUGUGUACAUUUUCUUAAUAACAACUGAGGGUAUUUUUGCCAUCAAAACCAAAAAAGUUAACAAUAGUAUGUGAUUUUAGAAGAGGUACUUUUUGAUACUUCGAAACUGAGGAGGGGGUAAUGGUGACAAUUUGGAAAGACAACAGGGAUGCAAAUGUAAUUAAUUCUCUUAUAUUCGUUGUGCUCAAACUCACGGUUUAAAGCGUUGUCUGUGUAGUAACUAGUUAGGGUUUAUCGAGGAGGGAGGACCUUUUAGAUGAGGAAAUGGAUUCAACCUACUGCGGAAUCGGUUCAAGUAAAGGUAGGUAACUCGAAACCUCCAUCAACUCCAUUAUGUUUAAGUUCGUAGGCAAAAGCAGCAAAAUUCUUGCUUAUGAGAAAUAUUGUAGUGGUAUUAGAAUUUCAACUACUCAGAAGUUCCAUUUUAUACAACUCAACCCAUUAUCAUCCUCAUCUACACAAGCUAGUAAAAAUUCCAUCUUGAAUGGUAAAAUUGACGUCCCACAUUCAUUUACUGUCGAUUACCUUAUAAAAUUAUGUGGGCUUUCUGAAAAAACAGCAAUUUCAGCUGCCAAGAAUGUGAAUUUUAAAACCCCAGAUAAACCAAAUUCGGUUCUUGCAGUGUUUAAAAAGUACGGUUUUACUGAUGCUCAAGUCUCAGAUAUCAUCUCAAGCUAUCCCAGUGUCCUUGUUUGCCGUCCCCAAAAGACCCUUUUGCCUAAGAUUGAAUUUUUUCAAUCUGCGGGGUUCUCAACUGUUGACAUCGCCAAGGUGCUAAGCUCCGGAGGAAGUUUACUAACUAGAAGUUUGGAAACCCAAAUUGUUCCAUCACUUAAUGCCCUUCGAGAUUUGUUUACCUCUUACCAAGAUUUGGUAUGCCCGAUAAAGAGGUGUCCAGGUAUUCUCACAAGAAGUUUUCAGAGUUUGAUGUUAGCCAACAUUGAGUUUUUGCGCAAGGUAGGAGUUCCUGAACCCAAUAUCCUAAAUUUGCUGAAAAGUCAGCCAAGGUUAUUAGUGAGACCUUCUGAUGUGCUGAAAGAAUCUGUGGAGGAGUUGGAGAAAAUGGGGCUUAAUCCUCAGGAUGGAUGUUUUGCAAGAUGUUUAUGGAGAAUGGCAUCAAUUGAUAAAAAAAUUUGGAGGGAAAAGAUGGCACUGUAUGAGAGAUGGGGUUGUUCCGAGAAUGAGGUUCUAAUUGCUUUUAAGAAGCACGCAAGCGUCAUGGCCAUAUCAAGCGGUAAAAUCGUGGAUGUUAUGGAUUUUUUGGUCGUCAAAAUGGGUUAUGACCCUUCUGCUAUACUGAAAGCACCAUUCAUAGUUACUCUGAGUUUGAAGAAAACUAUUAUUCCUAGGUGUUUGGUUCACCAAGCCCUUUUGAGUAAAGGUUUGUUGAAGAAGAAUGUUAGGCUGGCAACUUUACUGGUAUAUCCGGAGAAGAUCUUCCUUAAGAGGUUUGUGGAAUGCUUCGAGAAGGAGGCUGCUGAGCUCCUAAAAGUGUAUCAGGAAAAGCGUAAAGGUACAAAGUGAUAAAUGUUGGAGAGCUGACAAAACGAGGUUAAAAUCCAAAAAAUUGACAGUACAUCCUCUUCUAUCGAUAGUUUAUUUCUUCUUUUAUCAGUUCAGGACAAAGUUGACUAUUUAAGCCAUUUUUCUGGUUGAGUACCAAGAUUUGAACCAUGUGUUCUGGUAUGGUAACUGGGACUGCUUCUUGAGAUUGUGUUGAAUUGAUUUACUUGUGAUGUUUUUCAAUGCCUAUAUGGCCUAUUUGUCCAGAAGGUCGAUGGAUGCAGAAUGUAAUCAAGUUAGUGAAAUUGAUUUUCGCUGUUUUGAGGAUACCUCCCAAUUGCUGAUGCUCUCUGUUGGUUGUGCUGUAAUACAUGCAGCGAUGUCAUAUCAUGAUCACGUAUUAGUUGGUUAUUUGAUCAACAGCUGAAUCUUCUUAAAACGAAUCACAGUCCUUGGUUUAGUUGGGAUAAGGCCAAGAUGAGUUGUGUCUGUCACUUGUGUUGCGAUUGCGUGGUCCGAUGUUGUUCUUUAUGUUUCAUUAUCUUUUUUUCUGUUUCUUCUGUAUAGAGAGGGCGACUCUGGAAGGGCAGAGGACCAAGAAGGAGUGGUGAAGUUGAAGCGCAGAAUUUAGGUAGCUUUUGUAGAACCAUUCUAACUGAUAAAUGAUAAAUCCUUUGAAAGCCUGAACAGGGCCUUGGGAGUCCAUGAUUCCACUAUAAGUCUGGUGUCCUCUCUUCUCUUCUUUCAGCUUUCCCUGCUAAGCAGUUGAGGAGAUCAUCAAUUCUUUCACAGCCGUGUCGAAACGUUUCUGUACCAACUUAAAAAACGGAAAUACAGAGUGAAGAAAGGCAAAGCAAAUUGUAAUUUUGGACUUGGCUCCGGCAAAAUAGACACUACCAUCUGAAGGGUUUCCCGAAAUUUAUUGAUGAUCAACUCAACUGUAGGUGUGGUGGGCCAAUCCUGCAGCGUCAUGCAACAUAUUAUAAACACAUUUUCCAAUCCACUUUUUUUACAUUUUUAAUUAUUUUUUUAUCACACAUACAUGACAUCACAAAAAGUGUUACAGUAAUUAUUUCAAAUAAUACCCUAUCCAAAUAAUAGUGUGUGAAUUUACAGAAAUGGUCCUUACUCCGUAGCAUUAAAUUUUGAAGUCAUGUUUCAUGGUUCAACCAACUUCCACACAGCAUUUUGUAAGUGUGUUUGAAUCGGAGUUUUGCUAUUCAAUCGGAAUCCCGCAAUUUGACUUCUCGAUUUGGUUUGCUUCCUCCAUAAUUACUAUAGAAUUGAGGAUGGAUAGUAAAAUUGUCGGAUAAUAUAAAAAAGUUUUUCAGCUCAAUCCAAUUCCCUGUAUUUUUCAAUCAAAUUUCCUCCUAGUCCUAGUCCUAGGAUUGGAAGAGUAUAAUUGCAAAGCAAAACAGCCGACACAGGCCUGAUAAGACUCUCAUCACCGCUCACUCAAGUGCAGCCAAAAGACUUUUGCGAUGCAGCAAAUCUUAGAAACGAAAAAAGUUCCAAUCCUGUGGCCCUCUGCCUGUCUCAGUCAACCUCCCAGGAAUUCUCUAUCCGCCUGCUCGUGGUGUUCUUAUUUAUUGCUGCUGCAAGCUUCAAACUCCCAAGAAUAAUUUCUGCUUGGCAGACCAAAAUGCAUUUGGAUCUUGAGAGUGAAAAAAAAAAAAGUGUUGGUCCUGUGUAUUUUCACUUUAGGGCAUCAGAUGUAAUUUUCGUAUUUCAACGACCUGAAUUGAACUCGGUCGAUUCGAAUUGAGUUUCGAUUUUGAUCAAGUAAGCUCUUGAACCAUUCAGACUGAAUUCGACCCCGUCCGCACUCCCACUCCCUCCUAAUUUAAUUAAGUAGACAAAAAAAUAACGUCAAGGCUGCUGAUGACCGCUGCCAGCAAGACUGCAAUCUCAUGAAUUGAAUUGGGUUGGUCAGUUGAAUUGUUCUUCAAAACUUAACAAAUCAAAUGUAACGAACGACUUUCCAAGUUCCAACGCGAUGACUUCAGGGCUAUAGUUUUUAUCAUCCAUCCAUCCAUCUUGUCAAAACAAAUUACUUCAUAAAAAACAAUCUAAUAACACUAACCAAAUCAAAAUCAGUUCUUCUUUUUCUUUUCUUUUUUUUUUUUGACAAGAACCAAAUUGCAAGUUAAAAGAAUUUUCCAUAUACUGACAAUACACACACAUUAGGUAAUGUGUAUAAAAUGUUCCAUAUACUGACAAUACACACACAUUAGUAGCAUCAGAUGCAUGUCGCGAGUACAAAUUUUAGAUUCAAAUUAUCAUUAAUUAUCAUACACCUGAAUUCGAUAAUUGUCUUUUUUUAUGCCCACAUUUUUCAAACAAUUGUCUUUUUGGCACGAUGUCACUUUAAACACUUCUUCUUCUUCCUCACAACGAGACCUUAUAUAUCUACACAAAUCGAAUCCCCUCAGGCCAAUUCACCUUUCAGCGAUAUUCUUUGUCACAUAAAGUUGUGCAUUUAUUUCCUGUGUACUUCCCAACUAAAAACUAUAGCUCUGACAUUUGGAUCCUUCAAGAAUCAAAACAGUCACAAGGGAAAGGGAAAUAUGAAGGAGAAAAACUCAAAAAGCCCCCCCAAAAAAAAUGCAAGAGUCAAUUUUCUUCUUCUUUUUUUUUUCCCCCAAGGGAAUAGAAUAGUCAAUCUCGUCUUUCCAGUUUCCACUAUGCAACAACUCUGACAGCAGACUAGAUCCCAGCCAUCCAAUUUGGACUCCAAAAUCCAGCCGCUAGAUUCUCGCAAAUUUACUACCACAGCACAACAGAACUGCAACUGAAACUAACCUCCACUUUCAUAUGAUGUUUACAUGUUUCAUUGCGUUUAACUAACAUAUUAAUCACCCCACUCUCUUUGUCAGAGUCUGUAAACACCCUCCAACUUCGUUAAAAGUGACCGUUAAUUAACGCAUGAACCUCGAGGACUCGAGAGGUUUGACAUUUGAAAGCAGUUUUUUCAUCAAAAAGUACAAUCAAUCCCAUCUUAAACAAGCAGUGACUCACGCUCUUGAAUAAGCGCGUGGGAUGCGAUUAAUUUGCGUAUAAGACAGCGUUGGUGAGCUAGGGUUUGGGAGGGUACGCGCCACUCUCUUAUUGGUGGAUGAAUACUGUCACGCCUCCCGUGUCCGCAUCGAACGUUGCCAGAAUUUCGCACCUUCUUCCACGCUUUUAUUUCUAUUGAUGAUGAAGAAUUAUAUGGAAUUAAGAGGAGAACAGUGGCAAAAAUGCAAAUACCCAGAAGGCCCUCUUGUUACCGCAUUAUUUCUUCUUUUGACUUACAUGACUUCUUUUAAAUACUCCCUCCGUCCCACUUUGAUAGUCCUGUUUUCCUUUUUCGUCUGUCCCAAAUCGUAGUCCACUUUCCAAUUGAAGAAUGUAGUUGUAUUUUAAUUUUCCUAAAAUACCUUUAUUCAAUGUAAGUUAUUGUUACUAUAAACCUAUUCCAUUUAAUGAGAGUUGAUUUUUUUUUACCAUCAAUUUAAGUUCCCAUAAAGUUGUACUCUAAUUAAUGUGAGGGUAUUUUAGGAAAAUAGCUACCUAAAUUGAUUGUUCCAACAAAGUUAACUACUUUUUAUUAAACUGUGUGAAAAAAGAACCAGGACUAUCAAAGUGGGACGGAGGGAGUACUACGUUAGAUUGCUUUCCUUUUUUUUUUUUUCCUCCAUUAUAAUUGUACCCCAUAUGGUUGUAGUACCAAUAAAAGGCAAAACAAACUUGUAAAAAAAUCUGUUCUAACUUUCUAAUACAAUAUGAUGCCUAAUUUGCACGCGUAUUCAACUAAGAAAUUUUUGCUUACGCAUAAUCUUUGGAACGGUUUAACAAUCAAACACAUGUUUGAUUUUGAAAUCCAAGGUUCAAUCCUAUGCAGAGUCACCCAAUGAAUAAUAAUAAUGUCUCAUAAAGUAGUCGAAGGAAUUUUUAUUAUGACAUGCUGCAUAGGUUUAUCCCUCCUCACAUGCAGCAUGCCUUUUGCUUUUCUGUAUGCACAGUCACUAAAUUAUUAAUAGGCAUUCCAAACAUUGAUAGCGUCUCCAUUAUUAUUAUUAUUAUUUAUUUAUUACUAUUUAUGAAGUCAUCAUGGAAAUUAAUAAGUAAGUAUGAAGCGUAAUCAUAGAAGAAACUAUGAGUUCCAAAAUUUGGAAGGCACGUCAAUUUCAAUGCUGUGUUGGUAGGAAAUCUGUAGAUAUUCUAUAAGCGAUUUAUGAUUUUAAGGACACAUCUUGAUCAUUGACGGUGAUCCGAGCAGAAAUCACCUGAACUCUUUUUCUACAAAAAAUUGAGAAGGUUUUUUAUUUCCUACCCAAAAAAAAAAAGAAAAAAAUUUGGUUAAAUAAAAAAAUUUGAUGUUCUUCGAAAUCUACAAAAACUAUUAAAACAUAGCAAUUCAAAGGGCCUCUAAAGUUUUGCCUUUUUGGAGAGUCAAAUCGAUAUCGAUCCUUCGAUCAAGAUGAUAAUUUCCAAUAUAAUAUGGAACAUCUUUUUCGAAUGGUACCAAACUUUUUAUCUACAAUGAGAAGUGACUUUCCUAGUAUAUGAAAGCAUUCCUUGUACCAAUUGAUUGUACUUGAGAGGAUAACCAAUUUGACAUCCUUGGAUCUCGACACAGCUUUCAUGGAUGAUAGUCCACCUAAGAAAAAUCCAAUUGCAUAAUCACUUAAUUUAGUCAAACUGAAAACCAUCCAGCUGAACGCACUAAUUUUUAUUUUUCUAUUUAAUCUUUUCAAAAUGGUUGACCUCCAUCAUAGUAAUCACUGCUUCUUUCUUGACAGGUUAUCACUUUUCUAAUUUCUAAUAUUGCAAUUGUACAUUCCAUGUCAUACCGUCAAAGUGUAUUCACCAUUUUAGUUUAGUCGGUAAUUCAGCUUUUUUUAAAAAAAAAAAAAAAUCAAACUUGUCAGCAACUAAUAUUUGUAUCAGGCAAUCAUUUUUCUCAGAUUCAGGGAUCAGCAGGGCUUAGAUGGGUAUCAAGUUGUUAAUACAACACAUUUUGAUAGAGACUUCAUAAGCGUUACAAAUGCAACAACUUUAUACUAGUUGUGAGUACUAUUACAAUAAUAAAUUUCAACUCAACAAUGAAUGUAGAUCAACAGCUUCUUUGAAUCUGUUUGGAUUUUUUUUUUUUUUUGGAGAAAUUGCACAAACAUAUAUUUCAAUCACUUAUUAAUAUUUCAUCGAUCUUUAUAAUAUAUAAACAUCAAAUCUUGUAAGCAGAACAAAGAUAUCACUGGAGAGAACGACAUUGAAGCAACCCUCUCCUAGAAUCCAUACUAGGGGUGCACUUGAGUCCAGCUCGAGCUCAAACGUGCCUGGGAGUCGAAGCUCGAGCUCGACUCAGGAGGUUUUUAUUUGAGCUCGAACUUGGCUUGACACAGUUGUCUAGCUUAAUUGAGUUCGAGCACUCGGCUUUGAGUUGGGUUAGCGAUUCUAAUUUUAUUAGUAAAUUUCACAAGCAACGUACCCAAAAGAGUAAUUUUGUAAUGUCAAUAAGUUAAUUAAAAAAUGUAACUACUUGAACGAGCUCGUCGAACUUUCGAGGACUAAAAAGAGCUUUUGGAGAUCGAACCCGACUCACAGUUUGAUGGUUUGAGCUCGACUUGAUUUCGGUCAGCACCGAACUCGUUCACAUCUUCUGCACCCCUAAUCCAUGCCCAUUUAUGGCUCAUCAACCAAAACUUCAAAUAAUUGAAGUUGCUAAAAUCUACUUUUACAUGGAUUCGCAUAUGCCACAUGUUCUUUUUUUUUUUCCCUCGUGAUCACGCAGGCAACCAAAACCCAAACAUAAAGAUGGGGAUAGUUUGGAGAUUUCAAAGCAUCGGCUUCUCGAACUGCAUACUAUUAAGUGCUGUGGAGUAACCAGAUCAAGCGUGGGAUCUCCCUCCGUUGCAUGUUAGGUACACUCAUUUGGCGCGUACUCAAACAAACUAUCUGACCGAGAGAAUUCAAUAAAUAAAUACUCAACAAAAUAAAAAAUAUAUAUACAAAAAAAAAAUAGAAGGAAAAAAACCACCACCCGCACACACUGCACAUUCCACAUCCCUCCUCCCUCCACAAAGAUCACAACUUCUCUCAGUCUCGGGGGAAAAAAAAAAGAAGAAAAAUGUCCCCCAAAAGAAAUUAAUAUUAAAAAAAGAAAAAAAAAAAAAGAAAGAAGAAGAAGAAGAAGAAAGCCCCACAGACUCCAAAACAAAGAUCAAAACUCUCCUUUCAUUUCACACGCAUCACUCGACACAAACAGAGAAUAUAUUUAGUUGAUAGAGAAAAAAAAUAAACAAGUGUGAGAGUUCACACACACACACACACAUCACACAAACACCUCAUCAAAGAGAAGAGAAGAUGGAGAGAGAGAGAGCAGCAUCAUAACACACACUACUACUUUUUUUUUUGGUAGCCUAAGGUGAGAGAGAAGCUUGAGCCAAAAAGCACUUAAAAACCUCCCAACCAAAACACACACACACACACACAGAGCACACGCACUCUCUCUCUCUCUCUCUCGCUCGAGCUCGUAUGUGCGAGUGUGAGAAGUUAAAAGAAAGAAAGAACAAAAUAUAAACAAAAAAGCCACACUAUAUAAAACGCACACCCUUUUUCUUUGCCUUUCUUCCCUCUCCUCUGUCUAAAACCACCAAAAGCACCGCCCCCCCAACCCUCCCUCGAUCAAACCCGCUCCUCAGCUUACUCCCCACACACACACACACACACACACACACACUCACACACUAACACUACUCUCGCCUUCUUCUACUGUACUUUAGUACCUAUAUCUACAUAUACGAGAAUAUACUAUCUAUGUCUCUGUGUCUGUGUAUAUAUUAGUGUAUGUCUGUACAUGAGUAGUUAUCAAAUAAAGGGAAAACUGUGAAUAGGUGUAAAAAUAAAGGGUACAAUGGAGAGGUAUAGUGGGACCCAGGCAAUGGAGGGGGCGGCUACGGCGGAUCCGGUGGCGGAAUGGACGGCCCCGAGUGGGGAAACCGGCCUAGAAGGUGGAGUUACAGGAACAAAUAAAGAUGCUCCCUUUUUUUUUUUUUCUUUCUUUUAAUAAAUUUUCAUUUGAUCAUGCAUUUUGUUAAUUUCAUGCGAAUUUUGGCUGAAUUUCGCGAGGAUUAGUUAGUGAAAUGUCUGGAUUCUCAGUUUGGAUGGUUAUCAAAUUUGUGAUGAAUUUUCUGUGGGAAAUGCAGAGCCUAUGUGGCAAUUGGGCCUUGGGGGUGGGCCCGAACCGUACCCGGAAAGGCCCGACCAGGCCGAUUGUAUCUAUUACUUGAGGACUGGUUUAUGUGGUUAUGGCGCUCGCUGUCGGUUCAAUCAUCCCCGUGAUCGUACCGCGGUAAAAUUUCCUCCCCCCCCCUUUAUUUUUAGGUCCAAAUCGAGUUUUUCCUUGCCUUUGUUGUUGUGAUCAUUCAGUUGAAGCUGUUUAGUUUGUUUUCAUAGUCUUGAUUUCACGUGGUUUUUAGCGGGUUUUUCUUAGAUUUGAUCUUAUUAAGCUUAGUCAUUCAAUCUUUGGAUUUCAUUGAUUUUCGGGCUUUGUUUGAAAAAAGAUUGUAUUUUUUUUUGGAUCGCAUUGGAUUUAGUUACGAGAUUCAGAUUUUUCACAUGCAUUGGUUUAACAUGAUGAUGGUAAUUAAUGUUAGGCGAUGGGAGCUAGGGCCACUGCAGGAGAGUAUCCGGAGCGAGUGGGUCAGCCUGUGUGCCAGGUAUUUCCAUUUAAAUGCUUCCUCUUUUUGUUCUUGUUGGGAUACAUUGACUGUUUGUUAAAGUUUGAAGUCAAUGAACGUGAAUUAGCGUAGUUAUGCUUGGUUGUCUGCUCAUUGAGGUUUGUACAACUUUCGGCUCCUUUUUCCGCGGACCACAUUUCGUCACAUUCUGUGUUUGGUGAUGCACUUGUUGCAAACUUUCCACACGAUCACUUUUAGAAUGCAUAUUUGCUUGAUUCUGUGAUCUACUGAUUCGUUUGUUUGCUGUCUGUUCUAGAGAGUGAGAUCUUUAAUGAGUUGUCAUGAUUUUAUCUUUUGUUCCUUUUCAUGCUUAGUUUAAAUCAAUGGGUUUUUAGUGAUUCAAGGUUGAUUGAUUUGGAAAAUGCACUUGCUGAAUCUAAUAUGGUGAAGAAUCUUUCUUAGUGUCCAAGUAUAACUGAUUGGACUUUAAUUUAAUGUAUUCGUUUUUUUCCUCUUUUUGGUUGAUCAGUAUCUUUGGAUAAUAUGUUAAGAGUUCUUGACUGCAUCACCCGCGUGGUAGUGCUUCUCUUAGUUAAGUUGAGAUAGCACACUUAAUGUGUUGGUGCAUGUAUCAUCAAUAUGGCAGGUUAUUGGAUUAAAUACCUUGAUGAGUUUUUGCUUGUGAAACUUUAAACUAGUCUUUUGGGAAGCGUACACCUUGUGCAUUUUCUAGGUCAUCUGCGCGUUGUCUGUCCUGGAGAAGAGAGCUACAAGGUUGGAUUUCGUCUUUUUCAGUGUGUGGAUAUCAUGAAGUUUCUUCUUCUUCUCUCUCUUCUUUUUUCUUUUUGACAUAUUUUGCACAUUGCUAUUCCCUUUCCUUUAAAAUUUUGAAUUCUAGUUAUCAGUGCAGAUCAUCCUUCUUGCUCGUGUUAGUUUUGUUUUAGUGUUUUAGGUCAAGUCAGAAGUCAGAACUCAGUUCCAACCACAAACUCCAUCCGAUUUUCUUCACAAGUUCUUUAAUCUACAUACUGUAUUACACAUAUAUUGGCAUGUUAGUUUUUGGAUUCUGAGCUCCAGUGUUGUUGAUUGCUGUGUGAAUCUUGUACAUAAGGGAAUAGAAAGCUUUCCUGCUUUAAGCAAGGCUCUUUCACAUUUCAGUGGAAUCUGGCUAAACUAGUUUUUUUUUUUUUUUCGGUGUUUAACUGUUUUCUGUUUGUGAAAAAGCUAUAAAAUUUAUUUAAUGUUUAAAGAUAGAUUUUUGUACAUUCUGCUAAAUAUUUAUACAUCCAUACGCAAUGUUUGUCAUUUGAUAUUUCUAGUACCACAUGUUGAUCAGUCUUCUGGAUUCUAAUGUCUGUUAUUGAAGGAAGGUGCUUUGCGCAAAUAAAUGAACUUUGAGCUUUUCCCUAGCUUUUUUGCUGCUGUGUUCCUUUGUAGUUGAUUUUGCAGAGGCACGAUCAUGUGCUUUUGUUGUGAAUUUCUAUCUCACGUUGCUUCUGUUCUUCACUAAAUCUUGUAGUUCUACAUGAGGACUGGAAAUUGCAAAUUUGGUGCUUCCUGCAAGUAUCACCAUCCAAGGCAAGGAAGUGGAUCUCAAACACCAGUGAAUCUUAAUUUUUUUGGGUACCCUUUGCGACCGGUCUGUACUUUGUGACUUUUCCUUCUUGACGUCUUAUUCAUUUUUAGCCUUUUGAUUAUCAAUAUUUUUCAUGUAUCCUUCUGAGCUAGCUCACAAAGUUCUUGUCACAGGGUGAAAAGGAUUGCUCAUAUUAUGUGAAAACAGGGCAGUGCAAGUAUGGUGUCACCUGUAAAUAUCAUCAUCCACAGCCAGCUGGUGUUCAAAUGCCAGCACCAGCGCCUGGACCUGGACCUGGACCUCUGCCUGCACCAGCAACUGUACCCGUGCCUGCUAUUUAUCCUCCUGUGCAAUCUCCUUCUGUGCAAUCAUCUCAACAGUAUGGUGUAAUGACUGGGAACUGGCCAGUUCCAAGGCCUACUAUACUUCCAGGUUCAUACUUCCCUGGUACAUAUGGUCCUAUGCUGCUUCCCCCAGGAAUGGUUCCUCUUCCGGCUUGGACUUCUUACCCAGUAUGUGCAUUUGAGCCUGUUUGUUUUGUCAAAAUCUUUUCAUAUUUGUCCUCAUUAAAGUGUAUUGACUAAUGUAAACUUUUGUAGUCACCUGUAAGUCUUGCAGCCACUGCAAGUAAUCAACCUGCUGUGGGAGCUGGCCAUAUUUAUGGAAUAACUCAGUUGUCUCCUUCAGCUCCAGCAUAUACAGGACAGUAUCUAUCCAUUCCACCUGCUGCUGGUCCUUCAGGAAGCAGCCAGAGGGAACAUGCUUUUCCAGAAAGACCUGGCCAACCUGAGUGCCAGUAUUACAUGAAAUAUGGUGACUGUAAGUUUGGGGCUUCUUGUAGAUAUCAUCACCCGCCUGAAUUGAGUGCACAGAAGUCAAAUCCUGUCCUUAGCCCCAUGGGUCUACCUCUACGUCCGGUAUGCCUUCUCAAAUUGACACUUAGCUGGGGUUAUGUUUCUGUCAUUUGAAAUUGUGUGGAAGUUGCAAUUCCUUGCCCAAAAAUUUUUAGUUAGUUCAUUUUAUUUUUCUAAUUAACAUUAGCAAUAUAUCUACAUGUGCAUAUGUUGAAAGUCUCUUUUUUUUAGGCAUGAAAUGUUUCAUUGAUGUUUUCGUAAUAAUGCAAGCUCUAUUCACUUAGAUCGAUGGAACACAGGAAGUUCCCUCUUCCUGUCAUUCCUGCUCUUUCUUCUUGUGUAUCGACUAUUUUUCCAUGCAAACAUUCUUACUUUGAAUCUUGUUAAGCUAAAAUUACUUCUUAUUCUCUCUGGGACACAUCUUAGUUGUGAGGAUACUGGUUUAUCCAUGGAUGGUUGUACCCUUUUUUUUAACUUUUAACAAUCAGUAAGUUGUCCAUUUUAUUUUCUCACUAGCUUGGGCAUUUUGAAAUGUUCAGCAUGCAUGAAUCUGAGAUUCAUUUCAAUUUGUUUGGUUGAUACAGCUUUAGAUGCACACUGGAUUUUAUGUAAUUCCAGGUAUGCAUAUUUGUGUCCAUCUCCAUAUCCCCAGUGUCUUGGUUUUGCCCCCUUUCACUGUUUGAUGUAUCUGCAUCCAGUGCUUUGUGCUAAUUUUUUUCCCCUUGUCAUGUCAAAUUACCCUGAACUACAAAAAACUUAUAAAGAAAUUAUUUAUCAAAAAGGAGGAGAAAUUACUUGUAUAGUAAAUCUGGCUUAUCAGCAUACACCCAUAGAGUAGCACUAGGUGGUAUAUGGUUAUUAUGCUUCCUUUAAUAAGUUUACUAUAUGAUUAGUGGUGUAUGAUCAACAAUCAUAAAUAUAAAAUUAUCAGUUUAUGGUCUGAGCUAUAGCAUUUCAAGGGACACCAGAAGCUGCAGAUUGUUGUUGCAGCUGAAAACAUUAUCUGUUACCUUUUUUUUUAACUUCUGAAAACUGCUGGGUUUGAAUUCACUGGUUAUUUUUUUCACAGCACUGUUUAUUGAAAGAUUGUUAAACAUUUGUAGGUGAAAUCCAUCCAGGACUUAACUGUCUUUUCUGCAUGAGAGCGGAAUAGACCAACCUGUGACCUUUGUUGCGAGAAGGAUGUGGUAAUUUGAAGUUGAAUAAAAAUUAACUAUGUAGCAGUAAGUAACAAUUAGGAGUUGAAGCAAAGUAGUCAAUGCAUUCAUAAAUUCUUGAGAUUACAUAGUGUAAAGCCCCAAUAGAAUCAGUCUGAUAAAGCUUUCUAAGCUUACAAUCUCAUAUGCAAGAUCAUUCAUGUGAGUUGGAAAGAAAGUUGAGCUUUUUUUCCCCUAAAAAUUGUUUAUGUUAGGCUAAGUGUUUUUUCAUGCCAAGGAUGAUGGUAAACUUUUUAGUUAGGAUGCCAGUAGAGGAUGGAAAUUUUGCUUCGAGAGAGUAUAUCUGAAGUUGUUUGCAUGCUUGAUACUUUAUGAUAUCUGAAGUUGUUUGCAUGCUUGAUACUUUAUGAUGUAAUAUUUGUUUCCAUUUUCUUGGUUGAGAGUGUAUGUAAAGCAGUCAAUUUGUGUUUAUCUUCACAGGUAUAAGCUGCUACGGUAGGUGCUUGCAGCUUCCUAAAUAAUCGCCUAACAUGUUUAUUUUUGUAACAGUUUCUACCCGUAAUUGCUGAUUUAUAUCGCAACAUCAUACAUGAGCUAGGUCCUUCUAUGUGAUCUUGUGGUUUGAAACUCAUGCUUGACUAGUUGCUUGUCUGUGGAGAAGUCAAAUGUGCUCAUAAAGCUUUAAUUUUCCAUUUUAUUUGAUCUGCCAGUGCAUAUUGCUGAUAUUAUUUAACACAUUUUAUCUGGAAAAGGAGUACACAAAAAGCUUCUUAUUAUGCAUAUAUUUGGCAAGUGGGGUGUAGUCAGUUUAAAUGCUGGGAACUCACUCUUAUGAAUUACAUAUAAGCACCAGAAAAUCAUGUGCAGUUCAUGAAUGAUUACCUGUUUAUGUGGUCUCCUUUUUCUUUCUUCUACAAAAUUUUUAUUGAGGGCUUGGCAGUCGGGAGGGUUGGAGCAAUAAGAGGGUAUAGGUUGGAGGGGUAUUUUCAUUGAGGGACAAUCCGUGACAAAAGUUCUUGUCUUUGUUUUCCAUUGGAACAAAGAAUUUCUUUGGACAUCUUUUUGCUGUUCAAAUUGUUUUCAUGGCAAAACUCUUCUUUUAGUUGCCAAGUUAUCGUUGUUAAUCUUUAAUCUGUUCUUCUACUGUACAUUAUUGACCUGUGACUACAAUAUUCUGUUAUUUUUCUUCUGAUAUACCUUGGUACUGCUCAGUUACUUCCCCUUCUGAUUCUUAGAUAAAUGCAUGAAGAGUAGAUCAAAACAUAGUAACUGAAACAUAGAAGCACUUGGAUUAGCAGUGAUUCUUCUAAAUUUGGGUAUGCUGUAUGAGGACUCUUGAUGUUCUAGGGUCUUGAGAUGCGAAUAGACACUUGAAGAAUCCACCCUCACGUUCAUAUUCUUUCUAGUUUUUUCCAUAGACCUAGAAACUGUGAAAAUUACAGUUCUCUUGCUUACUUUCCUUCAAGAAGCUUUCUUUUUUCUUAGGAUAAGCUUCUUUUGACUGAUUCUUAUGUUCAUUAUAAUUUCCACAGGGUGCGGCUGUCUGUUCUCACUAUAUACAAAAUGGAGUAUGCAAAUUUGGGCCUUCGUGCAAGUUUGAUCACCCAAUGGGGACUCUAAGCUAUAGUCCAUCUGCAUCUUCUCUUGCUGAUAUGCCUGUUGCUCCUUAUCCAGUUGGAUCUUCAAUGGGUACUUUGGCUCCAUCAUCCUCCUCAUCGGACUUGAGGCCUGAACUUAUUUCUGGAUCCAGCAAGGAUGCCUUCUCCAGCCGAAUGUCUUCUGUGAGCGCUUCCAGUGGUUCUGUUGGUUCAUUGUUUUCAAAGAGCAGUAUAGUCCCUCAUUCAAGCACUCAGCAGCCUGGACAGGGAACCUCUACUUCAAGCGGCAGCAGUAGUACAGUACAUGGAAGUGAGGUUCGCACGUCAAGCUGAGCAAAGUGAAGCUAAGCAAUUACAAUCUUUUUUUGUGGAUAACUCUCAUGGACCCAGUGAUAUAUUUUUUAUGCAAAUCACUUCCUAGGGGGCUGUUUCUCAUUAGUCAUCAUGGUUCCAUCAAUCAGGUCUAGGAGAUUGUAGCUCUGUUAAUCUGUGUUCAUAUAUCAUUACAUGGCCACCAUUUCCAUUUUCAAUAAGCCAUGCCCACCUCAAAUGAUCCAGCAAUCUUGGUAUAGCUUCAUGCUGGUUCUGAAUAACAAGAAAAUACCCACCUCACAUUUAGAAAUUCUACACCCCAGCCCAAAUUUUGGAGCUUGUUGUCAGUUGUCCCCAUUUAUAUUGGAAUCUUUUUCGGAACGAAAAAGAUCAGUUUCAUAUUAUUCUUCUUUCAAAUUUGACUGCCUUCAUGGCCAUCUUCAAAUUUGGAAACAAGCUUCCAACUUGACUUAGGAAUGAACACCAGUAUCUCCUUGUUACCCCCUUUUUGUAUGGGGCUUUGUUGUGCAAAUUAUCACAUAAGGGAACUGCAAGAAGGCAAUGUAAAACUGCCUUAAUAUGUAUAAAUUAUAUGGUUAUGUUGUGAUAUGAACUGGCUGAACGCUUCUCGAUAAUUUAUCUUCAAUACAUCUGAUAAAUGAAGAUACAUCUUUGACAAUGUAAGAAUUUCUAUUUUCGUUCUUCCUUUGUUUAUGGGGAGAUGGUUGCCUCGGUUGUGCUUGUACUAUAAUUUAUGGUCAACCCUCUGAAAUAAAGCAUCUGGGAUUUGGUUCAGGUAAUGGCAUGUACAUUUUUGCACAUCGGAACUUGCAAGUAUCACAUCCAUGGCUUCCUCGUUUAGCCUGAUUUUAUGUGCUUAACAUAAGGUAAUGUUGAACGGGCUUUGGGAGCCUUUUACUUCUUCAGUUGGAAGUUGAGUCCAUGGAUGCAAUGAGUUAUAAAACUGAUUUAUUUAGUUUUUAUUUUUAUAUUACGUACAGAACUGCUUUCUUAUUGGGGUGUUGUUGCACAAACCCACAGAGUCGCCAUAUAAGCUUGGUGUUCCUCCUCGUGGUUUUCAUCGAGGAUGUAGAAAAAUUUCCAACUAAUUUCCCUACCAAGCUAUCCCUUGAAAGUAACAUACGUAUGUAAAGUUUCUAAAAUUUUGGGUUAAACAAGGGUCUGCAACAUAACAUGCAUGCUUAAUACUGCACAAGCACUGGGAAACAAGGCACUCUAAACUGUACGCAGAAGAUUUUGAUAAGACGUAGGUAACUUGUGUAGAAGGUGAUGGAUUUGGGUUUUACUAAUUCAACAAGACAAAUAGGAGGGCACCUUUGGUCUGAAAGCAAAACUGGCACAGGAACUACAUCGAUCAAUCUUUGCAAAGUAUUGUCUGAUUCUUGCUUGUUGCACCCCCCCAAAACCAGGGGAAAAAAAACCUUAAAAAGCGAGGCUAAAGUCUAAACAAGAAAUGGCCCGGGAUAUGUUUGUGGUUGCAAGUGGAAGUAGCGACCAGCCUCCAAGGACCCUCUCUUUAAAGGGCAUGGAAAAAAGGGACUAUCACUUGGGAGGAUGUCUUUUUCUUGUAUAUGCUUGCGGAGACACGUCUUUGUUUGGCACAGCGAAUCUACCGCAGGGAAUGUAGGUUGGGUCUUUUACUUGGAUAGAGUUAUGUAUGUUCAUAUAUAUAUUCAAGGAAAUUGAGUGCAACCAAAACCCUUCCCGGAAUUUUAUCGUACUACUAGGGAAUUACGUAAAAUAAGAAGCUACACUUGUCGUGCGCAAGAAUGGAAUGCAUGUAGCAUGACUCGCGAACGUAAAAUGCCUGCCCUAGCCCUAGCGGAAAGAAACACUUAACGCCCUUUUCGGUUUUUUGCCUAUUUAUGAGCGAAUGAAGUUUGAACAACAAAACAUCAUCCGGCAAUCGAAAACAUUAUAUUAGUUUCUGAUAAAUAUAGGAAGCUCUAGAGUAAUUACAUUUUUCAUGCAAAGGUAAAAAGAAAAGAGCGAAGAAAACUGGAAAAUCAAGAAAGAGACGCUGCAUGCAAGUUAAAAAGAGUUGUAACUUGGAGAAGUUAUAGUUCAACUCCAAGUUAGUAAGUUACUAGACAGAAUUGGAACUUAGAAUGGGGGAUAUCCCGAGUCAACAACAUCACCAAAUGCAAAUGGAGGAAAUACAGAGGAGAAGCCAGCUGAUGAAGUGGCCGCAGCCAUUGACUCGAGACUUGUAUUGUCCACGGUUGGAUCAUACCCCUCCAUGCAUCCAGUUUCACCCAUCAAUGGGUUGUUGAUCACUGCUGAAAGUUCACAAGAAUUCAUCUCCCAUGACUGCUCGUUUUCCAAGAAUCCAAAGUUAAGUCCUUCGUAGCACGAAAAGUUUCCAGGGUUUGUAGAAUCCACAGGAAGAACAUUCGUCACGUCAGCAUCAGAAUGUGAUUGAUUCUCUAAAACCCUCAAAUUUGAGUAAUUACUCUGGUCAACUGAUGUUUGGUCAGCGUUGCUGUUAUUUGAGUACUCUUUGUGAUGAGAUGGAGGCUUUAAGCAAUUAUCAGGAACUAUGCAGUCCAAGUAGCCUGAGUUGGUUUCACUCCCGCUAGAGAAAAAGAAGUUCUCACUAGGGGAUGAACCAUAAGAGGACUGAGAACAAGCGUCAUUGUCAGAUGAUAUUGGAUGCUCUCUGGCCUGAGAUGAAGAACUAGGAUGUUUAGUAGCAUCAUGUUGUUUAUUUUGGUUCUUGGUCAGCGAGUGCGAUGGCGGCAGUAUGGAUUGGAGAUCAAAAGGGCUGAUAAGAGAAUGGAAAUUUGUGUUAUCUGAGUAUACAAAAUUGGUUCUUGCUUGAGUCCCCUUCAUGGAAAGUGCUGCUCGAUCAUAAGCAAGGGCGGCUUCUUGAGCAGUAUCGAAUGUACCAAGCCAGUGCCUUUCUUUUGUGGUAGGAUCUCUGAUUUCAGCAGCGUAUCGGCCCCAAGGCCGCCUUCUAACGCCUAGGAACCUCCCUGGUUCUGCUUGCUUUCUGCGACCUCUUUUCUCACUAGGUUGGGAAACAGAAGUGUUUCUUUGUAGUAAAGUAAAUCCUGUUUGUGUAAGGAUUGGUUCAUAGAGAUUGAAGGGUUUUUCUGGGGUUUUGGAGGUGGACAUCGCAGAAAAGAAUGAAGAAGAUUAGGCCAGAGUUAGAGGCCUGGAGACUGUAUGAGAACAAAGGUUGUGUUAAGAGCUACAGCAGAAAUGCAGAGAUGGAAGGCUGUGAGAAUGUGUAGGAUGCAGUCCUUAGGAGUUAGGAGUGAGCUCUUUUAAAGACUCAUCUGAUCUCUCUUACAAUCAAAGGGGGCAAAAGGACACUGCAACAUGUCAUUCAUCUCAAGACCAUCUAGCUCUUUUUCAAAAUUUGUACUUUUCAGCAUUUUUAUGUUACUAUUAACUUUUUGUUAGUAUUCCAUUAACAUCAAAAUCAUUUGUUUUCGUAAAUAUAAAAUUGAGUAUUAUUGUUAGGAUGAAAAUGAAGAUUCUCUUAACUUUUGUCAAGCACAUGCUGACAUGCCGUGGUAAAGGUUCGAGAAUACUUCUAUGGAGCCAAGUAUUUCCAAAUAACAAUUGUUUUUUUUUUCCUUGGCUUCCCUUCCUGGGGUAGUCUCUCUAACUUCUAAUGUCUUGAUUUUGCUCAUACGCUUCCCUAAACUAAGAUUUAUAUUCCUUGUUCAUUUGCCUCGUGUAAUUACAGUAAUCCCUGUUUCCCCUUCACCUUUUGUUCAUUCGAUCAAUAUGCAUGCAUGCAUGACUAUUAAUUAAGUCACUGUGCCAACAUAAGGUUAAUUUAGUGAUCCUACAGAAAAUCAACCAGCUCAUGCAUCUCAAAAAACAUGUGGUGGAUGGUCACUUACUCAUUUUUAAAAAAGAAACUCAAAAGCAAAACUAGUUUAGUUGAGGAUGAAACAGAGAUAAGAAAAGAGCAAAGAAGUUUUUGUCUCCAUAUCCUUGAGAGUCUCGAACUAUUUGAAUUUGAAGGUAUCAAAAGUGGUAACUUCUAUUUAGUGUAGGGUUGCACAUGUUUAUCCGCGUUAUCUGCAGCAAGUUUCCUUCCACACUCUUUGUCUUCUCUAUAAAUUUUCAAAGGGAGCAGUUAAAGAUUAAGUUUAACUAAAAUGACUAGCAUAAGUUUGAGUGAGAUAUCGCAUUGGCCUGUGUAAUGGAAAUACUCUAUCACCAACAAAAUGUCAGUAUUCAACGACAAUAGAGGCAAUUCACAAGACCUUUAGGUCAAAAUACUUAGCCUUAUAUGCAUGUCAUUUCCCUAGGCUCUUUCCGCGUUAAAUCUUUCUACAUUGUUAUUAUUUGUCCAUAUACUGAUUGUGGUUUGCUUUGCCCAAGAAUGGGUUUUGGUGGCAAGCCAUUAGAGGUGGGCAGAAAAUGAUCUACUCAUCAAUAUCUCUUCAGGGAUCGUUUCUGAUACCUUGAGAAUGACCAGUAUGGACUGAAAUAAUGUAAGAAUUUUUGGGAAUUUCUAUCUUUUCUCAACCAAAGUCUUCUAAUCAAGUACGUUUCUUCAACCAUUAGUUCUUUUCGUUUUUCCCUUUGAACGGCUAAUCUUGAGGGAUUAUAACCAAUGUUGCCAAACCCAAACUAGAUUAAUUAUUGUUGGUUGAACUUCUUUAACUUGAUUUUUUUCUUGAACUAGAUACACACUGAAUAAUGAAGGCAAAUAAUAUAGUCUGAGUCCCCAUUCCAAGUUUUAAUGCAGUAUGAUGGAAUGGUCAAAGAAUGAAAUGCCUGUAAAAAGCAAUGCAAUUACUUAUCCAGACCUUGGCGUGACAAUCUGGGUGGAUUUCUUCGUAAUAAUAUAAACUGGGGCAGUUUGUAACGACGUCUGCUUAGGUUUUACUACAAGCUAACCAAGAGCAAAAUUCCCUAGGCCAAAAAAUUUUGUAAAAAAAAAAACAUUUUUUUUUUGGUCUAAAGGGACUAAGGGAGUCGUGGAUCUGUGUCCUUAUCUAAAAGGAAGCAUAAAAGGCUAUAGUCAAAAGAGCAAUCAAAAGGUUGAGGAAGACAUAGGAAGCCACAUGCCCUCAAAUAUAAACAAUUAGUGGGACACUAUCGCUCACUAAACCAUUUCAUCAGCAGUUCUAACAGGACACUCAUAACUUUUUCCGUAUUGAUUAAAGUUUCACAUGCCUAAUUGGCAUUGGGAACACCAUAAGCUAAUCAUAUAAUCAAACGGGUCAACCCCUUUUUAUGUCCCUAUCAUACCAGAAUUCUAUAGUGUUUGCCACUUGUUCCUGUUAAUGGUCUGUCCCGAAUUAUGAAAAGCAUAAAUGGUGGUAACGAAAACAAAUUGAAAAAUUGAGGACAAAGAGAGCAUAUUCAAUGCAUAAGCAGUUGAGUUUUAUUGAAAAACAGUCAUCAUCUUUUAGUCUUAUGACCUAGACAAAAUCUGGGACUAUUGACUGAUCCACUAUAAAAAUUAUUCGAGAAUUGAAUAGAAACAGUACUGACUAGAAAGCGAUCUUGAGGUCAUUUCCCUAAUAGACCAAAAAAGUGUCAUAUCAGAAGAUAAUUAUGAAAAAUGAGGGAUUUUAUUUGUUUAUUUUCUUUUAUUAUGGUGAUGGAUGGAGCGGUCUUUGGAAAGUAGUAACAAGGUUUGAAUUGAAAAUGAUGCUGGAUUAUGCCUUCCUUGUAUUAAAGGUAUGCCACAAGAAGUUUAGAAUUUGAAUUACAUGAAUAGUCGGUCAAGCCUCAUAUGAAAAGAUGUGAUCCACUUGGUAUUUAAGUACUUCAAGUUUAUUACUAACAAAGUGCUAAAACUUAUUAGUACGUACUGCUAGUAUUUGUUGGAUGGCAGCUCCUUAACAUGCAUGAAUUUAUUUGGAUCCCUUUUCUUGAAAAGCAAACACAAAAGUAUGGAAAAUGUCAAGUGAAGUGGGGGCCUCCUUCUUCCAUCCCUAAGUUCCAUCCUGACAAGAGAAACUUGUUUUGGUCAGAUUGGAAUUUUGCACAUUCUCCCAAACAUGAACAUGCACACACUUUUGUUGUAAGAUACUUAAGGUCACCCGGAAUUUGGGGAAAAAGAUUAUGACAUUCUAAGGACUAAGGACUCUCUGGGAGCCUUUGGACUUUGACGAGACUGAGGGGAAGGGAUCAAGGGAUUUUGUUUGUCUUUGACCGGCUCAGAAUUGAAUUCUUAUUUCUUUCCAAAGGCAAACUGAGCCCUCAACAAGGCUCCUUGAAGGGUUUUUCUUGUUCCUUUUUCUACUGCUUAAUCACAACAUUACUACUGCAAUCCUGCAGCUGCAAGUAGCCAGGGGAAUAUCAGGGAUAUUGUUGCUCAGUUGUUGGGAUGGGUUGAGACAUUUUGUCUCAUAUUUCAACGUGGUACAGAUAUACAGACAGUGGAGAAGCCUCAUGUGACCAUAAAGACUGUUAGAUGAACGUAAACAGCUAAUGACACUUCUAUUAUGAGAGCUAUUGUGUAAAUUUCACAGCAAGACACGGGUAAACUUGAAAGAUUAGGACAGUGCAUAUUUCACCUCGGGCAUUGUAUGGUGACGCAUGAAAUUUGGCUAUUUAUCCUUCACCAUUUAUCUCCAAGAAGGGGGCAGCUCAAUAGAUCUAGCAAAACUUAAUUGGAUUGAAUUUUGAACUAAUCAAUAAACUAGCCAGUUCGUAUAACUCUCAAGUUUCGCCCCCUCAAGAUGAAAAUGUAGAAUAUGAAGGUGUCCAACGAGUAGCCAAUAGCCACUUGCAAAUUCAAUGAGGCGUGUCACUUCCCUCCCCUGCAACUUGUCCCAAUUAUUAGUUAAGACUUCAAGGCCUCGAGGCUUCAAGCAUGUACUUUUCUCGUACCAUUAUCGUGGGGUGGGGUGGGGAUGGGAGGCAAGAAUCUGCAAAUUCACUCAUCUGACUCUUAUCGGAUUUUGCGUGAGGAAGAGAAGAUAGCUAGUCCAUGAAUAGCCAACCCACUAGCUGCAAGUAGCCAGGGGAAUAUCAGGGAUAUUGUUGCUCAGUUGUUGGGAUGGGUUGAGACAUUUUGUCUCAUAUUUCAACGUGGUACAGAUAUACAGACAGUGGAGAAGCCUCAUGUGACCAUAAAGACUGUUAGAUGAACGUAAACAGCUAAUGACACUUCUAUUAUGAGAGCUAUUGUGUAAAUUUCACAGCAAGACACGGGUAAACUUGAAAGAUUAGGACAGUGCAUAUUUCACCUCGGGCAUUGUAUGGUGACGCAUGAAAUUUGGCUAUUUAUCCUUCACCAUUUAUCUCCAAGAAGGGGGCAGCUCAAUAGAUCUAGCAAAACUUAAUUGGAUUGAAUUUUGAACUAAUCAAUAAACUAGCCAGUUCGUAUAACUCUCAAGUUUCGCCCCUCAAGAUGAAAAUGUAGAAUAUGAAGGUGUCCAACGAGUAGCCAAUAGCCACUUGCAAAUUCAAUGAGGCGUGUCGCUUCCCUCCCCUGCAACUUGUCCCAAUUAUUAGUUAAGACUUCAAGGCCUCGAGGCUUCAAGCAUGUACGUUUCUCGUACCAUUAUCGUGGGGUGGGGAUGGGAGGCAGGAAUCUGCAAAUUCACUCAUCUGACUCUUAUCAGAUUUUGCGUGAGGAAGAGAAGAUAGCUAGUCCAUGAAUAGCCAGCCCACUUGAGACUCCAUGUCAAUUGGUAUUACUGUAGCAUUUGCAGCCUGAGUUCUUUCUUUCCUGAUUUCCAGUUUCCAUCUUUUUGUCCCCUAUUUAACUGGAGAAACUACGACUACAAGUUCUUUUUAAGAAAAAAAAAAUUUUCGAACAAAGAAAGAGUGAAAUUUAAGAAGUUGGAGGAGAAAGAGGAAUUUGAAUCCCAAACAUUUAAUUUUUGGAAUGCCUACUUCAGCCGCCAUCAGACCAGCACCUCAAUAUUACAAGGUCUCGCAUUAUAAGUUAUAAGUUGACAGACAGAUAGUGCGAUUUAUCAAUAAUGGGUAGCUAAACAUACAUCCUCCAGGAGUAAGGCCUUGAUUGAAAAAAAUGAUCAAUGGUGGCAAGGAAAACUACUAUGAACCACAAUAGCUUUCCAGAAUUUUUUGAAAUGUUGAAGAGUUCCACCCCGACAUUCCAUUACUUCCUUAUCCAAUUAAAAAUCACCCGAUCAUAAGGUAAAAUUAUGAGUUUCAUAUAAAACAAAUGUGCAUUUGAAUGAAGGAAAGCACACUCAAGAUCGAACGACGACUAAAGAAUUUCCAACAAGUCUAAUCAACAUAUACUAAGAAAUCAUAACAUUUCCAUAGGAACACCGUGAGAGCUCAUCUGUUGGCCAAUUGCAAGUCUGCAACAGGUGCAAAUAGUUCCGCUCAAUCCCUUCCAAUUUUCUCUCUGGCAAGGAAGAUAACAAAAAAUAUCUGCCCAAGAUUUGAGGUACGGUGAAAUCAUGUACGGAAGAUCAAAAUAAUUAAGUCCGAGGAAACACACAUCCGGAUUGUAUUACCAACCGCUUUUGCCUAUUCUUUCGUCGAACAGGAAGGAAGAAGCCAGCUAACUGUUGACUGCCACCCAAGAGAUGGGCACGGUGACGUGACACUCGAUACUGUUGCCAAGUAAUCAAGGGGGCCCACCCAAGCAGACGUGUCGGCUCCUUGGAUUCCACGUCAGCACGGAAGGACCUGCAAAAUACUGUACAGAGAGAGAAGGAAACGAAAAGAAAGAUUGCGUUGCAGGGUUGACAGAGUUAAAUGCAUGUGUAUUUGUCGAGGGUUUUUGUACUUGGCUACGUUCCCUUGACAACUGAAUCAAGAGGGUUGAAGAAGCAGUAAAGAUUUGUUGAGGGUUUUUGUUGUGUACUUGUACUUGGGUACGUGCCGAGAGAAUUGAAUCACAGAACUUAAAAAGAGGCUUGAAGAAGCAGUAAAGAUUUUGUGAUGGUGAAUGAAUCUUCAUUCAUUCUUUUUUCAAGUGUAGGUGAAAAGUCUUCAUGGGAAACGAAGUGGUGCUGAAGGAAUUGUUGUCAACUUUCUUCUUCUCUUCUGAUCUUUUUGGAUCAGAUUGUCAAUGAGCAUUUUGCUUUUCAGAAAUAUGAAGGGGUUUUUUUUUUUUUUUUUUUUUUUUAAUAAUGCUAGGAGCAUUUAGGAUUUAACUUCAUAGUUCUUAGUUUGCUAAUUCAUCAGAGGAUAACAACACAUUUCGGCGCUCACUCUAAACUUCAAUGCUGAUCCCUCCAAUCCAUGCAUAUUUAACAAAGAACUUUUAUCAAAUGCAAUAUAUACUUGAAGAAUGAUAUCUUAAAUGAAAAUUAUUCAUACCCUCUACAUUCCUGUUUGGAUAGAGUAUUGUUCUUUGUAUGACUUCAGGUCAUUCUCGUUUUCCCGUGAAUUAGUAGCCGCGUGAGCUGAACAUAAUAAUAAUUAUAUCAACUGUUUUGACCAAAAAAGAGUGGGAUAUGAAAGCAAGAAUUAACACAUUAUCUGUCUUUAAUUUCAAGGACCACAUUAUCUUAUUUUAGAUAUUCAGGACUCAUAUAAAAUUCUGGAAGUAUUUCAAGGAGAAUUUUGAACAAUUUGAAGCAUUUUCACUUUAGUAGGAAAGCUGAAUUGCACCAAAAUGCCUCCCACCAAAAUGCUACAUUUAAGUGGUUUGCUUAAAAAAAAUUCAGGCGGGUGUGUUCUGCACCCGUUUGAUCCGGUGGUGGUUCAGUCCUCUCCGGAUUAUCCCUGGCCUCCUUAGGUGCGCCCCCUCUCCCUUAGUGUAGCAUAGAUUAGGUUAUACAACUGUUGUCGCCUUCGGAAAAAAAAAAAAAAGCUGAAUUGCACACGACACUGUAGUUCUUGGGGUGGCUGGAUUUCCAUCCCUACCGAAACAUGAAAUUGUAGCUGCAUAAUUCUUGAGGCUGGGAACUUUCAUAAUUCAUGCAGCCAAUGCUUGUCGCUUCUCUUCUUUUUUUUUGGGCCUGUUGUUUUUUGCUCAAAUGAAAUUUAGAUGCUUCCCCAUUCUUUGGCAUCUCCAUUCCAAGUCUACUUCGAUCACAAAAGUCAUUCAGCUCAAGAACACAAAACGAAAGGAUAAUAUUCAUCUCCUCUUUCUUAUGCAUCAAUACUCCUUGUUACCCAAAAAAAAAAAAGGACAAAAAUGAUGACUGUCAGCCAUAGAUAUAUCACUAAAUACUUGACAAAACAAAAGCUGAAAUGAGAGGAAGAAGAGUGCUUAAUUAUCAUUGUUACAACAGAUUUCUAAUUAUCUAGCGCCAAGGUGGUGAUCAAGUCAGAAAAGAUGACUCGUUAAGUUCAUUAGAGUAAGCUGGAUAAUAUCCAGUUGAACACGACAAACAAUACAAGGAGAGACCAGCAAAUCGAAAUCCAGACUGGAUUUUAAGUGCCAAACACUACAUUUACAACAUUGACGACUUCUCAAUCUGGCCAGACCUGAAUGCGAAGCUCAGAAAUGAACCAAGCAAUCGAGCACGAAACAUGAUCCACUCUUACAAUGGCUAAAAGGCGAGGUCAUCAAGCUCCCUGGUAAUAAAAGCAUGUGCAGCAAAAUCUGCCUCCGCAUCAGCAUAAACUCUUAAGGACAUUGUAGGUUUGAAUCUGCAAUUUACAACUACAUGAUGAUUCUGCAUAUCCAAAGAUUCAACACAUCAACCAUCGAAUACAACAAUUUAAGGAACUCAAAAGCCAACUGCUUCAUUGUCUACACCACUAAUAUGAAUGUAAUCCUGCUUCUAUUCGUACAUGGGCAGCCACAGAAAGCAUCACCUCGAGUGAACUUUAGCUGUCUCACACAAAUUGAUAAAAGAAUCAAUGAGUACUGCUUUCAUAUUCCUCCAAUCAACCAUUAAAGGGAAAAGCAUUACACAGCGUAAGCUUACUAUUGCCCGAAGCUACAGAUGAUGGCACUAUUUUACAAGUGCCCCAGAUUUACCUGCGACUAUUCCCAGCAUUUCCUAGCAAUGAUACAGCUUGAGUGGACGAUAUCAACAAAGAUCAUUUAACUGAAUCUUCCGCCCACCUCCUCACACUUGAGGGACCAGCAUUGUCAGGAGCAUCGUGCCAUACCAACUCCAUCUGGAAGGAUAGAGGAAAAUAUAUACUUGUAAAUACUUUGUUAUGAAAUCAAGUAUGAAGAACAUUUACAGAUGAGGUUUAUCCUCUCAAUGCACUUCAACUGAAUCUUAUAAAAAUUGAAGAAGAAAACUAUAGAAAUAAAAAACAUGCUAAAGAUGAGAAGGAAAAAGAAAAAUAAUUUCAACUUACAUCCCCAACAAAAACAGUGUCACCUUCCUUCACACCAAGUCUGAUGAGAGACUUAUUCACACCACAUGCCUCCAGAACAUGUUGAAACCUUUUCGCAGAAUCUAUGUAUCUGCAAAAGGAACAAAUUCAUUAAUAUCAAACAGCAUUUUGAAUGAAAACCAUUAUCUUGAAUUAUACAUAUCAUGGCUAAUGUGUAUCGUAGAUUCAAGAUAUAGCAUGGGGACAGGAACUUUUGCAUGCCAACACAGAAGCACGUACUUAAAUCAUUAGACAAAGACAUAUAAAGCAUUAUGACAUGGUAGAUGUAGGUUACUUCUAUCUGACUAUGUGUCCUGAGGGGAGGUGGUUGCCCUUGAUCUGUCCAGCAUAAUAGUUCCAACAAAGGUUUUUUUUUUGGGGGGGGGGGGGGAGUUGGCAAACACAAUGACUUCACGGUGAUGACCAACAAGCUUGGUACCUCCAGUUUGUCAUUUGGACAAAGCGUUGUAAACCUGAUCCUGUAACAUGCCAUGCAUUGCUAUCACUGUCAUGGGAGAUCUCAAAUUCAUUUAUUGGAGAAGUUUGCUGCUUUUGCACCAUAUCAGCCACAUGGUUUAAAUUUACCGAACCAGUUGCACCUGAAUUAGAAGGUCUAGUGGUUAGAGCAUAUAAACUUGCAGUGACAAUCAAAAGUGUAAAUUUACACAACAGGGAAACAAGAGUUCAAGGGGCACGUUGGGUAAGCACCAAUUAAGAUUCUAGCAAUUACUCAGAAUGAGAACUUAACAUGGAUUUCUGACCUUCUUUACUGACUUUAUUAUUAGUGCAUUGCAGAUUUUAUAAAAUAAAAAUAUAUCCUUUAUAAAAAAAAAUUUUUUGAACUCAAUUAUAUGUUUGUUAGAAUCUCCCUCCGUCCCACUUUGAUAGUCCUGUUUUUCUUUUUCGUCUGUCCCAAACUGUAGUCCACUUUCUAAUUGAAAAAUGUUGUAGUUAUAUUUUAAUUUUACUAAAAUAUUUUUAUUUAAUGUAAGUUGUUGUUACUAUAAACCUACCCCAUUUAAUAAAAGUUGAUUCUUUUUUUAUCAUUAAUUUAAUUUUUAUAAAAUUGUACUCUAUUUAAUGUGAGGGUAUUUUAGAAAAAUAACAAUUUAAAUUUAUUUUUUUAAUAAAAUUAAUUACUUUUUUAAAAACUGUGUAAAAAAAGAAACAGCACCGUCAAAGUGGGACGGAGGGAGUAUAUAAUUAGGUUCGCUUCUCGUCUUCUCCUGUGAGUUUUCUGAAUUUAUUGUGAUUUAACCCGAUUUGGAUAUUUCAUGGAUUCACGUGUCACAUAAAGAUGCUAAAAUGCGCCGACGAAGUUCUGACCGUUUGUGAAUGAUCUGGGUGUGGUUGGCGGACUCGAGGUAGCAGAAAGGGUACAUUUAUUGUCUGCUACAUUCAGAUGGGCCCUGUUGGGCCCACAUGUCUCUUGGGAAUUGUGAUUUGGUCUUUUGGCCGGAUUCGAAUCUCCCUUGUGUUACUUAGUCUACUCUUUUUAGUCUUUUACCAGAAACCACACGUGUUUCUGGUAAAACAUAAUUGGGCUACUCUUGUCCAGUUGAUUAGUUUGGGUUGGGUUACUUGCAAUACGUCUUGCAUUUUGGGCUUCCAGCUUUGUAAUCAGCGAAGCGGGUUUGCUUUUGCACUUGCGGAGGAGGGCCCAGUAUUUGCUUGGACUUAAGGGUGAGAAUUGGGACCUCGCCAAACUUUUUUCCUUCAAAAUGGAUAAAAUACCGAAAAUAUUUGGAUUAAAUCUUGUGUACAUAAUCAAUGUAUGCACUAUCACCAUUAGAUAUGUGACAUGUGUCAAGUUUGAAUUUGAAAUUCAAAUUUUGUUAUAUGUCAUUCACCCAAAUAUGACAGUGUAUACACUGACAUUGCAUAUAAGAUUUCCUAAAAAUAUUUUGCACAAGUAGAACAUCAUAUUAGCAUUAUUUCAGAGACUCAAGAAUGGAGCAAAAAUUAGGGAGAUUUAAUGAUCUUUCAAUCCAUCGUCUGUGGUAGGGUUGUAAUCGAACCAAGCUGCUCACAAACAACUCAAUCAAAAACUUGACUCGGACUCGAGUUGACUGAGUUCGAGUGCUUCGAUAAGUCGAGAAAGUCAAGUUCGAGUAUUCAGAAGUAGUGCUCGAAAACUCGUCGAGCCUUAUCGAGUUUUUUAAUUUUAAUUCUUUAAUAUAUUAUUAUUAUAAAAUUACCCUUAUGCCCAAAAGAGUGGUUGAAUUUACAAAAUAUUUCAGGUCAUAUGAAAAUUUUAAAAAGGCAAUAAUGUCUUUUUGCUCAAAAAUUGUCAAAAAAAUGAAAUUUUCUAACUUGAACUCGAUCAAGUUUGAUAAGGCUCGCAUUGACUCGAGUUCAUGCGAGUCGAACUCGAGUUUUAUGGGCAAUGCAUCGAGUUUGAGCUCAAGUUCCAAUAAUACUAUUCGCUCUAACUCGAGUAUCUUUCUUAUAUAUCGAGUCGAGCUUGAAUAUGGUGAUAUUCGAGUUCGACUCGACUCGAUUACACUCCUAGUCUGUGGCAUCUACCUGUUAUACGAUUUCAACCAACCCACUUAUUGAGUAUAAAAUUACUGUUUUAUUUUCCAUGUUAUCAUUUCUUUGACCGAUAUACAAAAUUUUCUGCCCAUUUUAACUUUUUGGUCUUAUUUAAGAUGAAAUGGGAAUCUAUUCGUGAUUUUUUAAUUUAAAUAUUGAAUAAUGCGAUAGAAAUCUAAUAUUUGUUGAGGGCCAAUUAAUCAAAUUGAAUCAACCAUUAACAAAUAAACUCCAAUAUGGGUAGAUUUGAUUAGGGAGAUGCAGAAAUAGUACCCUUUUUGCUCCGCCUAACUUUAUGCCCCUCUAAGGUUAUUUUAGUAAUAGGUUUUAUAGGAAGUGGACAAUACUAUUUCGUUGUAAUCCCAUUUUAAGAAUCAUAUUCCUACUGUCAUUUUAAUUGUUGGAUUUUUUUGACGAGUGCCCAUAGAGUAUUCAUUAACACACCUAAUAUUCAUCUAAUCUGCUAUAUAUAUAUAUAUAUAUAUAUAUAUACAUAUAUAUAUAUUAACAAUUACUAUCCUCUCUUAUAUUUCUAUAUUUUUCCUAUUUAAUCUUGUCUACUCUCGCUUGUAUUUAUUUACUUUACCUAAUUAAACUUACAUUUUCAAAAAUAUAACAUUUGAAUUAUGUCUUGACGAGUGCCUUAUGGACAUCAGUUAAACAAACAAUUAAUUUUAUAAUUUUUAUUUAUUAUAAUAUGUGAUAAAACAAAUAGUAGGAGUGGAAAUAAUAAAAAAUGAAGUGUAAAUAACAUUGUUCUUUAUUUUUUAAAUUUAUGGAAAAUCGAGUUUAACCUUCAAUGAAAUCAGCCAUUGACAAUGACAUAACAAAGUGUGGUGGAUCCCUCUACCAAUGGCAUCUUUAUUUUAAUUUCUUAUGCGAAGUCAUAGAAGAUUUGCAACCAAGCCACUUUGAAACACCUCUGUGGAAUUAAAUUGCAAGUUAAUCCAAAACAUUAUUAUUUCAAGUGCUAUGUGUAGUUCACACUUUAGGGAUUGAAGUUGGUACUGUUAAUCAAGGUAAGUAAUCGGGCAGUGGCACUUUUCGGCCGCAGAGGGAAUUAAUUAAAGGACUCUCUUGACUCAUAUCGCCUUCCAUUCAAUCAUAUACUGCCAUUAGUUACUCAAUACUUACUGGUUGACUGAUACACAUAAUUAAGUCUUUUGUACUCUAAACAAGUCUUUUGUGAUAAAGGCAAUCUUUAUCUACUGCUUUCGUUUUUUUGUUCAUUUUCUUUUCUUCGUGUCAAAUUGCGAAACCAUUCUUUCCAUGACUACCUAUAGAUUCUGAUUACGAAUCUAACAAUAUUUGGAUGACUUAGAAGGAGAGAUAAAGUAUGAUAUAUGCCAUUGACCAGCUCCCUUGCGCCAAUCUCCUGGCUUCUUUCUAACCUGAGCGUGUGACGAACUCUUAUUCCAACUGGCAUGGAGAUGCUUGAUGACAACUAAGUACGCAAUUGCUUGAAUGCUACUGAUGUCCUGGUGUUUAUCUUCUUAAGCAUAAGCGACAGUGCCAGGAGCAAGCACAAAAAUGGGGAAUAAUACAACUUUGUUACUGGUUUCCAAAUGAAGCAUAUUGCAAGAUUCUCAUUUGUACGUACUCGUCAGAACCAACUAGCAGUAUAUAAUAACAAGACGUCAUCCCAAUUUCCUGGCUAAUCUUAUCUUAAGAUGAACCCAUUUAACACGUGCCAAGGCUAUGCAACCAUUAGUACAGUGAGCAUCCACUAUAUAAAAAUCAGUGGGCAGAAUCUUGUUUUCAAUUUUGUCAAGACAUGCACUUGUCGAUGUAUUUUGUUUAUGAUAAGAUUAGAUGACAAUUCCAUUUUGCCAAUAAAGUUUUGCAUUAGUAUGUAUGAGCUUAAUUAAUUAAUUGAGAACUGAGCAUUGACGGUGAUCAGUUGCUAAUUACUUUCAUCGUUUCGGUUUUGCAUGAAGGAAGAAAAUCAGGAGUAUCAUGCAUUAAUAUGGCUAUUUAUUAGAAGGGUUUAAUGUGUUUCAGAUGUAGCUUCUGAGCCGAGAAUAUUUUAUUUGAUCAUCGUUUCGCUGCCUUGGGACUUUGAUUGUCAACCAGCAGGCAUAAAUGCUUGUCCAUUACCAACUCGCAGAACCUUUUACGUGACAAUGAGCUCGAUGGAGCGAAGAAGAGAACCAAACAAAUAAUUAAUGGAGUUGUAGACGAUACUAUGUGCUUGCAGUGACAGCGAUCGAGCUUAAAAAGAUGAUGGAGACUAACAUUAUCACAUAUGCAAACUCAAAUCAUUAGCCAAAAGCACAUACUGUAUUACAGUAUAGGGUACAUGGUGCAUAAUGAGUAUGUAUUGUUAUUGAUCAUCAGUCUCAAAAAGCUCGAGUACACAUUUAUUUAAGUAAGAGUUUUAAGUUCCCACUCGAAAAUCGCCUAUUCAACCUAUAUAUAUAUAUAUAUAUAUAUAUCACGUACGUCUAAACUGGAUAAUCCGACCUCUAUUAUGAUUAUCGAUCGACCUUUUGCAACAAAAAUGCAUUAUUCUUAUAUUAGUGCCGGACAUAUAUAUAUAUAUGAAAACUAUAUAUAUUGUAUUAUGUACUUGGUAACACAUCAAACCCAUAAAGCUCCUGCCCUUUUGAGCAUUGGCUUUAAGGAUCUACUGAGAUGAAGAUUCAUGACCUCGUUAGCUCCACCAACCAGCUCGCCACCGAUGAACACAGCCGGCACGGUCGGGUUACACCCACUCCUCAAAAGGGCUUGCUCGAUCUCUCGGCCUCUUGGGAUUUCAUCUAGCUCAUAGACAGUAGGGUUGACUCCGAAGUCAACAAAGAGAGACCUAAUGCUGUGGCACAUUGCGCAAGUGGUCCUGCCGAAGAUCACCAGCGGCUUCUCGGACACCAUCUUGCCGAUUCUGUCCAUCGAUACAAUCAAACGAUUAUUAAUUCGAAAGCUCGUGCUUGUAUAAUCAGUAAUGUAGAGAGAUCGAGAGCAGCGAGAUGAGGUGAUGCGGUAUGAGUUUGUAAGAUGACUUAAUUAGGACCAGGUAGAUGUUGGUGUGGGGGGAAGUUGAGAGUCCAGUGGGAGAUUUAUAUAGAGUUUGGGAGGUGGCCAUGGGGAUGGAGGUGGAGGAUUAAUUAAUUAUGUGCUGUUUUCACGUGGAAAAAGAGAUGAAUAUUUUCUUUUCUUGGAGGAAUUAGAAGAGUCAUUCAUGAUCAGAUAUUUGGGAUUGGUUCCACAUUUUAGCUACGAUCAUUUGUUGAUGGCGAUUGACGUGUGGAAUGUGGCACUGCACAAUAAAAGUUGUGCGAUAACGAAUCUCUGCAUACGGAAAUUGAGACGUGUCUGCGGUACGGUCUCAUUGCAAAUUUGAAGAUGAAUUGAUGACGAUAAGUGCGAAAGACUUGUUGCAAUUUCAUUUAAUCCUGAUUCGAUAUGAUAGUUCAGUAGAUAUGAUAGUUCAGUAAAGCAACUCUGCUUACAAAUUCGGCGACUCGAUGACUGAUCUAUCCAUGUUCGCUAUGCAACUUGAGAAUAAGCAGGCGAUCAUCAUACAGCACAUUGGUUAAGCAAGCACAGCCGUGGUCCAUUUUUUCAUCUACCAACUUUUGCUGUAUCUUUCUGGGAGGCAUCUUCUGAGUUGGAGAAAGAAGUUGGAUUUAUCCAAUUGGGACCCUUUUUUUCUCCCCUCUUUUUCCAUAGCAAGAUUCGCAUCUUAUUCACGAAAGAAAAAUAGAAGGCAGAAGAAACGCAGAAGAGAAGAAUAGGGGAUAGAGUUCUUGAAUGACAUUGAUAGCACAUGCUAUAACACCAUUGUUCUUGAACCAUCUGCAAGGCUAUAUGUGUUCGAGCACAGUCUUCUUCAAUCCACUGUUUAAGAAUCCAUCAUGUGUCCAAACGAAAAAUGUUUGUCACUAAUAAGUCGAUAAAACAUAUGGCAGAUUCAUAUGGUGAAAGCCUCGUGCCUUUAAUUAAAUGAAUGAACAAGUAUUUGACAUUUGAAAGCGUUGUUAUGAUCAUCUUGUCUGCGAGUGAUCAUCUUGUCUACCUCGAUCGGGUAACUAAAACAUGAUUAAGAUUACUUUUUUUUCUUUUUUUCUUUUUUUGCAUAGGUAAUUAAUCAUUGGGUUAUUUUACAGUCCCCAUGAGAUUCUUAAAUUACCAUCCACCCCUGGAUAAACAUUGAUGGAGCAAAUUACAGUUAAAAAAUGACAUUGGCUUUUUGAGAAUACCUCCACAUGAGGGGGACCCUAAACACUAACUGUGAUUUCUUGAUUACGUACGUAAGUUUAGCAGCUAAACUAAUCCGUUGUCGGGCAAGGUAAUCAAUUAUUCUCCACGACGCUAGCCUACCUCUUCCACUUGGACCCAACUAUACUGAUCCCACGUGGCUCUCUUAUGGCAUCGGGCCUCCACACGCCACAGACGAAAUGGCCAAACAUCAAAUCUACUUUUGGAUAAAGCAAGCAAUUCUCUCUUUAACAAGGUCAAAUAAUUAAUUUAAUCUUUGACCGACCAUGAAAAAAGAGAUUAUUAUAAUGGGGUAUUUCUCCGAUUUAAUAAUGUAUUAGAUUUUUUUCUUAUACAUAUCUGGCAGUAUUCAUUUUGUGACAGUGGCCUGCAGCCUCCAUUAAGCACGUAGAAGGGCAGCUACGAUACAAGUAAAGUGAAAUUUCAUGUUUGUAACUUUAGAAUUUAGAAGUAUACAUAUUUCUAAAUGUUAGUAAAUUAAUGUACAAUUAUUAAAAGAAAUAGUCAAUUGAAAUUAGUUAAUUUUACUUCUCCUUGGAACAUAUUAGUGAUCAUAAAUACUCCGCUCUAGAACUAUACAAGAGUCGAGUCGAGUCGCUCGAGUCGAGUCGAGUCGAGUCGCUCGAGUCGAGUCGAGUCGCUCGAGUCGAGUCGAGUCGAGUCGCUCGAGUCGAGUCGAGUCGACUCGCUUGAGCUAAUCCAAUCAAACUUGAACUCAAAGAUACUCAAUUCUUUAACUCACAAGUCAACUCGAUUAUAUAUAUAUUAUUUUAAUAAUAAAAUUACAUAUAUAGUCUUAAUAUUUUAUUAUUUAUUAAAAAAAUUAUUAUUUUGUUCAUUUUUUAAAAAAAAAUAAUUAUUUUUUUAUUUUUUAAAACUUAAGUUCGAGCUCGACUCGAUUCAAAUUCGAGUUGAACUCGAACUCGAGCUUUACAUUGAAACUCAUUGAGUUCGAGUUCGAGAUUGAUAAAAUUAAGUCGAGACUCGAUUCGAUUAAACCAAAUCUCAGUUCGACUCAACUCAUUUACAACCGUACUCCGAUCCAGUUCCUUAUCACAUGCUAUAACUAUUAACUAUAAUUCAAGUCUGCUUUUAUUUAGACUGCAAAAUUGCAUGUAUAAAUCUGAAGGUGAUGAAACAAAAUGCAAAAGGAUACCAAUUAAUGAAUAGUUAAAGGAAGCUAAUAGAUUUUCCUAUCUUUGUUGUCGUUGGCUGUUCUCGCCUUCUUUUUGUUUGGGAAAGGGGGAGCUUUCUCGUUUCUUAUCACAAACCAAAUAUUAUAAACCGCAUAUCGAAUACUUUUCCUCUGGAAAAAUCUAUACAGCUCAAAAGCUCCUUAACUUUUUCACGCUUUGCGUACGUGACCAAUGCGAAUCUUGGUCAUGUUGAUGAUCUUAACUUAGAAAGUUUGUACAUUGCCCACGCAAACAUUUUUGACCUACAAAAAGUUCAGUGUGUCCUAAAUCGGUGCCCAUAACUGGCCAUCAUGAAUCCCAAAGGCCACUUUGUACGGGUGCCCUUGACCGUAAUACGGUUCUUUCUAAGUGUACUAUUCACGGGAUCGCGUGCGGAAUAAAUUUAAUGCGUAUGUUCAAGGUAUUAUGGUUAUCAUUUUUUUUUUGUCCACAUAAAUAUCCUGACUUAUGUCACUAAUCCCUGCAGCUUUGUAGAGCUUGUCCAAGAUGCACAGCACGUUAUCAGUGAUGGUCGAUCUGACGAUUUCGAGUAAAGAUUCAAAGGCGAUCACCAUACAAGCUGCCCAUCGGAGGUGUUAUGAUUAUCAUUAUUUUUUAUGCUAGCUGUUUUCUUAUCAAUUACUCCCUCCCUUUUUUUUUAUAACUGACGUUUAAGAAAUUUGCGCUAGUGUACUUUUAUCUGUCAUUUUAUUAUUCCCAUACAGUAUUAAUUAUUUUUUCACAAUUUUGCCCUUUUAUCUCUCUUUUUCAAUACCGGGUUCUUAAUUACUAUUCCAUUUAGUUUGCAUUGCUUUUGGCCUAAUAAAACAGCACCAUUUAGUACUCUAGUGAGAAAAAAUAUGGGUAAAUUGGAUAAUUAAUGAGGGUGCAAAAGAAAAGUAGUGUACAGAUUUAAGUAAUGAAAAACUUUUCUUAAUUAGUGUGCAAAACCUUAAACGUCAGUUAUAAAAAAAAGUAGGGAGUAUGAUCUAAAUGUAUUGUCCAUUCAAAUUGCUGCAAAUGUGAAAACUAUGUUGAUAGACAAUUCCUCAUGAAUGGCCUUUGAUAUUAAGGGCGCCUUUAAGUCUAGUGAUUAGAGCAGAUUCACUCUAAAGUUUUUUAUUACCCAAAAAAAAAAAAGAGUUGCCUAAAUGUGAAGUGAAGAAUCCGAGAUUGCUUAAUGAAACGACAAAGUCACUCACUUUCAACUCGAACUGAAGAAUCCAAGAUCAGAACUUGUUAUGAGAAAAUUUUCAUUGUCGUCCAUGUUCCAUCCAAUGCAUCAAGCACUUGUAUAGCGAGCAUAAGUACAUACAUUGUCGAUGUUAUGUUAUAAACGUGCAUGGCUGUUCAAAUUCACAUGAUAAUGCAUUGAUUGCCAUCCAUGCUUUCUAAGAAGUCGUGAUCUGUAUCAGAAUUUUCUUCGAUAUUGAGCAAGGAAGAAGAUAAGGUUCAGGAUGGGAAUGACAGCAUAUAUGGAUGCCGCUACAAGGAAAAGCAGAAUCAACUUUAAACUUAGGAGAUAAAAAGAAAAAAAAAAAACUACGGGGGCGGUUCUUGGCAUCGCACGGAUCAGGCGCCUAUGAUAUAUGGUUGGUGAGGUACAAAAUUGGUACAUGAAUCUUGAGUAUAAAUCACUAGUUGUAGCUGUCUCAUUCCUUCUGCCAUAAGAAAAAGAGGUAAGGGAACAUAUUUCAUUCCCUCCUGCAGCCAGGUUUUGUGGUUCAGAAGAUCUCUCCAUCCAUAAAAUCAGAUAAUACUAAAAGAAAAUCCACGAUCUAGGAAUGCUUGAUAAUGGUUAUCUAGAAAGGUAAGAUAUGCAAAUUGCAAGUGGCUACAGGAACAGCCCUUUGAGCCACAAGCUAGCUGACAUUUUCACCCGCUUUUGUAUGUAUUGAAUUUUAUUCUUGUGGCAAAAUCUUGUGGAGAUUUUGUGCAGUUAUAUGAUUCUCUUUGUCAAGAUAAUGCAAAGCUUGGUAUCUGAUCAUGGCUAAACUAUCACUAUUAUGCACAUGCAUGGCCGGUUGGCAAUGCUUUCUUCUUUUUUUUUUUUUUGAUUACCUUCCUCGCGUAUGUAUAAGACCGAAUCCAUUCGAUUUCUAAAUUUCUAAAAAGGAUUAGAACACAUACUGCAAAAUUCAACAGAUAUGCAACUCAUUGGAAUCGAAUCCGGGUCGUACAACUCCAUCAUUUAGCUAAUGUAACCAGUUCAUUGGCUGAAAGGAACCAGGUUCAAUUUCCUUCCCCCUUUUUUUUUUGUUGUUAUUUGCAUUAAGUUCCAGCCUCGCACCCAGGGAAAAAAUGAAAAGAAAAGAAAAGUUCUUUGUCACUAAAACAACGUAUAUCUCGAUCAUCAGCACUAGAGCUACAUAUGUGUGUGUGUCCAUAUAUAUAUAUGUAGACACACACACCAAGUAAUAGUAUCCUUUAGUAUCCUUCAGAUAAUCGAUUAGCUUUAACUACAAAUCUUGGUUCUGGAUUAGAUUUUGGUCGAUUGUCAAUUCAAAACUCUGGAAUCAGCAUGUCAGCUACCAGGCAUUUUCGAGGUGCCAAGGACUAGGAACAAUAUAUAGAGAGUAUUAAAGCCUCCUCGAAUGAGAUCAGAAUAUGAAUCCAUUUCCAUCCUCUCAAAGAGGGCUACCCCACAUUUUGCUUUCGGCUUAAUCUUGCAGUCCAGGACUCAAGACUUUUUUCAUCAUCCACUGUUUUCUUAAGCAUUGUAAUUAAGGUUCAUAUGAAAGCUACGGUAUCCUUGGAAGUGGAAACUAUUUCUCUUCUGUAACAAAAGCCAGAAAAUGGCCCAAAUUAAACAAGGGUGUUAUAUUGUAUUAUACUGUUUAACAUAUAUAUAUAUAUAUGUAUGUAUGUAUGUAUGUAUAUUUGAUGUAAAAUACUUGUCUACAAUUGACAAGAAGUGUAGUCGUGGAUCAGCAGUAAGAUACUAUAAAAUACCUACAAAAUUUAGUUGUCUGACUAUAUAUAGAACUAGCUAAUAUUUUUUGUACCAAAAAAAUCCUUGUGAAAAGAAUCGGAAAAAUUACAAUUUUAGUCCCCAAUAUUUAGUCUUUGUAUAGUUUUAGCCCUUAAUGUUUUUGCAAAAUCAAAUCUAGUCCUCAAUAUUUAAUCCAUGUGUAGUUUUAGUCCCUAAAAUUUUGCAAUAGUAAAUCUGCUCCCCAAUGUAUCCAAUUUAAAGAUGAUUUAUGACAUGUGAAAAAUAUUUCCCAAUUACUAACAAAAUUUAAUCACAUCUAAUCAUAUGUCCAUUAAAUUAAAUUUCAAACCAAUGAAUAAGAACUAAAUAACUCAUGUGUUAACUAAUUAACUAAUAAAGAAAGAAAAAUUUUUAAAGUAAAAACUAGUCAGAGCACCUAAUUCAUCGAUAUAGAACUCAUCAUCACUUCUAUUCACACUACCCCAAGCACAAAAUUGUAAUACUUAAUUUUUCAUAUAGAUUAACAAAGUUUCUUUUUUUUUUUCGUUUCGUGGUUAAUUAGUUACUAAUGUGCCAUCAUGUUAGUUAUCGUUAUCAUUCAAGAGUACUACCUAUUCUGCUUCUUUUUUAAGAAGUUUAAUUCAACGAACAUGUAAUUGCAAUAACUGAUUGAUUCCAUCAAUAUUUAGAAAAAUCCGCCAAUUACACUAAAUCUGGACCAAAUUUGCUUUUGCCAAAACUUUAGGAAUUAAAAAUACAUAUGUACUAAACAUUGAAAACCAGAUUUGCUUUUGUCAUAACUUUAAGGACUAGAACUGCACAAGGGUCCAAAAAUAUUCGAUCUUUGUGUUGUUACUUUGAAUUAGUUUUGGCUAUUGACUUUGAGGUAUGAUCUAAGCGCCUUUGAUGAAUUUAUUACUAAUCUUCUCAAGAUCUUAGCCAUGUUAAUUAAUUUCAAACUUUCAUUACUAUUGAACCAAAACGUGAGAAGGAAAUUUACUAAACGUCUAGAGGUCAGAAAUCUUGCACAUAUAAGUAGCUAUAGUUAGUGUUUGUCUUCAACUUUUUCAUGACUUGCCGGGUUGGCUUACCAACAAAAAUUUCCAGUAUCGAUCAAUCAAUCUUUCCGCCCUCAGCCACUAGUGAUUGCCCGACAUGAAUACGCAUCUUGAGUUGACAUUCCCUACUUCCAUCAUCCUCAUGCAUGCAAUUGGAGAUCACUCCUAUUGAAGAAUAUUAUGGCUCCAACACCAUUUUGAUCUUUCAAGAUAGAAACUCCACCUACACACACUGUUCACCUAGUUGUCUCAAGAAUCUCAAGCAUUUCGCAGCAGUAGAUAACAAGGUGAAGAAGGAAGUUGAUUCCGGGAAAUCUUAAACAGAAUUACCAGAAGAUUUAGACAAAAAAAUAAAAAAAAAAAAUUAAGUACGCUAUGGCUCUAGCGCACAAAAAUGCACCUGGGCUUUAGCCUUUAAGACUCUAGAAGAAACUUCACUUUUCCUCUACCCUUUGUUCCUUGGAGGCGUCAGCCAUGGAUCGAUCCCGCAUCUUCAUUUCCCUGUAUAAAUAUGAGGGCGUAAGAUCUCAAACACUAUCGAAUAUCAAAGUCCAUAGUCCAUUAUCAAAGAACUUCUUCACCAUUCUCUGCAUUCCAUCCAAAUAAACGAGACGGCUACAUUACAAACUUUGUUGUCUCAUUCUUAGCACACCCUUUUCGGCAAGGAAACAAUUAAAUUAACUUAUUAGUUUGCCAUUUAUCGAUCAAAAUGGACAGUAUAGUGAAGUUGGCAUCGCAAAAGGCAGUGGUUAUCUUCAGUAAGAGUUCAUGUUGCAUGUGCCAUGCGAUAAAGAGGCUGUUCUACGAGCAAGGCGUGAGCCCUAUGAUCUAUGAGAUUGAUCAGAUUUCAAAUGGUACGGAAAUAGAGUGGGCUCUCAUAAGAUUGGGGUGCAAUCCUUCCGUGCCAGCAGUGUUUAUAGGUGGAAAUUUUGUGGGCUCGGCAAGUACUGUCAUGACUCUUCAAAUCAAUGGAUCGCUAAAGAAGAUGCUCAAAGGUGCUGGAGCUCUAUGGCUUUAAUUGGUGACAUAUCUAUAUAUGUUAGCUGACUACUUUGCUUUUUGUAUGUAUUUGUCGUAUGAUUUCACAGAAGGAACUCUAUGAUAAUGCUGUAAUUUGUAGGAUAAUUAACAAAUGAGUGUCUAACGUGUGAUCGACUUUAUGAACUAUACAUACACAGUGAUUCUGCUGUAGUGUUACCUCUCUUUUCUCUCCUUAUCAUGUUAUAGUUACUGCUGGUAUCGUUUUACUUAAUUCUUAGUUGUUGCAUUUUCUUAAACAGGAAGAACUAACAUGAAAAACUAUUCAACGUAUUAGAACUGAAUAAAACUGCAGCUGUUUAAGCAUGAUGCAUGUGAAUAUAUAUACUUGACAUAAUUUGUGGCAAUUUCCUUUAUUAAUCUAUAUCCAGUAGUCUAUAGAAAUCAUUUUGUUGGGAGCCGAAUCCACACUAUGAAGUUGUUGUUUUCCUACGUCUUCUUGUUUUGAAUUCAUCAAUUCGCUCUUCCACUUCUUGUUUCUUUUCUUGGGUCAAUAUAUCUCAAUGAGGAAAGGAUAGAUGUAGAUUGAAAUUGCUUGAGGGAUAAUAAAAAGUGCCUCGACAAAUGACCACCACCUAGAAAGCCAUGACCACAUUUAACAUAUUACAUAUGAUAUGCAUAUCAAACAAAUCUGAAAAUUUGCGUCAUGUUCUCGGAGAAUUUGGUGAAUGGAUAUAUUCCACCAUCAAAAUAACAAAAAACAUAUUGCUUUAGAUAAUUAUUCUUGUCGGAAAUAUUCCACAUGAAGGGCCUCCAAAGAUGUCCAAAAGCCACAUAUAUAUAUACAUAUAUAUAUAUAUAUAUAUAUAUAUAUAUAUAUAUGUACAAGUACAACAACUGCUGUUCUCGAAUUGUUUCUUGCAAUGUAUUUUAACCGAUCGAGGUUUCAUAAUUAAAAGUUUCUGGCAUAGAUGAUGCCUUUGAGGAUCUAUGAACAUGUGCGCAUUAUUCAUCGGCAUAAAGCAGAUAAUUAAUGUUGGGAAGUUUCUCCUACACAUAUUUUGUCUUCCGGAGAUAAUUAAUGAAUGAUGACUCUAAAAAUAAAUCUCUAUGCAAAUUAAAUAUGUCCUUUACCUUCUAAUGACGUACGUCAGAUAUAUGAAUCAAAUAGAUGUGCUUUUCCAUCUAUUUCCAAUUUCAAUUAGAAAAAUUUAAGAGCGCAAAUAUAUAUGAAGUCGUCAAGAUAUCAUAUCAGUAGGGUUUGGUUUCACCCAGACAUUUUUAGAUAUACACAAAAUAUGGUUACACUUUGGAAUAGAAAAUCAUCAGAAGAUCGUCGGCCGGGUUGGCACAAGUUGGAGAUAGAAUGUCAACUUUUUUGUGCAUGUGACGGCAGUUCACGGCAUCACACGGCCGGUCACUGUUGACAAACUACAAUUCACACACUACGCUUUCAUUUCUAAAGAUGAUGGAAUAUAAGUGGAAGAUGAACGUAUAGAAUAUAUUACAUCCAUUCUUUCUAUAUAUAUUACAUCCAUACUUUUUCACUUACGAGAAUCUACAGAAAAUUAAUGUAUUUAUGCUGGAAAUGAUGCAUCUACAUACACAUUUGUUUCAAUACAAAUUACUCGAUCUCCAUAUAAUUCUUUUGAUAUAUAUUUUGAGAGUAUAUAUAUAUAUAUAUAUAUAUAUAUAUAUAUCUGGUGUUGAAAAUGGUACGCACGUGUCAAUUAUCCUUUCGUGAAUAACUUAAAACAAAUUAUCCAUUUUGUAGUGGGGCAAAUUUCCCAGUAGCCACGUGUCAGUUCGGACAUGAUGACCUGUCAGUUCGACCAACCAAUCCACGUAUGACGCGUGUCUGAUGGCUCUGUCACACGCGAGGUCGGCAAUAGAGAUCGCACAGCUCGGACACCUCAGCUCGGUAUAGAGGGAGAUCAGCUCGGCCACGACCGCCGCCUCUUUAUGAAGUGGGCCAAAUGGGCCGCCGCCCCCGAACCUUUAGGGGCAAUAGUAUGAAAUCCUAGAAAGACUCCGAACCCUAAGGGGACUCCGACUCCCAUAUGAAAACUACUACCCGUUAAGCCUAUAAAUAUAGCACUACGCAACAAUUCAAGGUACGCCAUCUACAGUACUCUCAUACUAUUGUUUUAUUAUUAAACUCUACUGACUUGAUCGUCGGAGUUAUUCCGGGAACUCGAGUCCCGCCGUUGUUCUUUCUCCGCAGGAUAGUCUGUUCGAUUUUCCCCUCUCAGCUUGACGGCGCACAGCCAGCUCUGUUCGUAGCAGUUCAGCUCGGGUUGCGUCCUUGACAACUCACCAGCCCAGCUCGCCAGAUCGCUUCCUCUCAGCUCGGCUGCACUCAGCCAGCUCUGUUCGUAGAAGCUCAACUCGGGUUGUGUUCUUGGCAACUCACCAGCCCAGCUCGCCAGCUCGCUCCCUCUCAGCUCGCUCAGCCCGUCGCAGCCCAACUCAGAUCUUGUUUUUGGCAGCCGCAUCAAUUGGCGCCGUCUGUGGGAAACACGUAAAUUCUUCUCUCGCGAAUCAUACCAAGGACUAGGUCUCAGAAGAACGCUGACGGAUCCAAGGGGAACGAGCGAAGCGGCCUUCAGAACUCCCCUCGGGGUCCGACUCCUGGAGACGAGGGGGCGGGGCUCUCGCGAAUCCCGCCUGAGCAGCUGGUUCAGACGGUGGCAGAAAACCUACCUACCUUCGAGGCUAUCAUGAACUACCUCAAGGGACAGACAGGAGGUCAUCGUGACCAGAAACCUAAGGUCCCAGGGGUGGAAGGAGUUGGACUAUCAGAAUCCCGAGCAGGGAGUCCUAAUCCCCGGCUCAAGCGGAUGCGUAAGGAGCUCACGCGUGAACAGAUCGAGGUCGUGGAGUCCUCCCACAAGCACUCCCGAACUGAGCACCCGGAGCCCUUCCAGAGGUUCUCAAGGGAAGAGCUCUCCCCGUGGAGAGAGCAGCUCCAGGUGCAGGACGAGUUGGACCUGCUGUUGGACCCUAAGGCGGACAGGUACAUUGCUUCCCCCUUCGUCCCUGACAUUGAGAACUACCCGCUGCCUGCGAAAUUCAAAAUACCGACCAUGAAAUCCUACGAUGCGACUACGGAUCCGGAGGAUCAUCUAUUCACAUUCUUGACACAAAUGCGCCUACAAACGGCCGCCGAUGCAGUCAGAUGUAAGACUUUUCCAAUAUUUCUGGAGGGAAAGGCACGCCAGUGGUUCCAAGGACUACCCCCCAAGUCAGUUUGGUCCUUCAGCCAGCUCGCGCGGCUGUUCUCAGCUCAGUUUAUUUCGUCACGAGCCUUUUCCAAGAGUACUGCUCACCUGGUGACAGUUCAGCAAAGACCCGAGGAAUCGCUGCGUGAGUACAUGGUCCUAUUCAAUAACGAGUCCCUCCAGGUCCGGGAUCGAGACAAUAAGGUCGUCAUGGCCACCUUCAUCAACGGACUACGCAAACAGAAACUAUAUACCGAGUUCGUGGAGAAACCUCCUAAGUCAGUUCGGGAGAUGCUGGACCGAGCUCACGAGAAGGCUAAUGCAGUGGAAGCUAAUCGCUUGAAGGGUGAACAGGAGAAACUACAAGGCCAGAGACGCAGCUAAGACCGAGCAGGUCGGAGAAGCUGCCGAGGUCGUACAGGCCGCAAGAGCUGCCGAGGCCGAGCUGACCGGAGACGCAGCUGAGGCCGAGCAGGUCGGAGAAGCUGCCGAGGUCGUAUAGGCCGCGAGAGCCACCAAGACCGAGCUGACCAGAGACGCAGCUGAGGCCGAGCAGGCCGGAAAAACUGCUGAGGUCGUACAGGCCGCAAGAGCCGCUUAAGCCGUGCUAGCUGGAGACGCAGCUGAGGCCGAGCGGGUCGGGGAAGUUGCCGAAGUCAUACGGGCCGCAAAAGCCGACGAGGCCAACCUGGCCAGAGACGCAGCUAAGACCGAGCAGGUCGGAGAAGCUGCCGAGGUCGUACAAGCCGCAAGAGCUGCCGAGGCCGAGCUGACCGGAGACGCAGCUGAGGCCGAGCAGGCCGAAAAAACUGCUGAGGUCGUACAGGCCGCAAGAGCCGCCGAAUCCGAGUUGGCCGGAGACGCAGCUGAGGCCGAACAGGUCGGGGAAGUUGCCGAGGUCAUACGGGCCGCAAAAGCCGACGAGGCCAACUUGACCGGAGACACAGCUGAGGCCGAGCAGGUCGGAGAAACUGUCGAGGCCAAACAGGUUGAAGAGGCUAUACAGGCCGAAGAAACCAAGGAGGUUGUUGGACAGGUCACCCCAACCUAGACAUCGUAUAUUGAUAGAGUAUCAAGCAAGGGUGUGGAGUCGGACCCCUCCUAAUCAGCCUUACGGGGGAAGAAUUGACUUACGCCUUGAGGUUCGAUUUCAGGGCUUCCAAUAACGAGUCUGAGUAUGAGACACUUUCAUUAAAACUCACUCACUCUAUCCAUAUAUGACUUGAGUUGUUUGGUCCCGCAUGGUCCUAUCUUUUCGUGCAAAUAUAUGAAAUAUUUAGAAGUCAGUUCGCGCGCUAGCCCGAGGUCAGUUCGCGCAAGUGUAUUUAGACAGUAUGAUAAGAAAGACAUGAAUGAAAAAUUUUGCUAAGUAUAGAAAAAAUAAAAGUCUAUUCAAUCCAUAAGAGUCUAUUUAUAAAGGAGGAGUUCAUACAAAAAACGAGCUGGUCCUACUCAGUUCGAUUUUACAAGUUACUCGAGCAAGGGCCGUCAUCGUGGAAUCAUGGGUCUCACCACCGAACUGACUCUUCGCCAAGAAACUUGGUCCAGACUCAUGCGACUUUUUCGAUGACUCUAGACUCAAAGGAGGGCUAGUGUAGUGGGGCAAAUUUCCCAGUAGCCACGUGUCAGUUCGGACAUGAUGAUCUGUCAGCUCGGCCAACCAAUCCACGUAUGACGCGUGUCUGAUGGCUCUGUCACACGCGAGGUCGGCAAUAGAGAUCGCACAGCUCGGACACCUCAGCUCGGUAUAGAGGGAGAUCAACUCGGCCACGACCGCCGCUUCUUUAUGAAGUGGGCCAAAUGGGCCGCCGCCCCCGAACCUUUAGGGGCAAUAGUAUGAAACCCUAGAAAGACUCCGAACCCUAAGGGGACUCCGACUCCCAUAUGGAAACUACUACCCGUUAAGCCUAUAAAUAUAGCACUACGCAACAAUUCAAGGUACGCCAUCUACAGUACCCUCAUACUAUUGCUUUAUUCUUAAACUCUACUGACUUGAUCGUCGGAGCUAUUCCGGGGACUCGAGUCCAACUGUUGUUCUUUCUCCGCAGGAUAGUCUGUUCGGUUUUCUCCUCUCAGCUCGGCGGCACACAGCCAGCUCUGUUCGUAGCAGUUCAGCUCGGGUUGCUCCUUGACAGCUCACCAGCCCAACUCGCCAGAUCGCUUCCUCUCAGCUCGGCUGCACUCAGCCAGCUCUGUUCGUAGAAGCUCAGCUCGGGUUGUGUCCUUGGCAGCUCACCAGCCCAGCUCGCCAGCUCACUCCCUCUCAGCUCGCUCAGCCCGUCGCAGCCCAGCUCAGAUCUUAUUUUUGACAGCCGCAUCACAUUUGUUUUAGAAUCAUUUACUGGCUAAUCCGUUGUAUUUCCACAAAUUUUAGUUAUCAAUCGCCUCUAUCAUGUUAUUUACUGAGUAUUGAAGAAGAAUAAUAAAAAAAAAUUAGGUGAGCAGUAAAGUAGUUUUUUUUAUUUUUAAUCCCUCAAAGAAGUCUAAUUAAUGUAUACAAGUUAUUUAAGCCUAACAUAUAUAUAUAUUUUCUGAAUGUUAUAGCCUGUCUUUUGUGAUUUCAUUUUCAUCCAAGUUGUGAUAGCACAAAAACAGCUAGCUUUCGUAUAUAUUAGUUGUGUUAAAUGUUAACCAUGAAUACUAACUAGGUUUAAAUAGCAAGUGGAGAAAGGCACCACCCCUAUCAGUUUUCAGUUCCUCUAAAUUAAUUUCUCAGGUCAAUUUUGAUCAAUUUUUUUAAUAUCAGUUUAUUACUCAAUAAUUUAUCAAUUGAAUGUUAGUUAUGUAUGUAUGCCAAAUUCACCGACAUCGGUCAUGAGGUUGCUAGUCCUCUCCUGGUGAAUUGACAGGGGAAAUUAAUUAAUUACUAAUAAAACGUUAGAACUAGACCAGCAAAAGGUCGGAAUAGAAAAUUAACUUUUCAAUCUUGUCUCUUGACCAACCUUCUGACGCUGAGGUGAUCAAACCUGUACUACAGAGAAGGUUUCUAUCCCACAUCGGUAUUUGGGAGGGGGAAGGGUUUGGGUAGAUAAGUCCCUCACAAGACUUCAAAAGUUGCCGGCUUUUGAAGUUAUUGUGGGGAUUAGGUUUAUUUACGUAAAUUUUUACUUCUGUAAGAAAAUGUCAGAAAGAGUUAAUUUGUUGACUCGAUCGACUUUUGUACCUGUUCUUCUAUGCUUUUUACUUGACCAAAUGCAACGCUUCCAAUCUUAAAGAGUUUUAAACAACAGAUUCUUUCAAAAACAAAUCAUGUUGAAGGCCCUUGUGAAUUAUGACUACCAAAUUUUGGCUUAACCUAUCUAGACUGGAAUCUUCUCAACAACAGUUCUGGAGCUCUGGGCUAACUGAAAAGGAAAAAAAAAAAAAAAAGAAAAGGAUAUGCACGACCACGUUAACAUGGCUCGGCAGCUGCAAGGUAAUCCGACCAAAAAGAAGAGGAAAAACGCAACUAGGUUCAAGAUGCCAUGCCCUUUCAAUUCUCAAGCAUUUUCGCCGCAUGCAUGUAUCCACAGUGACACGAAUGCAGGCUACCUCUUAACAUUUUAAAGAUGAGAUUCUUCUUGUUUCGUCGUCAUCUCUAAGCAUUACAAACUUGACAUUCAUUCCCCGCGAUUUACCCCAUCGAUCAAUUCCCAAUCCUGGAUCAUUAAGGUGAUAAUUUACGAGCCAUGUGUAAUAUUUUUACUGAUCACGUCUAACCGAAGUUAAUUGCGCCAAAUCUGUCCUAAAAAAAAGUUGUCCGUACUCUGGAAUUCUUCCAAUUAAGCUGUGUGAAUCUGCUUUCGGUAGUAGUGUUUGGUUUAUCUAUAUAGAUAGCCUAACAGAUUCCAUGCACAACAAAAACUGACAUGUAUUGAUCCACACAAGUCACUGUCAAGCAAAGGGUUUAGGAUUUUAGCAUAGCAUCUAUCCAAAUAUCUCAAAGAACCUUCAACUUUUUAACUCCUUUUCUUCUUUUGCAUUAAACAAUUCAAAUAAGUUAGCAAUCCCACCACCUUCGCCUUGCAUCUGCAUGCCCGUAUAAAUACAUGUCCACAUCUCAACAAUCUGGAACCAAGCCAAGUCUUCCAUCCAAUCAUCAACAUUUAAUUCUUCAUCUAUAACCAGAAUUUUUCAAAACCCAUCAGUAAAUUUGAAUCUUGUGCAGUUCCCUCGCCUCAGACCUUUUCUUCUUUAAUACAACAUAACUAUUAAAUGGAUCGCAUAGCAAAAUUGGCUUCACAGAAGGCUGUUGUGAUUUUCAGCAAGAGUUCAUGUUGCAUGUGCCAUGCAAUCAAGAGGCUGUUUUAUGAGCAAGGGGUGAGCCCUAUGAUCCUCGAACUCGAUGAGGAAUCGCGAGGACAAGAGAUGGAAUGGGCUCUGAUGAGGCUAGGCUGCAACCCUUCAGUGCCAGCAGUAUUCAUUGGGGGUAAAUUUGUUGGUUCUGCUAAUACCGUGAUGACGCUUCAUGUUAAUGGUUCUCUAAAAAAGAUGCUCAAAGAUGCCGGUGCUAUGUGGCUUUGAUAGUUAUUUAACAAAGGGUGACUUUGAUAGUUAUUUAACAAAAAAGGGUGAUGAUCGAGAAUUUACUCUCUAAAUAAGGUCAAUUCUAAUGUUGUACCAAAAUCUUCAUUAGUGGCGGCUCCGACUGAGUAAUUGAGAGUCAUUUUUCUUGGAUUGGAUAUAUAAUAAAAUGUUUGCAACUGUUGAUAUAGCCGAAGGCAAUUUUGCUCUCCUCCUUUUGUUGUUUCACACUUUUCUUUUCUUUCUCUGGUUUUCCACCGCCGCGGGGGGGGGCGCGGGGAAUUUCAGCUACCAGAUUUUGGCCUUUUUGAUUUACCAAGCAACUGUAUGGUAAAAUGAGUUCACGGCCAAAAGCUUGAAUAUCAAAUGAGUUUGCCACAAUGUGCAGCAGAUGAUAGCUUUUUAUGGUAAACUUUGACAAAAUCAAGUGACUAUGACCUGACUGAUUCUGGAUUCCAAUUAAGUGAAUACAAAGCUAAACAUGCGUUUAAAUAAUCUGGGGAUAGAAAAGAAAAAAGAAGUGGCGGUUCUACUUCUACAACAUGAUGUCUACUAGUAUAUGUGUUUAAAUGUCACUUCGGUGAAUGAAUAUAUUCUCCUUACUAUGAGAACUGAAUUUCAAUUUACUUUGAACUGUAUUCCCAGCUGCUUUUUCAUGUGCUGUUUGAUUUGAUUUACGCAUUCUAGAAUUUUGCGUACUAUUUGAGAUCCAGAGAAUGCUGCCCUGCAGCACUAAAUGUGCUUUUGCUUAUGCAAAGGCAAUGAUUCCAUCUUCCUUUCUUUCGUUCGUGAUUUUGUCCCCCCUUGGAACCAAACUAAUUCCCUCCAUCAAAAAAUACAACAUGAUUUAAUUUAAAAGGCUUGCUUCUAAUGCCAACAUAAGAUUAUUCGUGUUGCAUUAAGGAAGUUUAAAAAUACAACAUGGUUUAUUUCUAUUGUUCAUCACUUGAAAACACAAGUUUGUUCUCUGGUUACUUGUAAUUGCCCGAUUGGGCAAAAUGUUAGUGCGAAAAUAGUUACUGGUCAUCAAGAAGUUUUAUUUUGCUGGUACUGAUUAAAGUAACCACUAAUUUGGCACUUUCGUAAGUUACUAAUGAUGAGUUCAGUCUUGGAACAAAAUGUAUACAUACUCUAUAUAUAUAUAUUUGACAAUCUUCUACUAAGUGGCGAUAUAUAGAACUAAACUAAUAGAUAAUCGACCUUCUUGAAUUUUGAUAUUUCCAUAUUUGUAUUUAUCGUUUAGAAUUGUCGUCGUUUAAAGUCACUUUUUAAUGGUAUAUAAAGAUGCAACAACAAAAUGUAAAAAUGUAUAUCUUGGUUUUGCUAUUACGAAUGUGUUAUUAGUAUCUUAUUCGUAAUUAUUUCCACAACUUUAAAAACAAUGUCUUGUUAAUGAUGAUACUAACAACGGAGUUUUGGCUUUCCAAAAUUAGUAGAACUUUGUUGCAUAAUAACUAGUGGUACAGAACAGGUUAUCAAAUCACUGAGGAUCUCUUUUAUGAAAACAGAGUCUUGUAAGCCAUCUACUUAGGGUUAGUUUGGGGUUGCGGUAACUUAUUGAAAAGUACCUUUUUUAAUAGAAUUUUUAAUAAAAGUACUUAUUAUGUGCUUAAGUGCUUUUAAAUAGAUUGUUUGGAUAAAUAAUUCAAUAAAUACCUAUUAUAUUGGAUAAUCUGUAAUUUGAAAAUUUUUAAAUGUAUUUAUCUCUUUAUUUAGUUGAUAAUGUAGGAUAAAAUAAUUAAAUUUAAUGUUUUAUGUUUUAAAUCACAAAAACCACUCUAAAAGUAUUAAAUUUGAAUUUUUGCUAAAAGUGCUUUUAACACUAAAAACUCCACUCCUAAUUUUAUAAAAUAAUGUUCAUCAAACGUUUCAAAAGUACUUUUAACACUUAAAAGUGCUGCUUUUUUACCAAAAGCACCGCAAUUUCAAACUGGCCUUAAUAUAAUUUUUACAUCCCUUGAAAUGUUGUGUCAUUGACUUAUUUCUGUUUUUGGUUUAAACAAGCACGAUUACACAUCUUUCUAUACUAUCACAAUAAUUGACAUUGGAACCUUGCACAAUGUGGACUGAGACUCCAGUGAUCCAAGAGUAAAAUGUAAAAACAAGAAAUCUAGAGAUAAAUGUGGUUGGACGAUUUAAAACCCCAGGGAAAUCUUCUGCUGCUGAAGUCACUUAAGUUGUCGUCAGCUUAAUUGACUAUUAUUCGUGUGACGCAAUAAAUUAAUUUUUAUCAUAUGUAAGCUGAAGAAAAAACAAGAAGUCAGUGAGAUUUCAGUCUAGUGACUAAAAUUGAUACUCUGGAAAAAAAAAAAAGAGACAUUUUGAGUUCAAAUGUUUCUUUCUCUAUUUCAAUUCUUAAAUUCCACCGUUCUCCUAUUAAUAUAUAUAUAUAUAUAACCAAAAAAGAAGAAAACUUAUUAAGAAUCUCAUGCUUAUGCGAGAAGGGAAUUCAAAUUUCAGUUAUUAUUGCAAUUAUCAAAAUAAAAAUAAAAAUUUUAGCUGGUCCAGUGACUAAGAUUGAAAUUUCAAAAAAAAUUAACUAUUGUGUUCAGGUAUUUCUUUCUCUAUUCCGGUUCUGAAAUUCCACCAUUCUCUUGUUAAAAUAAUAUAUAUACAAACACACAAAAGAAGAAAACUUUAUUAAGAAGCUCAUGGAAAUGCGAAAGGGAAUUCAAAUUUCAGCUAUUACAUUUAUCCAAAAAAAAAAAAAAAAAGCUAGUACUGCUUCGGGAACGUUGGAUCAAGAACUAUGACGUCACAACUUUUUGAUUCAACCCAUCGUGUCUCCUAAUCAAACGGUUCAAAUCCCGCAUCUCACAGUACCCCAAAAAUGCCAAACAGCACAUAAUCAUUAAAUCUUUCUUUCCAACGUACCUUUUACUAUUUCCUCUAUCCCAUUUAAAACAUGUGUUAGAAUGGGAAUGCGAAUGUCCUUUUGUCUCUCCACUGUAAAUUGGUAAAUCUUUUUUUUUUUUUUUUUUACAGCGAUUGUAGUUUAUGUCUUAAUAAAUAGCUUCAGGAACUACACAUACUAUACAAAAAGCAAUUUUGUUUUCCCCAAAAAAUAAAAAAAAAAUCUAAAAGACAAAAUGAUUUAAUUUCACCGCAACUUGGCCACCAAAUGUACAGUGACAUCACCGCAACUCCGAAGAAGAUUAACAAUGAUUUAAUUUCACCUAAUCACCUUUGAAUUUUCUAAUUACCGAGGGCAGUUAUUAAUAAUAAUAGUAGUAGAUCCUCUUUCCAUAUAAGAAAUGGACGACGACAGUUUUGAUGUUCUAAAUCUACAAACAAAUAUUAAACAAUAGCUAAUUAUGCCUUAAUAGCAAACUAUAUUUAUUUUUUGAAAGAAAAACUUAAUUCAAUUCACCAAACGACAAGAAUAUGAAGAUCACUUUGAUUCUGAAGCGUAAAAUUGGCAUAAGCUUUGUACCUCACCUUGAUUUUGUAAAUUUAAGAGCCUGUUUGAAUUGAUAUUUUGAGAAGUUUUUGUAAAAGAAAAAAAAAAUGUAUUGUAACGAUUUAAUAUAUGUGAGAUAAAAUGUGAUUAAAAAAUGUAUUAUAAGAAAACGAUAAAAUUUUUGGUGAGUGAAAAAAUGCAAUCUAAACAAGGCGAAUUUUUUUUACUAUUUUAUAAUUUUGAAAGGAAGCAUUUUUACUACUCUUUUGAUGAUUCACGCUUUUUUUUUUUUUGACAUUUUUUUCUCCAGUAAAAUACCCUUAUAUACGAGUUAUUAAGAAAAAACACACAAUAAAAAAAAGAAACUUUUUAGUCUCACUUCACCUUACAAAAUUUUCCAAUUACACUUAUGCCCCUAAAUUUGCUUUAGUGGGUCCUGACAUUCUCAUGUUAUCUCACCCAAUAUUCAACUAUUUCAGCUAUUUAGUGGUGACAUUUUUUGUGUCCACACCAGCCAAAGUCCAAAAUAAGAUUAAUUUUCUAUUAAAUUUAUAACUUUCUUUAACCUUCCAUGUAUGGAUAUUUAUCUUUCCAACUUUAACUACUACUAAAAUCACAGUUAUAAUGGGGCAGUGUAUUUUAAUAAUAAUAAUAAUAUAUGCAAAAAAUUUCUUUCUUUUUGCUUUAGUAUCUCUUUCUUUUCUUUCUAGGACAUGAGUUUCUUCGAUUUGUUGAUCUACCCUGUCUGAAACAACAAGUUUUGAUCUUUAUUUUUUUGAGCUUAUAUGUGUCACUGAUGAGUGACUCAUGGGUAAGAAUCCCUUGAACAAAAUUCAUUUUGGAAAAAGUUGGGAUUUUUAUGAGAAAAGCGUAGAAGAGCUAGUAUCAUACCCAGGUGAAGAGAACAAGUAUCGUUUAUCUAUUGAUGAUUAUAUGCAAGAAGUAAAGUGUGCCGUGAAAAAGGGUCAGCUGGGUUUUGGUUGAUUUGUAAGGAUUUGAUAUGGGUGGGUGUUUUCCAUGCUUUGGAUCAUCAGAUAAAGGUGGAAAUGGUGUUAAAGAAGUGGUAAAGAAGGAGUCUUUUAAGGAUGGUUCAGCUGCUGUUUCACAUCAUGUGGACAGAGUUAGUUCAGGUAUUUCCUCAAGAUAUUUGCUGGGUAUUUGGCUUCUUCUCUUUCUAUUUCUGUUCUUGGACAAGAUUGGCUCUUUACUAAAGUUUUUCAUGCUUCAAUAGCUAUUUUUGGUUUUUAUUGGUUUUGAUUUUGGGUUUCCAGCGUAUUGUACUUGCUUUUUUUCUUUUUGGUUAUGAUUGUGAUAUCUAGUUAAUUUUUAUUUGUGUUUGGUAAUUCUGGAAGGUAUUUGAUGAGAAGUCUCAAUUGUUGAGCGUCAGUAAAGUUGUCACUCAUUGAUUUGUUUGUUUAAUUUUUCCAUCUGAGUUUUCCAUAGUUUUGUAGGGUCGAAAAUGUUUUGGGAGAUCUAGGCUUUGAUUAGGCAAUUCUAUGAUUGGUUUUCGACAAUGUUGUCCCCUUGCGGUCAAAAAAUUGGAACUUUAUCCCCAUUGUGAACGACAUUUUUCUUAAUAGCUUGGAAUGUCAUGCUACAAUUAUCCUUCAAUGCCGUCAAAAUAUAUGAGAGGUGGUCAGCAGCAGCUCAAAUGAUUUGCCUUAUGCCUUCUGAAUUUGAAUGCUUAGGAUAAGUUAUCUACAUCAGCCAUACGACAAGAUAAAUUAAGAAGAUGACACAUAUCUGCAUACUACUAUUUUAUGUUUGUUUCCUCCACCCAUGACCUAUGUUGUGUACUGGCAUCGUUUAUUUAGAUAAAUCGAAGUCCAGGGGUGGUAAUGAUCCUAAGAAGGAGCCAUCUAUUGCAAAAGAUGGACCACCUGCACAUAUCGCUGCACAGACAUUUACAUUUCGUGAGCUUGCUGCUGCAACAAAAAAUUUUAGGCCGGAGUGUUUGCUAGGUGAAGGUGGAUUUGGACGUGUUUAUAGAGGUCGUUUGGAAUCAGGACAGGUAUGUUCAUCUCUUCUUAUCCACAAAAUGGGAAACUAAUUAUGUGUGAGAAAUUUCUGUUUCAAAACCAGAAUUGCAUUGGAAGAGUUAUUUUUCUUCUCAGGCAUCUUGUUGCAGUUUUUACAACUUUUUUUUUCCCAGUGGGUAACUUGAUAUUGCUACAAAUGGCUGCUUUUGUAGGCUGUUGCUGUUAAACAACUUGAUCGCAAUGGCCUUCAGGGGAACAGAGAGUUUUUGGUGGAGGUUCUUAUGCUUAGCCUGUUGCAUCAUCAGAAUCUCGUGAACUUGAUUGGUUAUUGUGCAGAUGGCGAUCAACGGCUUCUUGUUUAUGAGUUCAUGCCAUUGGGUUCUCUAGAAGAUCAUUUGCACGGUUAGACCAAUUCCAUGAAAAAUACUCUUUUGAUAUUUAGCAACUGUAAUUUUACCGUUUGUCACUUAUGGUACUAGGUUUGAGUAUUUUCUUCAAACUGAAACUAAACAUCGAUAGGAGUUUAGUUCAUCAUGUAAAAAUACCACAGAAAGCAUGGCAUAAAAUGGUGCUUUAAGUGUUGCAUAUAAUAAAUAAAAUAUUGUUGGUUUUCCUUGUACAGAGUUUUAGUCAUACUCAAAAUUGAAGUUAAGUUUAAAGCCUACUGGUUGAUUAAAGAUAGAUAAGCAAAAAGUACUCCAGGAAAACCUUGAUUUGCGAUCUUUUCAUGGUGGCUGCUGUUGAUGCCAGAUGAUUCCUAUCCUGCUAGAGCAAUUUUGCCACACAACUGCCUUCACAAGUCAACUUAAUUUAUUUCUCACCCAUCAUCUUCUUUGGAUCUCCUUUUUUUCUCUCUUAUUUAUUCUCUCUUUCUCCAUGAAAUCCAGUUCACUUUUCCCUAAUGGAUUCAAUCAUUCGAUGCAAAUCAAGCCCACUCAAUUUCUCAAAGCUUAAACUUUAUUCACCAAACUCAUUUUCUUUCUCAAUUGGAUAUAGAAUCCAUCUUGCCUAUUCUUUAGAGUUUAAUCGUCAAAAGAGUGAAACUCAUACCCACUUGAUUAUGAAUAAAAAUCUGCGCAAUUAUAAAAACUUGAACCCCAAGGUACAUGAAAUUCCCAAACAAAAUUAAGUUUUGCCUCAGAUAAACAAACAAGAGGUGGGAAAUAAACAUAUUCAUCAUUAUGGAUCCACAUCGGAAAGAAAAAAUGGGCUUAGGAUUUUAGUCUCCUAAAUCAAAUUUAUCCAACACAUUAGCUAUGAAGGAGGUGAGAAUAUGGAAGUGAAGGACCUAGAGGCCUGUGGGGAGGAGGGCUGGCUACCUUAAUGAAGUAGGAGAUAGGUCAAACAAAGAAAGUAAGAAAUAAUGUCUUACUGUGCGGAGGCUAAUUUAGCCAUUCAUGACAAAAUUGCUCUGGCAAAAUCGAAUUGCUCUGGCAAUAACAGCAGCCUUUCACAAGGCAUGUAAUGGUGUGGAGUUUAGGACCUUUUUUCACAAUAUGCCUCCUCAAAAAGCAUCGUACUUCGUUGCUUUUUUAAUCUCUAUCUAUGACCACUUUUGUUUAACUUUUUAUGGGUCUAUGCUGUUGGCGAUCAUGUUGGUUUUUUUUUUUUUUUGGGGUCAAAUAUUUUGGCUGUUUAGUGCCAUAUUUGCCACCUCCACACCCUGCUUGUAUGAAAAAUAAUUUUUCAUGAUGAAUGUUUUAAGUUGAGUUGCUUUACUUUUUCAAAGAACAAGUAUGAUGCAUAUCUAGCUAUAGUCCUUGAGUCUUAUAAGCAUCAGAGCCGUGUAAAGCUGCUUGUUGAAUUGGCCAAAGAAAGUUAUUUUAUAGGAUUGAUGGGCUUAUGAGCAUGUUGUGGUGUGUGAAAAAUUCAGUCAGUCCAAUUAGGUUUGCACACUACGCUUAUUCCCCCCAGCCCUCCUCAAAAAAAAAAAAAAAAAACUCUCAAUCAGUCACUUAGUUCAUUCCUGAACUAAAUUAAGCUAGAUGAUGUUACCUACUGAAGUCAAAGAACAUGGAAUGAUUACAGGCUAGAUAUACAGUUGGCCAUGGAGUGAUGGUUGGGGAUGGUCAGUCUUAUGUCAUAUUGGUGUUUCUGAUUGAGGAUGAAAAUUGUUCUCAUUGGUAUUUCUGAUAUUAAUUUUUCACUUGCGCUGAUAUGAAUUUUGCAUUAUUAUUGGAUGUAAAAAUACAUAAACAAAUACUAGUUAUGAGUAUCUACUGAAUUUGUGUUGAUAUGAUUCCUGAAAGCUUUUUGUGCUUAAGUUGGUAAAUUUAGUGCUACGCGUGGGAAUAAAUUAAAGAAGUGGUCCUCAUGGUUUGCAUCUCAUUCUGCUUCCUUAGUGCUGCUAAUUACAGUUUUGAUGAGCCUAGUUGAUUGCUUCAUACUGGCACCUAUAUGCAGAACUUCCGCCGGAUAAAGAACCUUUGGACUGGAAUACAAGGAUGAAAAUAGCAGCUGGUGCAGCCAAAGGAUUGGAGUACUUGCACGAUAAAGCCAAUCCUCCUGUCAUAUAUCGAGACCUUAAAUCUUCUAACAUCCUUCUUGAUGAAGGAUAUCACCCUAAAUUAUCAGAUUUUGGGCUUGCCAAAUUGGGUCCAGUGGGUGACAAGACUCAUGUCUCCACCAGGGUCAUGGGGACAUACGGUUACUGUGCUCCUGAAUAUGCUAUGACUGGUCAACUCACUCUGAAGUCCGAUGUAUAUAGUUUUGGAGUUGUCUUCCUUGAACUUAUAACAGGGCGCAAGGCCAUUGAUAACACAAGAGGUCCAGGAGAGCAUAAUCUUGUUGCUUGGGUAUGUCAUGAUUUCUUCUUCACACUCUUUGAUGAAAUUGAUUUCUGCUGUUUUUUUUCAGUUUGGCAGAUAAUUCAACAGAUGUGUAGCUUCUAAAGUUGAUUUUUUAGCAUAUUAUAGUCACUCAUAACAAGAUUUUGCCACCCUUAAAUCUUUUGUGUAAUGCAUCUGCAGGCACGUCCACUGUUUAAGGAUCGCCGGAAGUUCCCAAAAAUGGCUGACCCACUGUUGCAAGGCCGUUACCCAAUGCGAGGACUGUACCAAGCACUAGCAGUGGCAGCCAUGUGCCUGCAAGAACAAGCUGCUACAAGGCCUCUAAUUGGGGAUGUUGUGACUGCUUUGACAUAUUUAGCCUCUCAAACUUACGAUCCGAAUGCAACAAGUACGCAAAGUAGCAGAGUAGGUCCAUCUACUCCUAGGAGCAGAGAGGACCGUAGGAGCAUGGCAGAUGGAGUGGACAGUCCAGAUGAGCCUGGACGUGGUUUCCAUGGCUCGCCUUCCGCACACAAGAACUCGCCUGAUUUCAGGAGGAGAGACUCUGCCAGAGAGUUGUUGAAUAAUGGUGCCGAGUUGAGAAAAAUUGAAACAGGCGGUGGGUCUGGACGAAAAUGGGGUCUAGAUGAAUCAGAGCGUCCCGAAUCUCAAAGAGACAGUCCUUUGAGUGCGGGUAGAGCUAGAGAAACACCAAGAAAUCGAGAUCUAGACAGAGAACGUGCGGUAGCGGAGGCCAAAGUGUGGGGUGAGAACUGGAGAGAAAGAAAGAAGGCAAAUAAUGCAGCGGGCAGUUUUGAUGGUACAAAUGAUUGACUGAAGCCGGAUCUACUGACUACCAGCGGUUGCAUAUUCUAGGGUUCAUCAUCAUGGAGAAAGAGAAGUCUGCGGUGCGUCCUCAGUGAUUACCUUGGUCGAGCGAAUUGUUCUUCGGAAUUAAGAGUUCUUGUAUCCAACUACUUGUACUGUUCGUCGCAUAAAUCAUUCUUGUAAUUUGGUUUGAGCUGGAUUCUUUAGUUAUCUGGUUAAAAAAAAAAGAUGUAGUUAUGAGGAGACAGACAACAUGGGGUUAGUGAUUGUAAUUUCUGAGUUAUUACUGGUGACCCCGCCCAAGUGGUGUUGUAUGCAAUUUGUCAGUAUAUCUAUUAGAAUUUUUCAGUGUCCACGAGAUAUAUGAUAUGGUAAUAGCAAUACAAAGAGAAGUUGGAAGGAAGGCCGCUCUUUUCUACGCAUUGAAAGAGUUCGACCCGGGUUUUGGGGCUUGCCGAGGCCAAUUGGUCCAAACUUCCUGACGCUUGUUUGCAACUUACAGAAAGCUCGUCCUUCACGGUCAAUCAAAGAGGACAAGACAGAUUUGACGCCAUGUGUCUUUCUCCAACAAUAAGUUACCAAUUUCCAUACUCGCAGAUGGGAGGUGCUAGCAAAAAUGGCGUAUUGCUUUUGACGCCAGUUUAAAAUUAAUCACACGCUGUCACUGUUUCAUCUCCGCCUCUCUCUUUUCAAGAAAAAUAUCUCAAAAAGUCUUGUAUCAUUAAGUUGCUCGCUAAACAUCAGAUCAAUGUCCAAUGCUGAGAAGCCUGUUACCAGACAAUCUAUAUCCAAGUCCAAGCAUACAGCCUCAACAUACGCAUUACAACUAUCAAAAGUUAUAUUUCCCAGGAACAUUUUUGUUCGAAAUAUUUAACCGUCCCCGUGCCAAGGAGAACCAAGAGUUGAAACC